rnacentral:lncRNA from 1 species
AUUUAACAAAAUGAGGGUAGAAAAGGAAGAACCCACUCCCACCUCUCCCUAUGGGAGUGCCAUCCCACUCCCCACUCCAAAAAUGGACGGGGCUCAUGGAGUGGGAUUCUCAAUUUGCCCUUAAAAUGUGCAAGUAAAUACUGAAGUGAGAGGAAUCCAUACUCCGAACACCCACUCCAGAAAAUAAACACAACAUAUUUAAGUUACAGUAUUUGUUCUUAUAACUUCAAAAUUAAGUUGAUUUGAUCAUAUACUUAUAUGAUGAAAAACCUAUAAUAUCUUCAUUUUCUUUUUGUAAAUAUUAUUAUUCAAAGUUAUAUUUAUUAUAAACUAUUAGUUUUUAUCUCAUAGUUAAUUUCACAGUAACUAUGGUUCAAAAACUACAACAACUCAAAUACUAAAUAGAGCCUAAAACUUUCUUCUUCUUUAAUAUAAUCUCAAUUUUAAAGCUAACAUUAAUUGUCAUUCUUUGACAGAGCUUUGUGUUGGAGAAAGAAAGCAGGAAAAAAAUGUUUUGUGGUUAAAGCAAGAUAUUAUUAGCACCUCCAUGGAAUCCUUAUAAGUUAUAACCUAGAUCUUUUUUUUGCUAUUUUAUUUUAUUUUUUCAAAAGCACCCACUUUAAUUCCACUUAUAACCAGGGGCGAAGCUAAAGGGUGGCUUACCUGGGCCGUAGCCCGGGUAAGAUUUUUGGAAAUAAUAUUUUAGUUAAUUACAUAAAUUUCCUAAUUUGCAUGCUUGAUUUGAAUUUUCAAGGAAGACCAUGUAAUUGAAGAAAGUCUUUCUAAUCCGGAUGAACUAUUGGUUUAUCUCAAACAUGUUAUGAAUAGUUGGUAGCGUGCAUGCCUGGUAUGGAUAGUAAUUAAAAAUUUUUUAGCCCACCCUAAAAAAUAGUGUUAGCUUCACCCCUGCUUAUAACCUACACCUUUGUUUCCUACAGGCUCUUCUAUCACUCUCUCUUAUAAGGUUUCGACUCCCCACUCUCUCUCUUUGUUUGUAGAAUAUUUCUAAAUUUGCUAUUGAUUUUUUGUGUUACCAAUAUGAAUCCUCAUUCAGAUUGGACUAUCUUUCAUAAAAGAAAAUUAUAUGUGUAUUUGUAAAUUAUACAUGAAAAAAUUACUUUGAUAGUCAUUUACUUUUUGUAGUUUCAACGCCCUUUCCACUACCAUUUUGUUUACUUCGUCGAUGAUGAAUUUCCACUUCUUCACCAUCAAUAGUUCAAAUAUUAGCCGCCUUCUCAGCAUCAUCUACCAUUUGCAUAUAUAUGUGUGUGUAUCUAUAUAAAAGCAAAUCAAAUUAUCUGAGGAAACAAAUUAAAUAUAUAAUUGAUUAAAAAAAGGAUAUCCAUGAUUAUCAUAUAUCAUAUAUACCGAGGAUUGAUAUCAACCAGUGAUUUGUUUGUCUUGUUUUUUUCUUUACAAGGAAAGAUGUGUAGGGUUUGAUUGGGUUAGUUUAUUUUCAAAUUAUAAAGGGCAAAACUAUAUAUGUAUAAAUAUGAUGUUUUAUAAGAGUUUUGGAGGGAUGCUAAAUUACUAAUAGUCCUACACUUAAUUUAAUAACCUUCUAAAGCUCUAUUUGGUAUUAAGAUGCUACAACUUUUAAGCUAUAAUUGUUAUGGGCAAAAAACUGUAAUUAUGAAAUAAAUAUUAAUAAGAUAUAGUAAAAUAUGACUUUUAAAUAAUAAUUUUGACAAAAUAAUAAAGAUAUUAUAGGUUCUUCAUCAUACAAGUGGUGGAUAAAAUCAACUUAGUUUCUAAGUAAUAAGUAAUAUUUACCAAAUACUUUUAGGAUUGCUUUAGGGAGGUUAAAAAUUGAUUCUGGAAAGUUAACAACUAAUUUUAGUGUUUCCUAAAUUUUUUUAGAAAUUACUUUUAGUAAAAUUAUCCCAUCCUACAACAAAUUUUGAAGAGUAGGGAAGGAGUAACUUUUCAAAUUUUGAUUUUGCAAAUCAAUUUUAUACUUUUUUAUAAAUUUUAUAAAAAUAUAAAAUUAUCCUUAUUAACUAAGAAAUAAAAUCUUUAACUUUAAAGAGCUUUUUGUUAUUACCAACAAAAUUAAAACUAAAAUUAAAAAUAUAAGAUAUUUAUCUAGUUAUCAAUUAUUAUAUAUAUGCAAUAAAAAAUAUUUUAUAUACAUGUUUAUAAAUAUGUAAAUAAAUGUUAUUCAAUAGUAUGUCCAAUUCAGUCAUUUAUAUUCUUACAGUAGUUUAACAGUAAGAUUUAUCAAAUAUAUACAACUGUUUUGAAAAAUUACAAUACUUUUAAAAGUAAUUUUUACCAAACAUUUAAUUAAUUUUCUUAUUAUGUACAACACAAUUAACAACAAUUAUUUUAAAAACUAUAAUAUUACCAAAUUAUCCCUUAGAGUUAUAGUUUUUAAACUAUAACUGCCUUAUCUCAAUACCAAAGAGGGCAAAAAUUGACUUGACUUGCAUAUAUAGCUAGCUUAACAAAGAAGUCUUACUCUUAAGGCAUUUGUGAGUUGCAAAUUAAGGAAGAAUGAAUAGAGAAAGUAAAGUGGACAUUACUGUUUUUUAUUAGCUGCUUGCAGAGUGCAUUUCCCACAUCAUUUCUCUCACAACUCCUCAAGAUGCCUGCAGAGUAUCAGUGGCAUGUCCCAUUUCCAAAUCAGUUAUGGAUUCAAAUUCCGAGUGGGAGAAUUUUCUGCCAUCUAAUUACAAGCAGAUCAUUUCCAAUUUGGUCAAAUUCAUCUUUGAUCAUGUCUUUGUGUAGGAAAGAUCUUUAUUUUCAUCUUUGUCACAACCCAUCAUCGUUGAAAUGCUAGUCAUGCAACUAAAGAGAAAGGGUGAAUUGGGAUUUUAAAACUUAAACUAAACAAACCACACAAGAAUUCAAUCUAUUGCCUUAAUGAAAUAAAAAAUAAUAAAUUUAAUAAAGCACAAUAAUAAAAGAUUAAGAGAAGAGAAAGCAAACAUAAUGAUUUUUACGUGGUUCGGCAAUCCUCGUCUAUGUCCAUGCCUCCAAGCCAACCAAGCUUAAGGAUUUCACUAUCCAAUCCUCCCAAGGCUUCAAAUUCUUUACAAUUGACUUCCAAUGUGUCAAUAAACAUUUACAAUCAAGAGAUUAUCUUCCAAUCUCUUCACCCAAGUGUUUCUCACACUUAUACACUCACAAAUUUUACAAUGAAUUCAAGAAUUAUAACAAAUACUCUCUUUUAGAGUAGAUAUACAAAUAAUAGCUCAAUGAAGAUUUAAUCUAUGAUGAUUUGGGAAUUGGAAGCUCAAAAUAUGUUGUUUACACUUGUUUGUGCUUGCAAAAGUCUCUAAUCUGAAGUUGGAUUUGAGUUUAUAUAGUUUUAAACCAAAAUUAGCCGUUAUAGGUAAAUUCUAGCAAGCAAACGGCUAGCCGCUUCAUGAGGCAACUCACCUCUUCAGAACAAUGAGGUUACCGUUGUAAUUUGAAUUUUGCUACAGUAACAAUGUUUACAAAAAUUACAUGUUUGCCCAAAUCUUUUAGUAAUCUUACUAUGGCCAAGAAGUCAUAAAACUUUGCAAACAGAUCCAAUUCCAGAAUUUUUAAAUAAUGCUUGCUAUUCUCAAAACUUUCUAAAAUUAUGAUAUGGUUCAAAACUUUAUAAAACUUUUCAAAGAGGUCAUAUUUAGAAUUUUAACAUAAUACUUAUUUAUUUCAAAGUUCUCAAAACUUUUUCACUUUAAUCCAAAAUUUGAGAAUUUGAAACUUGCCUCAGGCUGCUAGCUGCUAGCGUGAUGGGGUUAGCCGCUAACUCCCUGUUUAUUUUUAAUAUUUAUACUUUAGCCCUAAUGCUUUUAGAAAUUAUAAUAUGGCCUAAAGUAUUUCAAAUGUUUACAACUAGGUCCAAUCCAAAAUUCAAAACAAUACUUAUUAAAAUUAAAGAUUGUAAUUUUUUUUCAUUUUAGUUCACAUCUUGAAAAACAACUAAUCUCCUGCUUUUUGAUGAUCACAGACGUCUCAUAUAUUUUGACAUUUAUACUCCCCUUAGUAUAUGACAUACAUAAUUCAACAUAUAUAAAUCAACUAUGAACUCCCCCUGAAUACAUGAUCUAUAACAAAUAUAAACUCCCCUUAAAUAUCUCAAAAACAUGCAUCAAUAAUUCAAGAUUAAAAUACAUGUUACAUGUCUUCGGGAAUUUAAAAUACAUGACUUCUCCUCCUUCAUCAUCAAAAUUACUAUAAAUUCAUGCUUAGACAAAAAAUAAUCACUCAAUGAUUAAUAAAAAAUAUAUAAAAAAAUAUGCAAUUAACCAAAGAGUUAUAACAUUCCAAGAAUCCAGAAAACAUCAUCCAAAUAAAGAGCAUCCAAGUUAUCAAACAACAAUCAUUCUCAAUCCAUAUUAAAAAUAACAAUGCAUAUGAAAAUGUAGUGCAUAAUAAAACGGGGAAUCGAAAGAAAAACUAUAAGGAGAGCACAUUAUGGAAGUAGCGAAUAUGAUGAGGAGGAUGGUGGUGAAAACGUAAAAAUACCCAAACACACAAAUUCGGAAUUUCAAAAAUUGAGUGAAAUGGAUAAGUUUGAUCCCAUUAAAUUGAUUCUAGAGAUGAUUUAAAACAAUGUAUGGUGUUGAUUGAAUCAAAAAUGGGCUUUUGAGAAAUAAGUGAUGAUUUGAUGAUUUUAAAAUUCUUUAAUGGAAGUUAAAUGGAUGGGAAAUGAUUUGGAUGGUUGAUUUUGGCAAGAAAAUGAGUGAAAAUUGAAGAAAAUUUGAGAGGAAAUAGAGGAGAGACUGUGGGUAGAGAGAGAAUGAGAGGUUGAAGAAACAAAGAAGAAAAGAACAAGAAAAGCACAAACCCAUGCCCAGGCGGUUAGCCACUUAGAGCAGGCGGCUAGCCGCUUGCUAUCGGGUUUCGCUAGGCGGUUGGCUGCUUGUUUAGGUGGUUAGCUGGCUAUCCUCUAUUUUUCUACACUAUUUUGUUGUCCGGCUGAGUUUUGAUUAAUUUCUAGACCAUUUCGUGAUCCCGAAAAGUUUCAAAAGCCAUUUUAAUGCAUGAGACAUGAUAAUUAACAUUCAAAAGAUCAUAAAAAUCAAAUUUAUAACAUAUUCAUCAUGCAUAUAUAUAUGAUAAACACUUGAAGAUUGAAAAUUCAAACAUAUUACUCAUUUAUCAUGCAUAGGCAUUAUAUAGUCAUCAACAAUCAUCAAUCAAUCAAUUUCAAUAGUCUCAAUAACAUUAUUAGAGAUGUUAAUACAAAAAUUUCAUCAUCUGAGUUCAUGCCAAAUUUUUUAAAAUUGUUCUUAGCAAAGAGUUUUUGUAAAAAUUUUGGCAAAUAGUUUUUCUAUAGAGAUAAAUUCUAAUGUAAUAUCUCCCUUUUGAACAUGAGCUCUCAAGAAAUGUGUCUUAUCUCUAUAUGCUUGGUUUUAGAGUGCUGAAUGGGAUUCCUUGAUAGAUUUAUUGCACUAGUAUUAUCACACAUGAUAUGAAUUUGUUCAAGAUUAAUGUUAUAAUUUCUAAAUGUUUGUUUUAUCCAAAGAGCUUGUGCACAACAACUACCAGCGGUAAUGUAUUCAGCCUCGGUGGUUGAGAGUGCAACCGAAUUUUAUUUUUUACUAAACCAUGAAACAAGUGAAUGACCUAGGAAAUGACAAGUUCCACUAGCGUUUUUCCUAUCGAUUUUAUAACUAGCAAAAUCAGCAUCUGAAUAACAAGUUAAAUCUAUAUGAGUUCCUCUAGGAUACAAAAGGCCAAGAUUUAUGGUUCCACUCAAAUAAUGAAAAAUUCUUUUGAUAGCAAGCAAAUGACAUUUCUUAGGACAUGAUUGAAAUCUUGCACACAAACAUACACUAAACAUAAUUUCGGACCUACUAGCAGUUAAGUAAAGUAAAGAGCCGAUCAUACCUCGAUAUAUUUUGAUAUCAACCUCUUUAUCUUUUUUUUUUUAUCUUUUUUAAGCUUGAUUGUUGUGCUCAUUGGAGUGCUCUUCGUCUUUGAGUCAUUAAUGUCAAAUCUUUUAAGUAGAUCUUUGACAUAUUUAGCUUGGUUGAUGAAGAUUCCCUCAUUGUUUUGUUUGAUUUAAAGUCCAAGGAAAUACUUCAAUUCUCCCAUCAUGCUCAUUUGAAAUUCCUUACUCAUACAAGAUGAAAAAUCCUUGCACAAAGACUUAUUAGUAGAACCAAAAAUAAUAUCAUCAACAUAAAUUUGAACAGCUUGUAUGUCUUAGUUCUUAUGCUUAACAAAAAGAGUAGUAUCCGCUUUUUCCAUUGAAAAAUCGUUAUCCAACAAGAAAUUUUUAAGCUUAUCAUACCAUGCUCUAGGUGCCUCUUUUAAUCCAUACAGUGCUUUAGACAACUUAUAUACAUGAUUUGGAAACUUUUCAUUUUCAAAACCAGAGGGUUGUUUCACAUAAACUUCUUCCAUAAUAUAACCAUUUAAGAAAGUACUUUUGACAUCCAUUUGAUAUAAAAUGAAAUUUUUAUGACAUGCAAAUGCUAACAACAUCUUAAUGGAUUAUAAUCUAACUACAUGUGCAAAUGUUUCAUCAAAAUCAAUUCAUUCUUCUUGGUUGUAUCCUUGAGCCACUAAUCUAACUUUAUUCCUUACAACCACAUCAGAUUCAUCCAUCUUAUUCCUAAAUACCCAUUUAGUACCUAUUAUGGAUUGAUGUUCUAGUUUAGGAACUAAUUCCCAUACAUUGUUUCUCUCAAAUUUAUUCAAUUCUUCUUGCAUUGCUAUAAUCCAAGAUUCAUCAUUUUCCAUAUCCGCAAAGGAUUUUGGUUUAAUUUGAGAUAUGAAUGCAGCAUGCUCACAAGUAUUUCUAAAUGAUGAUCUAGUGGUAACAUCUCUUGAAGGAUCACCUAAAAUUAAAUCAUUAGGAUGAGAGGAAACAUACUUCCACUCCUUAGGGAGUGUUUGAGAAGUACCUUCUUGUUGCUCCAUAUUUGUCUUUUCUUCUUAUCUAUGUUUUAAAGAUUCUUGUUUUAACUCUUAACCUACAUCAUCAUCAACAAUAACUUUCUCCGUAGAGGAAAUGUUAGACUCAUCAAAUGUAACAUACAUAGAUUCUUCUACAAUCAAAGUUCUUUUAUUAUACACUCUAUAAGUUUUACUUGUGUUUAAAUAAUCAAGAAAAAUACCAACAUCAAAUUUUGGAUCAAAUUUGCCAAGAAUAUAUUUUGUGUUCAAAAUAAAAUAUUUGUAUCCAAAAACUUUGAAAUAAUCAAUGUUGGGUUUUCUAUCUUCCCAAAGCUCAUAGGGAGUUUUAUUGAGAUAAGAUCUAAUCAAUACAUGAUUUAAAACAUAACAAGCGGUGUUAACGGCUUCAGCCCAAAAAUACUUAAGCAAAGUAUUUUCAUUCAACAUGGUCCUAGCCAUUUCUUGGAUAGACUUAUUCUUUUUCUCAACAACUCUAUUUGUUGUAGAGUCUUAGGUAAUGAAAAUUUAUGCUCAAUGCCAAAUCAUUACAAAAAUUCUCAAAUUCAUGAUUUUUAAAUUCUCCACUAUGAUCACUUAUAAUACAAGAAAUAGCAUAUUCCUUUUCAUUUUGAACUUUUUUUACAAAAAACUCUAAAUGCAUCAAAGACAUCAUUCUUAUUAGCUAAGAACAAUACCCAUGUGUAUCUAAAAUAAUCAUUUACAAUUAAAAAUGCAUAAAAUUUGUCACUUAAACUAGCAUAUCUAAAGGUCCAAACAAAUCCAUGUGAAGUAAUUGAAGUGGUUUUGAAGUUGAGACAUGACUCUUGUUUUUUAAAGAAGUUUUGUUUGUUUUCCAAAUUGGCAAAGCUUCACAAAUUCUAUCUUUUUGAAUACUAAUUUUUGGAAGAUCUUUCACCAAAUUAUUUUUGAGAUUUUUGAAAUCAAAUCCAUGCUUGCAUGACCUAGUCUUCUAUGCCAUAACCAAUCAUUAUCAUGUAAUUCGGAGAAACAUUUAUCAUUAGUAGAUGCAUAAUCUAUAUUAAUGCUAUAAACAUUAACACAUCUAUUUCCUACAAACAAAAUCAUGCCACCACAUGCAUUUUCAAUAACACAUUUCAAUUUAUCAAAGAUAACUCUAUAGCCUUUAUCACACAAUUAACUAAUGCUAAGCAAAUUUUGUUUUAAGUUUUCAACCAAACACACAUUUUCAAUGAGAGUAGAGGAUACAUUACUAACAUUGUCAAUACCAAUGAUCUUUUCCUUUGAAUUAUCUCCAAAGGAAACAUUUCCACUGUUCUCAAUCUUAGUAAAACUUGAAAAGCAAGAGUAAUUCUCUGUCAUGUGUCUUGAACAUCCACUGUCGAAGUACCACUUAUUUUUUCUUUUUUUUUUAUCCUUGCAGAAAAAGUUUCUAAGUUUUAGGUACUCAAAACUUGUUGAGUUCUUGAGUGUUAGCAAUGGUUCCUUUUGGAACCUAAAUACAUUUGAUUCCAUAGUAUACAUUUCUUUUAACAUGGCAUCAAUAACUCAUGUGACCAUUUCCAUUGCAAUUAUGAUAAACAAUCUUAUGAUCACUUGUGAAGGAAGAUUUAACAAAAUAAUUCUUGUAAUAUUUAUAUUUCAAGUUAGACUUAUACCCAAGUCUUCCUUUAUCAAACACACAUUUUUGAGUGCUCAGUAAUUUUUCUAAGUUCUUUUGACCACUUGUGAAUUUUGACACAAUUUCAUUGAGCUCAUUACUCGUUUUCUUAAGCACUUCAUUUUCUUUUAUUAAUUCAUCAACAUGUGAUUUUUCAUGCUCAUAUGAAAUACUUCAUUUACCUUUAAAUGAUGCAAUUCUAUCAUACAACACGUUAUUAUCUAACUCUAGUUUUUUUUUUAAUGAAUCAUUGCAUUUUUGUAAAACAUCCUUUUCAUUUAAAAUUUCUAGUAUUUUCUUUUUAAAGGAUGCACUCUUUUUACCAACUUUUAUCUAAUCAUCACGUAAUUCUUUAAAGGCAUUAUAUAACUCAUCACUUGUUGCUUUUCAUUACUCGUUUCCAUAUCCCUGUCAUCUCAUGUUGCUACCAUUGCCUUUUUCUUAAGCUUGUUGAGGAGAGGACACUCCAAUCGUAUGUAUCCAUGCUUCUUGCAUUCAUAGCAAGUAAUUGCCUCUUUCUUCUCCUUUUGAAUCUUGUAGCUUCUGAACUUUUUUCGCUCACUAGUUUUCUUGUAGAAUUUUCUAAAUCUCCUAGCCAGCAUAGCCAUCUCCUCAUCAUCCAGAUUACUUUCCUCAUCACUCUCAUGUUUUGAAACUUUGAGAGCAAUUCUUUUCUUCUUCUUGUCAUUGCCUUUUUCUGUUGCCAAGUCUUCCUCAUAAGAAAUGUGACCUAAUAAUUUUCUUAACUUUCUUGUUAUUCGAAAAAGUCUUUCUUAUGGCUCUUAGAGUGUUCACUAUGUCCAUAAAUCUAGUAUACAUAGAAUACACACUCUCAUUUUGCUCUAUUUGGAAUAAUUCAUAUUGUCAAGUGUAUAUACUAAUUUUAGACUCUUUUACUUGAUUUGUGCCUUCAUAAACAACUUUAAGUUUGUUCUAAAUUUCAUGAGCACUUUCACAAUUAGACACUCUAUGAAACUCUUUCUUGUCAAGUGCACAAAAUAAGGCAUUCAUAACUUUAUAAUUUAGAGAAACUUUUCUCUUUUCCAAUUCAUUCCAUUCCCGUGAAGGUUUUGAAAUAUAUUUCCCAACUUCAUUUUUAGUCAUAGGCAUGAAUGGACCAACACAUACAACAUCCCAAAUUUCAUAAUAUAUUACUUGUAAAUAAAUUUUCAUCCUAGUUUUUCAAUAAGGGUAGUCAUUACCAUCAAAUAAUGGUGGCCUAGUUAUGGAUUAACCUUCCCUAAAUGUACGAUCAUUUUCGAUUGCCAUUGAUUUUUUACUCUAGAUGGUGCCAUUGAUUUUUUACUCUAGAUGGUUAAGUCCUAAUAAGAGAACUAAGUUCUGAUACCAAAUGAAAUGCUAGUUAUGCAACCCAAGAGAGAGGUGAAUUGGAAUUUUAAAAUUUAAGCUAAACAAACCACACAACAAUCUAAUCUAUUACCUUAAUGAAAUUAAAACAAUAAAUUUAAUAAAGUAUAAUAAUAAAAGAGUAAGGGAAGAGAGAGAAAACACAAUGAUUUUUACGUGGUUCGGCAAUCUCCGCCUAUAUCUACGCCUCCAAGCCAACCAAGCUUGAGGAUUUCACUAUCCAAGCCUCCCAACGCUUCAUGUUCUUUACAAUUGACUUUCAAUGUGUUAAUAAAUAUUUACAAUCAAGAGAUUAUCUUCCAAUUUUUUCAUCCAAGUGUUUCUCAUAAAUUUUACAAUGAAUUCAAGAAUUACAACAAAUACUCUCUUUUAGAGUUGAUAUACAAAUAAUAUCUCAAUGAAGAUUUAAUCUAUGUGAUUUAUGAAUUGGAAGCUCAAAAUAUGUUGUUUACACUUGUUUAUGCUUGCAAAAGUCUCUAAUCUGAAGCUGGAUUUAAGUUUAUAUAGUUUUAGCCUAAAACUAGCCGUCAUAGGUAAAUUCCAGAAAGCAAGCAGCUAGCCGCUUAAUAAGGAGGCUCGCCUCUUCAGAACAGUAAAGUUACCGUUGAAAUUUAAAUUUGGCUAUAGUAAUAUUGUUUACCAAAAUUACACUUCUGCCCAAACCUUUUAGUAAUCUUAUUAUGGCCCAAAUUGUCAUACAACUUUGCAAACCGAUCCAAUUCUAGAAUUUUUAAAUAAUGCAUGUUAUUCCAAAACCUUUCUAAAAUUAUGAUAUGGCAGAAAACUUUAUAAAAUAUUUCAAAGUAGUCAUAUUUAGAAUUUUAACAUAAUACUUAUUUAUUUCAAAGUUUUCAAAAUUUGAGAAUUUGAAAUUUGCUUCAAGCGGUUAGCCGCUAACUCUCUGUCUAUUUUUGAUAUUUAUACUUUAGCACUAAAACUUUAGAAAUUAUAAUAUGGCCCAAAUUAUUUCAAAUGUUUGCAACUAGAUCCAAAUCUAGAAUUCAAAACAAUACUUAUUAAAAUCAAAUAUUGUAAACUUUUUCAUUUUAGUCCACAUCUUGAAAAAGAACUAAUUUCAUUAAAUAUUUAGCUUAUAAUUACAAAACCUUCAGUUUAUGAAAAAUAAUGAUUUGUUAAACAAAAUCUUGAACUUCUCAAAUGAUAAACCAUGCAUUUAUUAAAUCAUACCGGCUUUACAAGAAUUUGUCGUAAUAAUGACUCCGUUGAGUUAAACUUUGUUCUCGAUCACGCCAUUAUCCAUUGAGUGUCUUGAACUUGAUUUCACAUGAUUCACUUGCAUAAAUAUUAUCCUUCAAGAACUAAUGAAAAUGUGAAAUACAGUACUUAUCAUGUUACUUAAGACAUAUGUUUGUUAUCAUCAAAAUUACAAAAUGUGUAGCCCUUUAGGCUAACAAUCGUCAACAAUGGUGUUAUGGUAAGUCAAACUUGACUUAGGUUUUCUUUUCUUUUUUUUCUUUUUUUGGUUAAGUAGAUAUCAAAUUUAUAUGCAAAGCAUAUGUUAUAUGAUUAAUUAAGUAAUUAAUUUUAGUGUAUGAUUGAUCUGUUGAUCAAACUAGAAUAUGGAACUUUAGUCAUUGCUCCAAAUUAGAAAUUGGUGAAAUUAACAAUCUGUUUUGUUUUAAUCAAAAUCUAGAUUGGCUGGUCUAUAAUUGAUUUUGAAUCUUAAUUUGCGACGAAAUUUAUUUUUCCUCUAAUUUGGGCAUAGUAAGCGCUGAUGCUUCAGCUAUUCAAUUUUCUUAUAAAAUGACUAAAUUUAAACAUCAUGGAUGACUUGUUGCCCAUUGAAAUAUCUCAUAAAUGACUUGCACAUGACAAGGAAUCACCAUUUGUGCCGACUAAGGCCCUCUUUGGAUUUCCUCAGGAUUUAUGAUUCUUCUAAGCAAAAUUCACUUAGAGGAUUGAUGAUUAAUAAUUAAAUCCUAACAACGUACACUAUUACUAAACAAUCAUAUGGCAUAUUGUUGGUGAUUAUUAUAAUCAAAUGUUACUGAUGCUAAUGUGCAAGUGUACACAACAAGUAAUAAAGUGAUGAAUAUUUAAGAUCGUCUCCACAGGGAUUGAUGUUACUAGAAAUGCUACAACAAUCACAAUAGUGCAAUCUACCUUAAUUCUGAAAUUAACAAAUGUAAAGUUGGUUCUAUUGAAAUUAAUAAUUGUGAGAGAAUAAAAUGAAACAAUGCAGUAAUGAAACAAAUUAAAUAAAAUGCGUCAAAGAAUCAAAUGAGAAUAAGGUAGUUGAAUGAUCAAACUCUCUUAAUUGGCUAACUGCUUUUUAUCAAGUUAACACCAGUUGUUACAGCAAUUGCUACAACAUUGGGCAGAAUUAUUUUGCAUCCUCAGCUGUCGCGUGUUGAAACUCUCAUACCCUUAAGUAUAUUAGCAAUGACCAGUUGCUAUUCUACCUAUGGCAUGGCAUUAUGAACCUCUAUUCUCUUCAUCCUACAAGGUGAGUACCUAUGUCUAGUUUGUCACAAAUCUUAACUUCAAGUAUAGGCCUUAUGGGAUUCAAGAUAAACUUAAUCUAGGAAACUUAAAUUAAGAUCAAGUAUUACUCUAAUAAUAUCCACUAAGACAUGCCAUUUUGUGCCUCUAUCUUAACUUAAACCAUUAAAUGGGUGGUCAACCGAAAUAACAGUUAUAAUAAUAGCUACUAGAGUAAAAUGCUACAGCAAUGACAUAGCAACUCAUAAGAACAGUCAAGAACCCAUUAAAUUAUUUGUCACUCAACUACAAGCAAAUUUAGUUCAUAUUCUGAAAGAGAAAAACAAACAUCAACAUAUUGUUCACGAGAUACAUUAGAUCAGUCAAAGAAAAAAGAAAGGUAUAAGUCAAGAACGGCAAAAAGUGAAUCCAAAUAACUAUGCUGGAUUUUUCAAUGCUGCUGCAACCGUUCCCUUGAAUUCUGAUCUUCUUCUUUUUUUUCUCUCUAAUUUUUCCAAUGAUAAUUCUUUGCCGCCGUUUUAUGUGGUGCACGCCUCUUUUUAUAACUAAAAACUAGGGUAAACAAAAGCCUCGGGCAUGCAUGAGUUAAAUUAGAAAACUACAGAUUGCAAUUCUGCAGCUAACCCGCGCUAAGUUUUCUCCCUCAGUGCUCCAGGAUUGCUACAGCAAUAGUUGCUCUAGCAACGGCUAUAACACUGCAAUGUUCCCGGUUGUGCUUCACUUCUUUUGUGGUCAUAUUCUUUCCUCCUCUUGCUAGUCUAAUAUCUCAGCAUCCCUUCAUGAAUUAUAAACUUCUGAAAACCUACAAUUAUGCACAUGUUUUGAGUACAAAUUACUUUAAUUCAAGCAAAACUUAUUAAGACUCAACUAAAAUGGAUGUUUAUGCAAAAUAUAACCAAAAUAUAAUAAAAACACCUCAUUUACUCUCUAAGUGGUCUUGAUUUAAGUCUGAAAUUUCUGUAAUAACUCUCAUUUCAUAGAGUUAUCACGUAUAUGUUUAAAAAUUUAGAAGAGCUCAGAUCAUAAGAGAAUAUUUUCUUGUCUUUAUAUAACAAAAGCUAUAAUUUAUGUUGAUCUUUGCAUAUUAUCCUAGUACAUUUGCAAGGUUCUUGAAGUGGUAUAUAUCAGUGCCGAAUCAAUAUUUUCUCUUGAUCUUUGAUUCAUCGAAGCUAAAUUCAUUUAGAUGAUUGAUGAUUAGUAAAUCCUAACAACAUACACCAUUACUAACAUACUAUUAUUACAUAAAAAUUGAUAUUAGGCCCAAUGACCCAAUUUAGCCAAUCAAGCUUAGGCAUGGGAUGUGUUACAUGCUUCUCAAAGUUCACACAGGGCAUUACCUAAUGGAAACAUGCAAGGAAAACAUGAAAUUUAGUUAUGCUAGCUGUUCAGGACAAUCAACGGUAGUAUCUAUUCUUAAAGCUUAAAUACAACAAAGUAGUGGCAAUGAAAUAUUGCCAACCAAUUUUGACAAAGAAAAAUCAUUUUAUUAAAAUCAAUUAAUUUUAACAAAUAAAUUAUUAUUUUAAAGCCCACCAAUUUUGAUAAAACAAAAUAAAUUAUAUUUUAAAGCCAAGCAAAAUUGACAUCUUGGGCUGGGUUUGCCCUAUAAAUAUGGGAGUUGAGAGCAUGGAGAGAUCAUGAAUUAAGAGAGUAUUUUGAGAACUUUGAGUUCUUAAUUUAAUAAUUUGAGAGUUUAGGUGUAUUGAAGUGUUAAGUUGUGAGAUAACAUAUUGCAAUACUUGUAACUCUACGCAACUACUAAAAUAUUUCCUCUCACCUUCUUUCGUGGACGUAGGCUAAAAGCCGAACUAAGUAAAUUCUUGUGUCUCUUGUGUUAUAUUUAUUUCUCAAUUUCAUUUUAGUGCAUCUACUUCACCCAUCAAUUCACUAGCAAUGUUAUCAAAGCUAUUGAUUGCAAUUAUAUCUUCAAUAAUCUUGUGUUAUCAAAUGCUCUGCAUAGUAUCUCUACUUCGAAUAAUUACAAUCAAUGGCUGUGAUAUCAUUGCCAAUGAAUUAAUUAGUGAAGUAGAUACACAACUAAAAUGAAAUUGAGAAAUAAAUAUAACACAGGAGACAUAAGAAUGUACAUGGUUCGACUUUUAGCCUAUCUACCGAAAAAGAUGAGAGGAAAUAUUUUACUAGUUGUGUAGAGUUACAAGUAUUACAAUUGAAUUCUCAAAUUAAUGUUAAGUUCUUAAAUUUCUUUCUUAAAGUUCUCAAAAUACACUCUCAAUUCAUGAUAUCUCCGUGCUCUCAACUCCUCUAUUUAUAGGGCAAGCCAAGCCCAAAAUGUCAAUUUUGAUUAGCUUUAAAAAUAAUUUAUUUUGUUUUAUCAAAAUUGGUGGGCUUUAAAAUACUAAUUUAUUUGUUCAAAUUAUUUCAUUUUAAAAAAAUAAUUUACUUUGUCAAAAUUGGUUGGCAAUAUUUAUUGUCAUCACUUUACUAUGUUUAGUGUUGUGCAAAUUUUAUUGAACUCGCAAGUGCACGAAUCUAUUGUAGAAUAGAUUAAUGGUGAAGAGUGUUGAUCCCACGAGAAGGUGGAUUUUAAUUAUAUGUAGAAUUAAUUUUCUAAAUGGGUGGUUAGAUUUAUAGUAAAGAUGAUUUGGAAUAUUCUAAAAUUUAAAUUGAAAUGGCAGAAUUGAAUUAAAAAGGAAACUAUUAUAAUUGAGGCGCUUGGGUGGUUAGAUUUGCAUCAAUAUGCACCAUGGGCUAAAUAUUCAUUAUUAGUGCCAAUUAAAUCAUGAGGGGGGAAUCCACACCUCAUGAACCACGCUCUAAUCAAUAUGGUGCUAAGGGCUUAUCAUGUCAAAUAAUAAUAAUCUUGCACUAGGGAGCCGGUGAAACCAAGGCGGUAUCUAGACAAGAUUAUUAUUAUUUGUCGAAGAAAAGUCAAAACAUCCACAAAAAUUAGAGGGGAAGAGAAAGUAAAUUUACCAAUUAAAGCCCAUGGCACAUGUUGAGACUUCACCUUCAACCCAAGCUUGAAAGAAAAUUAGCUACUCAUAAUUGAACUAGGGGUAAAAUGAAAAUUUAUUAAAAUACAUAGAAAAUACAAGAUAGAGAAGGAAUUACAAAAAAUGGAGCUCAAAAAUGAAUUCAGAGAUGUCAAAUUAGGGGAGAGAGACCCCCUUUUUAUAGAUACACUGAGUAAAUUAUAGCCAUCGGAUUAAAAACAUUUCGGACGCUCAGGAUUGCGCCACGUCAUCAGUCAACAGUACGCGGUUUGACCAUGCGGUUUGAACAGUCAGGCGGCUUGAAUAGUGACGUGGUUUGGUUGAAAAUAAUCAUGUGUAUUGCAUGUACCGUACGCACGAUUUUUAGUCCACCAACAUACUGCCACGUCACUGAUCAACAGUGCAUAAGAAUUUAAGUCCAAUGGAAUCGUGACACCUCAUUAGUCAAUGCCACAUCAUCGAUCAAUGUCACGUCAUCGUUCCGUAUGUGUGAACAAUGUAGUGAACAGUAACUUGGACAAUACCGUAUAUGUGAACAAUGUCAUUUUUCCUUUUAUACUCCUCCUAAGGUUUUCGACUGUCAUGAGUUCAAAAGUGAUGUCUGUUUUGCUGUUUGAUAUCUCGUUUAUUGUGAAAUGACCAUGAUGCCCCUAAAAUAUAUAAAAUACUUAAUUAAAAUAAAACACACAUAAUUAAAUUACAAUAGACUAAAAUACAUAAAAGUAAGAGUGUUAGUAAGACUUGAAAUGUAAAAUAAUAAUUUUCUCCUUUAUAAAUAUACACUUUCUAACACUCAACAUUUAUGCUAUAAAAAUAGACAUUGCCACUAAAUGUCUUGAACAGCUAACUUGACCAAACUUAACGUUUUCCUCACAUGUUUCCAUUAGGUAAUGCCUUGCGCAAACUCUGAAAAGCAUGCAACACAUCCCAUGCCUAAGCCUAAUGGGCUGAAUAAGGUCAUUGGGCCUAGUAUUGAUUUUUAAGUAGUAACAUUAGCCCCUUUGAUUAUGUGAGAUAUGUAGUCAUAGGUGAGCAUAUCACAUAGUCAAAUACCUGCCUAAAAAAAUUACAUUGAAAACUAAAAGAAAACAUGGUUAGUUUAAAGCAAAUUAUUUAUAAAAAUAAAUCAAUUUUAACAAAUAAAUUAUUAUUUUAAAGCCUACCAAUCUUGAUAAGAUAAAAUAAAUUAUUUUUUCAAGCCAACCAAAAUUGACAUUUUGGGAUUGGCUUGGGCUAUAACUAAUGGAGUUGAGAGCAUGGAGAGAUAAUGAAUUAAGUGAGUAAUUUGAGAACUUUUAUGAGAGUAUUUUUAGAACUUUAAUUUCUUAAUUUAGUAAUUUGAGAGUUUAGGUAUACUAAGGUGUUGGGUUUUGAGAUAAAAUACUGCAAUACUUGUAACUUUACACAACUACCAAAGUAUUUUCUCCCAUCUUCUCCCAUGGAUACAGGCUAAAAGUCGAACCAUAUAAAUUUUUGUGUCUCCUGUGUUAUAUUUAUUUCUCAAUUUCAUUUUAGUCGUGUAUCUACUUCACUCACUAAUCCACUAACAAUUAAUAUCAGAGCCAUUGAUCGCAAUUAUUUGAAGUAGAGAUAUUGUUCACACAUAGGGUACUAUUCACCUACAAGAUACUCUUUGUGUAUAUGAUACUAUUCACGUAUAAGAUAUUAUUUAGAGCAAGAGUGAUCGAAGGCAUGAGUGGAGUAACCGUAUUGUUUUGUACAUGUCUAAGAAUGUUUUAUCACCAAGGCAAUAAAAGUCUAAGGAGUUUAGGUUUAAGUUGGACUAUUACGAUCUCACAUGUCUUUCCUCAGAUUUCCUAUUGUGCAAUUUUACACAUAUUAGCACUUGCGACUACUCAAACUAAAGUCAAAGUUGCAACAAGAGCUUAUUUGGGCUAUAUCAAUGCCAAAAUACUCUUUUGAACCUUACUCUUUGAACUUUCAAUAGAAUAAGGCGAAUUGUAGACCAAUUAGUCUGAAUUUUCAUUGAAAUCCAACUCUAUUUCAAUCGAGAAGGGGCCCAUUCUUAUUAUACGUGGCUUAAUAUAUCUUAAUAGUAUCUCUACUUCGAAUAUUUGCAAUCAAUGGCUCUGCUAUCAAUUGUUAGUGUUGGUGAGUGAAGUAGAUACAUUACUAAAAUGAAAUUGGGAAAUAAUACAAGAUACAAGAAUUUAUGCAGUUUAGCUUUUAGCUUAAGUCCAUGGGAGAAGAUGAGAGAAAAUAUUUUACUAGUUGUGUAGAGUUACAAGUUGAGUAUUUUAUUUCACAACUCAACACCCCAACACACCUAAACUCUCAAAUUCUCAAAACACUCUCUUAAUUCAUGAUCUCUCCCUGCUGUCAACUCCCCUAUUUAUAGGGCAAGCCAAGCCCAAAAUAUCAAUUUUUGUUAGCUUUAAAAAAUAAUUUAUUUUGUUUUAUAAAAAAUGGUGGGCUUUAAAAUAAUAAUUUAUUUGUUAAAAUUGAUUUAUUUUAAUAAAUUAAUUUCCUUUGUCGAAAUUGGUUGGCAAUAUUCUAUUGCCACCACUUUACUGUAUUUCAAUUGUAAGAAUAAAUAGUACCGUUGAAUGUUCGGAAUAGCUAGCCUGACUAAAUUUCGUGUUUUCCUUGCAUGUUUCCAUUAGGCAAUGCCCGGCACGAACUCUAAGAAGCAUCUAACACAUCAUGUGCCUAAGUAUGAUGGGCUAAUCAAUUGGGUCAUUGGACUUAAUAUCGAUUUUUAGGUUGUAACAUUACCCUCUUUGAAUAUGUGAGAUGUGUAGUCAUAGGCGAGCAAUAAUAGUCCAAAUUAAGCUGAUUGCAAACCAAUUACUCUGAAUUCCCAUCCAAGCCCAACUUUAUUUCAAUCGAGAAGAAGUCCAUUCGUAUGACACAUGGUUAAUAAAAUUUCCACCCCAAACAUGUGGCAAAAAUGUUUAAACACUCAAGAGAACUCAAAUCAUGAGAGGAUACAUUCUAAUAAUUAUACAAACAAAAGCUAUCAUUUAUGUUGAUCUAUGCAUAUUAUCCCAAUGCAUUUAUAUGUUUCCUGAAGUGGCUGAACUCAAGCUUGUGUGGUGUUUGAAAUCAAAGGAACUAUAUAGACAAAAAUUUGUCCUCGAAAACUAUUUAUACAACUCAUCUUGUGUUCAAGUUUGUCGAUCCCAGAUAUGGAUUUGAAACGAGACCUGUAGAGUUUAGUGUCUACUUUGAUGAAAACAAUAAUGGGGAAAGAUAUAGAGUGGUGCUAGAUCCUUCGAAAGAUGUUCCUCAACUAUCUCAAAACAGGGCAGAUGGGUGGAUGGAAAUUUAAGUGGGUGAGUUCUUUAAUGAAAAGGAAGAUGAUGGAAUUGUCGUUUGUAGUGUCUUUGAUUUUGAUUGCUACAGUCCUAAGCAUGGUAUCUGUUGAAUGUGAACUUCAAUUGUGAGUUUCUGGAGGAUGCGACUUUGUCGGUUCUGAAAUGGGUUAAGAGACGACAAGUCGUUAGAUAGACUAUGCUGCUCAUACGACACCAACUUACUGUCAUACAAGAGGCAAAAGUAAUGCACGUGACUUGCACAUGCAGUUACAUAUUCAUGCUAACAUUUUACGGCAGCUACAAUUGUCGUUUUAAGUUUAAGGGUUGUUAAUGACAGUUAGAUUUGGUGGGAACUCUCUGGGUUUGUUGCAACAAACCCAAAACGUUAGCUGGCGAGAAGCUCUUCACUCUGGAUCCUUCCAGAGCAGUAUUAUAAGGUUCCUAAGGCUCAGCUUAGAGGGUUGAGUUCUAUGUAACAUUCUCUCUGAAUCUUGUAAUCUGUUGAGCAUCAAUAAAAGGAUAUGGCUUAUGUUUCUCAAGAGGAUGUAGGCUGCUUAGCCGAACUUCUAUAAUUCUUUUUGUGUUCAGUUCUUUCCUUUUUCUCUUUGAUUCUGUCAAAACACUUUUACUUUGAUUCUGAUUUGGUUUGAAAUUCAUUCUUGCAACAAACAAGAUCAGUGUGUGGAAAUUCUUGGGGAUAGAAUUAGGAUUAAUCAACUCUAAUUCUUAGCAGCAUCAUUAUCCAAGGAAUUGAGUUUAGGACUAAAAAUAGCGGAUAAAUGCCAACGUCUAUAUAUUCAGCUCUUUGCUGUUUAAGUUGGGAUAGGCCGCAUAUAUAGCAGAUUGUUUAUGAGAACAACGUUUUAUGUUGGCCUUUUUCUAUUGACGAUAUUGCUUCACGUCUUUAAUUAUUUUCUUGGAAAUCAUUUCUUUAUUGGAGCUGUAUUUUUGCAUGACUAAAACAAGAGUGUGUUAUUAUUAAUUACAUCUCUCAUGUUUGUAAACAUGUCACAUAGGCUUCUUGAUCACUUUUUGGUAUUAUGGGAUUUUGACGUUGUGAUUGAGGAAACCAAUUCAAGGUAUUUUUAAUAUCCAAUAGUCUCUUUGAUAUGAAUAUCCAAAAUCCCAUAGUAAAAAUAUGAUUUGCUCUGAUAAAAUGUUCGGUUUAUGUAGCUCCACCAAAAAAAAAAAAUUAAGGACCAAAAAGAUCAUUUUAGGUGAACCUUGCCAAGGAAAAUAUUUUUAUUAAAAUAAGAAUUAAGUAGACACAAUUAGAGGGAACAUAAUUAAGCUUAUUUCUUUCACACAUACAACUGAAACAAAAAUGCAAAAUGCAAAUUAUAAUAAGGAAAGAGAGGUUUGCCCGUGAAGUGAAUUAGUAGUUAGGAGAAAAACCAUUAACUCUUUUAGAUAAAACGCUCUAAAUCUCAUAUGGCGCAUCCCGCCACCAAGUAACACUAGAACAAUCAAGACCAAAUUAAAGGGGAUAAAAAAUUAAUUGGAGAAGAAUAGACUUUAAUUUUAGCUCUUUAAAGAAAAAAGGCUGAGCUGACUAUGAUUUAAAAUUUUUUAAUUCAUUUACUUUUCUAAGAAGUUGGGGUGACCUUAGCAGCACGUUCAUCUGUGUAGGUGUACAUAUAUAAUUUUCUAGGUAAAGUUUAGAUUAUCCCUAGUAAAUUGACCAUUUUUUAAUUAUUUUUCUUAGUUUUGAAAAUCUCAAAUUAUUUUAUUUUUGUUCAAAAGUUAAGGGAAAAACUAGGGUUGGUUGAUGAAUUUUUUUGUUUUCUUUAACAAAAAUAGGGGAUAAAUUUAGAUUUUUAAAAAUAAAGAGAAUGAUUUAAUAAUAGUUAAUUUACGAAGAAUAAUCUAAAAUUAAUCCAAUUUUCCAAAUAGCCACGUUAUAGGUCUAAGUGUAAACGGACAUCACUGUGGUUGAAACUUGAAACCGUGUGAUUUUGGAAUCUUUUAUCCGCUACUUCUAAUUAAUUUAAUAACCUUCUAUAUUGACUUGACUUACAUAUCUAGGUUAUCAAAGAAGUCUUGCUUACUCUUUAAGGGGUUGUGAGUUGCAAAUUAAAGAAGAAUGAAUAGAGAAAGGCAAAUGGACAUCGCUGCUGUUGAUCAGCUGCCUGUAGAGUGCAUUUCGCACAUCAUUUCUCUCACAACUCCUCGCGAUGCUUGCAUAUCAUCAACGGUAUGUCCCAUCUUCAAAUCAGCUGCGGAUUUAGAUUCCGUGUGGGAGAAGUUUCUGCCGUCCGAUUACAACCAGAUCAUUUCCAAUUCGGUCUCCGAUUCAUCUUUGAUUACUUCUUUGUCUUAGAAGGAUCUUUAUUUUCAUCUUUGUCACAAUCCUAUCAUCAUCAACAAUGGUGCUAUGGUAAGUCAAACUCGACUCAUCUAGCUUUGCAACGUAUAGAUGACUUUUCUUUAUAGUCAAUGAUCUGCCCCACUUUUAGGAAUUUAUAAAGGAAGGGUGACUCAAUUUUUGUGUUGCUUGCUGUAUAUGUAAGCUACCUAAUGAAAUUAUGUCAUAUAAACUGGAAGUUUGGACUAUAUAUUUAAUUUAAAAUUUUUAACACAAAUUCAGAGUUAUUAAUUUUAUGUAAUCUAAUUGUAAUAUCUAAGUUGUAUGAGAUCGAUUACUCAAAAUUUAUGUUAAAAUUUUAAGUUGAAAUAUAUGUGCACAUAUGUAUUUUCAAUUUAUUGGCUGAUUGUGUAUAUGUACUCUUGAUGUAAAAUAUGUGUGUGUGUGUGUGUGUAUGUGUGUGUGGUAAAGAAUAUUAACACAGGAACUUUAUCAAAAUGUCAAAGCAAACAUGGUGACUGCCUAAUCGUACUUUGUUUUAGAGUUACCCUGAAGUGAUCAGAUAGCCGACUUGAAGUUUGUUAUUGUUACUAAUAAUUAAUAAACCCAAUUAUAAAACAUGUUCAAAAUGUUCAAUAUGUAAGUGCUUCUUGUAAUGUUUGUCACAUCCAAUUGUAUGCUUAACCGAAGAUUUUAUUAUCCAUUUGUCUGCAACCCCCGGCCCCUAAGAUGAGGAAAGUAAUCUAGCCAACAUUGUCAUUAUCCUCCGAUAGAGCUUUUCGCUGGAGAAAGAGAGUGGCAAAAAAUGUUACAUGGCUGGGGCAAGAUCGCUUUGUAUAGCAUGGGGAGAUACACCAAAGUAUUGGAAAUGGACUUCGUUACCACAGUCAAGGUAAUGCGUUUCAUCAGCAAUUUCGUGACUACCAGUUACUUCAAUUAUAAAAUCUCUUUAGAUAAAAUAUUUAAUUUGGUUGUUUAAAUCUUGUUCACAUGAGUAGAGAGUGGCUUUAAUUUCCAAUAUACUUUCAUUUGCUUAAUACACGUGCAAUACGUUAAUUGGCAGGUUUCUCGAGGUGGCUAAACUCAACUUUGUGUGUUGGCUUUAUGUCAAAGCCAGGAUAGAAACUAACCAAAGUUGGUUGGUGUGAGUGGUUCGGUCUCUCACUCCUUAAGAGAGGUCAGGGGUUCAAGCCCCGCUCUCGUAUGGAGUCACCACUUUGGCCAGCACUUUACCUCUUAUGGGCCGACCCGGUGCGAACGGAGAUUAGUCUGAGUUGUAGUACGGGCUUAAAGGUGCCUCCCACAGUUAGGGCCCACUCAGAACCAUCUCUUUGGUUCAGGCCAAAAAAAAAAAAGACAGGAUAGAAACUAAAAUUUUGUCCAUUAGAACUAAUUAUGCUGCUUACCUUGUGUUCAAGUUUAUCGAUACCAGAUAUGGGUUUGAAACAAGACCCGUGGAUUUUGGUGUCUACUUUGACGGAAGUGAUAAUGGGGAAAGGCGUAAAGUGGUGCUAGAUCCUCCGGCGAAUAUGCCUAAACUAUCUCAAGAUAGAGGAAAUGGAUGGAUGGAGAUUGAGAUGGGUGAGUUCUUUAAUGAAACUGGAGAAGAUGGAACGGUUGUUUGCAGUGUGUUCGGUUUUGAUGACGCCAAGUCCGGUAUCAUUAUCCAGGGAAUUGAGCUCAGGCCUAAAAGUGGAAGAUAAAUGCAACUUUUUACUUCUUUAAGUCAUGAUUAUGUUGUGAUACGCAUGCUGAUUUUAGAUGUGUUCGAGCUCUUAGUUUGCCCGUACUUAAAGCCACCGUUGACAAUAUGCAACCAGUGGUUACUAAUCAAGAGCCUGUUAUUGAACAACAUGAAACAUCAAGACGAAAAGAAACUAAUUAUAUAGAUUGUCCAUUUCUGCAGGUAGGAACUAGGAUUUCGCUUCAACAAGCCAAUUUUUAUUCGCAUUUUCAUGUAGAUGAGAUGAGAAUGGUCUGCAAUUCAAGGAAAUUAAUGGUAAUUCACAUUUCACAAAGUAUAUGUAGAGUAUGGAUUUGGCAUUCAUGGGAUUUCAUGACCGCAGCUGCAUAUGAUAGACGAAAAUAGAUGAGUCCUGUAGAAAAAUAAAAAUACAAAUCUAAAUGAGUAUUAAAAUCUCAGAGAGAAUAGAGGGUCCCAUAGCUAUUGACAAACUCUUCAAUCAAUAGGGACCGCUGCAAAUGGAAGGCUCAGCUAUGUCUGGUCAACUGUCCAAAAAAUCGAGGUCCCCCCUCCCUUUGAGUUAAUUGUUCAGCCACUUUGCGGUAAGUGUCAACGCUGUCAUAAAUACACACACAGGGACACGGCUAAGUUGCAGAAGCUGCAACUAACAGCCUUGGCAUUUUGACCUUGCAUCAACAGCUCCCUUGCAUAGGUUGCAUCAGCACCAACACCCGUGGAAGAUUCCCAUUGACUACCCAAACACACACACAAACGGAGAUCUAUCUUGAAUUUUUUAUUAGACCAAAGUGUUUUUGAUGAUAUUGCUUGAAAGUCAUAACUUUUUUUCUUGGAAAUCAUUUCUAAAUUAGAAAUUCUAAUUUGGAGCAGUAUUUUGGCAUAACUAAAAUAAGGGCGUAUACAGCAUUCUUAAUUACAUCUCUUUGUAAAUAUGUCACAUAGAUCUUUCGAUCAGUUUUGAAGGCUGUUGGAUUUUGACACUACCGAGGUUGUUUUUGUAUUUUCAUGUUUACAAUUAAGAAGGUACCUUAUGUGGAAACAAACAGUCAACACCUCUGUUACAAAAGAGUUUGGUUACAAAAUUAUCUCUGGGAUAUUUAGAUAGUUAUAUGAUCCUUUCAUGCAUGAAUUUCGUGCAAAUGACAGCAUGCCUACACCAUUAUGAGAAUUGAGCUUCAUGGAACUCGAAACUUUUCCAAAGAAAAUCAUAUGGCUAAAUUUCUUUUAUUCUUUUUUUUUUCAUUUUUUUUUUAAUUUCUCAUGGUGGUCCAAGUAAGUUAAUGCAUGGUACCUGACCCGAACAGAAAUAAGAUCUUUUAAUUUAACGUUACUAAGCAAUCCUCAUAAUCACAAAUUCAGUUUAGUGUUUGUAAUUUGAUUUAGGAGUAUUUUAAUAAUUAAAAACUAUUUCUAAAAGUGGGUUUAGUGAGUAGUUUUGUGGGUUCAAAUAGCAUGUCCAGUCUUUAAUUAAAAAGAUGUAGAGAGUAAAUUAGUGGAUUUAAUAGCCUCACCCUUUGGGUAUAAAAUUAUAUUAGACAUACUAUUAAAUUAUAAUAUUAGCAUAUUAUUUCUCUUGGGGACAAUAUCUCACAUUAACUGAAAAUAAAUCUUAGGUUAAGGCUUGAACAACCCUCAACUUUUAAGUUAACUCCUGAGUAUAAGUGGAGUUCAUGACCCACAGGCAGAUGAUAUGAAUCUUGAGUUACAUAUAUAAUCAAUCUCGACAGAGCCAAUUAAGAAUUUUAUUAAAAAAUAAAAUAAAAUUACACUUACAUAAGGAAGCCAUAAUAAACCUUAUUUCUUUAAUCAAAAUAAAAACAAGAAAAGCCGGCUAGCCAAUUAUGACUGAACGUAAAAUUAUAAACAGUAACUGGCUAGCCGAAUAUGAUGCAACUUUGAUCAAACCAGUAAAUCCAUCAACUACCACUUCUCUCUAAUGAUCCAAUUUAUAAUUUUAAUUACAGAUUGAACAUUGGUUCUAGGGGUGAUAAUAUGGGUCAGGAUUCAUUUAUUCAAUUUGUUUCGGUGCGAAUUAAAUGAGUUUGGAUUUAAAAAAAAUUGAUUCAUUUAAUAAAUGGAUGAAUUUGAUUUGAUUCUCUAAUUAAAUUAAUCGAAUUCGAGUUUGAAGAUAUUGAUUCGUUUAUUCAUUUAAGAUUCGUUUAAUAAUUGGGUCAUAAAUGAAUCGAAUACGGGUCAAUUCAUUUAAUUAAGUAACUUUUUUAUCCUUAAAUUUAUUUUAAAAUUUUUUUUUAAAUUUGAAGCUUAAUAUUGUAAAUGUGAGCGAUAAGACAACCAAUAAAGUGAAACAAGAAUUAGAGCAACCGGCCUUAAUUUUUCAUUUCACAAUUUCAGCCACGGCAUCCCUCUCUUGUCUCCGGUGUUCACGGUUCACCCUCAACAAUUUUAUUUUGUUCUCUCCACAAUUUCUCAGCCGACAACAUCUCACCUAACUCACACUCGCAUAGUAAGCUCUGAUUCUUUUUCUUUCUUAAUUUUUGAGCUAUUUAGAGGCAUAUCUCACAUUAUUAUAUAUUCUUUACUUUUAGAUUUCUCCAUCGCCUGAGAUAAUUCAACUCUACACAUUUUAAAUUGAUAUGAUUCUUUUUCUUUUAUUUUUUUUUCAAAUGCACUGUCAUCAUCAAGAGGUAGCCUUUAGUAAUGAUCUGGUUUUUGAGCUUAAAAGUUAUUCAAGCUUAUGAUUGGUUGUCUUUAAAUUUACAUCUCAUAAUUGAUAAAAUGGAUUAAAGCUAAAGUGAAAUGUUUGGUAAUUUAUUUAAUAAUAUUAAUAAUUGUUUCUAUUGCUCAUCUUAUCCUAAGGCCCAACUUUUAUUCUCAAAUCUUACUAAGUGUGGUCAUCAUGUCCGAUAAUAACGCAUGCUUGAUUUGUUCAGCUUCCAAAAGGUACACGUCAAUGGUCAAGUUUCCUUACUCCAGAACAGUAUUAAUUAUUAUUAUUUCCCUAACAAUACUACAAAUUUACUAUAUAUUUGAUAUUUUGAAAUUUUACAAUGACUAUUAUCAGUGUUGCAGUAUGUUAAUAUCAUUUUAUUUACUUUUUGGUGUAGGAUAUUUGUUUUUAAGGUGACAAAGAUAGAAUGAAGAGAAUUAAAGAAAUCACCUUAUUUUAUAAUUUAAAUUUUAAUUAUUGUUAUUUGUGUUGUUAAGAACUUGUAGUUUGGUAUUUGGAUGACUAUAUAUUAAUUUAAUCGUAGAAUAUGGUAUAAAUUAUUUGUAUUUUGUAGGAUAUUAAAUUUUUGGAUUUUUUUAUAUUUUAAUUUGCUUAAUUUUGUUUAUCAAUAAUAUUUUCUAAACGAAUUGUACCAAAUCUGAAUUUGUUUACAAUUCGUUAUGAAUUAAACAAAUUGUAAACAAAUCCAGAUUCGGUUUAAUUCGUUAUGGAUUCAUAAUAGGAUAAAUAAAUAGUAAAUGAAUCCGGAUUUAAUUUGAUUUGUUUAUUAAUUCCCCUGAACGAAUUAAACGAAUCGAACCGAAUAUUCAUUUAAUAAACGAAUCGAAUUUGAAUCAGUAAAAUUUUGAUCCAAUUUGUUUACGAUUCAAUUUAAAUUCAACUCAUUUAUUCGUUUUGCCAAACUUAAUUGGUUCACCAUAUCCUUGAGAGAGAAUAAGCCUAUCAUUACUUAUCAUAUCCUCGAGUAAGGAUAUGGUCCAUUUGAUUCUUUCUUUUUUAUGAGCCUAUCAUUACCAAUUUUUAUCAUUUAUUCGUUAUUUGUUUUCAAGUUCUCCAUCAAUGUUUCGUCGGAGAGAUUCGCAAGAUUCAGCUCACUCCAUAAUCAAUUAAUUAAAAAAAAACCAAUAACACAAAACUCGUGCUGUGGGCCCUAUUGGGCCAACCUUGCAAAAAGUACUGCAGCACAGCCCACCAACUCAGAAACCAUGCCAUGUCGGGCCACUUGCUCUCAUAGGCCUGUUUUUUAUUACUGGCACGGUCCAUCGGAUAUCCCUAAUUGUUUUUAUUAUUAUGAGACAUUCAACUGAGUAAUGUUAUAACUUUAUGAAUAUUAAGGAUGAUAAUCUGGGCUAAUGGAUUGAAUUCAUAUUGAAUCCAUAUGAAUUGAAUCAAAAUCUAGUAAAUCUGUGUCUCUUUUAGUAAAUGAAUUAUAAUAUCAAGAUUAAUGUUUGACCCGUUUAAUAAAUAAAUUAACAAAUCAAUUCAUUUUAUUCAAUUAACUUAAAUUUUAAUUUUAAUUUAGCUUUAAAAUAAUAUCUAAUAUUACCUGAAUAUUAAAUAAUAGUCAUAUAAUAUUUACUAUUCAAUUUGUCUUUUUCGUCAGUCAAUUACAAAAUUACCUUUAGAUGUUAGCUUAAAUUUUAAAAUUAUAAUAUGCAAUUUAUUUAGCAAAUCAUAAAUGAAUAAAUGAAAUGCUCAGAUUAAAAUUGUGUUCGAUCUAUUUAUGAAACGGGUUGACAUAUAUUAUGUGAAAUGUGUGUCAAUCGUAACCUACUUAUUUAAAAUCGAAUUGUGUGAAAUGGAGGGAUUAUGAACCAAAUUGCGGUCUCUACUUUAUUUAGACACUGCAUAAGUCUGGGAGUUCAUCAUAUUAUCAAAUAAUCACUUAAUUUAACAUUCUAGCGUCCAAAUUAUAGUUAAUAAUCCAAUUUUAGAAGUGAUAAUUAAACAAUCUGAUACUGUGUUUCUACUAUCAUCGCAACUCCUUUGCCCCUGUAUCCACCACUGUUGCGUAUAAUAGUAACAACAAUUUCUGUUGAAAAAAAUAGUUUUUUUUUUCAAUUUAGUUCCAAAACUUUUUUUUUUAAUUUAUGUAUAUUGUUAAAAAGAAUAAAAGAUCAAAUUAAUCACAUAACAUUCCCCCCAGUUAAUGUCCAUAACUUCUAACUAGCCCAUCAUCUGGCUCUUCCGACAAUAUGAGUACAUUUUCACUUCAACUGUUGAAAUGAAUGUGCUUUUGUUUAAACCGUGUGGACCAAGUGUUCUAACAUUGUAGGAACUUUCAUCCACUAAUUUAAUAACAUAGUCUUUUUUUUUCCCCCUUCGUUUUGGGUGAUAGAAUUAAUAACAUUGUUAAUUGACUCGACUUGGACUUACACAUAUACCUUAACAAUGAAGUCUUGCUUUUGGCCCAUAUAUAUUAAGGCAUUAGUACUGUUGUGAGUUGAAAAAGAAAGAUAGACAGUAGAGAUUAAAGUAAGAUAAUGGGCGUCACUGUUGUUGAUCAGCAGCCUGAAGAGUGCAUUUCCCACGGCAUUUCUUUUACAACUCCUCGUGAUGCUUGCAGAUCAUCACUGGUAUGUCAUGUCUUCAAAUCGGCUGCGGAUUCAGAUUCCGUGGGUUAAGUUUCUGCCGUCCGACUACAAAGAGAUCAUUUUCAGUUCAGUCUCUGAUUCAUCCUUGAUCACCACUUUAUCUAAGAAGGAUCUAUAUUUUUAUCUUUAUCACCACCUCGUCUUCAUAAUCAAUGAUAGCAGGGUAAGUCAAAUUUGAUCAAUUUUUCUUUAAUCAUCUAGCUAAAAUGGAAUUUGGUUUUAGGGUACAAAUGAGAUGAUGAUAAAGAAUGCCUUUUAGGCAAUGAUUCUAGUCCUGCUCUUCGAAUAUAUUAAUUAAUUGCAUGGCAAUUACCCCUGCUUUUUAAUUCUAGAGGAACUAGGUGACUCAAUUUUUGUGUUUGUUGCUGUAUAUGUAGACUUAGCUAAUGAAAAUAUGUCAAAUAUAAGAAACCAUGCACACAUAUAUUAUCAUUUUAUUGGCUGAUGGUAUAUAAAAUUGAUGCCCAAAAAAAAAAAAAAAAUCACAUAGUACUUCUAAUUGUAUUUUUUUUUGGUGAAAUGGGAUUGCGUGCUAUAUAAACAUUCUACUUCAUCAUAAAUAAUAAUUAAUAUGAAGUAGCAGAAAAAAUUUUCAUUACAUAUGAAGUCAUCAGGCAGCCGACUAGAGGUUUCUUAUAUAGUUAUUUAGUUACAUACUUAAUGCUAUGAGUUUUACUUUUUAAUAACUAAUUAGUUCUUAAAAUAAAGUUUGUCACAUCCAAUUGCAUGCAAGACCAUACCAUGUAUUAUGCAUUUGUCUGCAACACUGGCCAAUAAAAUGGGAAAAUUAAUCCAGCUAUCAUUGUCUUGUCCUUCAACAGAGUUUUGCGAUGGAGAAGGCUAGUGGUUGGGGCAAGAGGGCUUUUUAUAGCAUGGGAAGGUACAUCCAACUAUUGGAAGUGGACUUCUCUGCCAAAAUCUAGGUAAGUUGCACUGUUAUCUUUGGUAUUAUGUAUUACCAUCAAUUUCAUCGGCACUUUUGGUUACCAAUUAGUUCAAUCGGUAAAAUUUCUUACGUCGAAAGAAAAUAUCUAAGGUUCAAUCCUUAUUCACGUGGGAGGGAAAAGGCUUUAGUUAUCAGUAUAUAUUUAUGAUUUCAUUUAAUCAUGCGUGUGUCAAUGCAAUAGCAGGUUUCCUGCAGUAGCUGAAGUCAAGUGUGUGUAUGGUUGUUUGAUGUCAAAGGUAGGAUAGAGACUACAAUGCUAUCCUAAUGCAUCAACUAGGCAGCCUACUUUUUGUCCAAGUUUAUUAAGUCCAUUUAUGGAUUUCAAAAGAAGAGCUUUAGACUUUGUAGUCUACAGUGAAGGAAUCAAUGAUGGAAAAGGCGAAGAGCAUUAUUAGAUCGUCGAAGCAAUGAGGCUUGACUAUCUCAAACUAGAGGAGAUGGGUAGAUGAAGAUUGAGAUGGGUGAUUACUUCAAUGAAAAUGAAGAUGAUGGCUUGUUGGUGUGUAGCGUACUUGAGAUAUGUAAUUUACAUGGAUUCUUAAGUAACAAUAGCAGUGGAGAGAAAAGAAUUUAGAGAAGACAGUAGCUUUGGGGGAAAUAUUCCUUUUUUCCUACCCUAUUCAAACGUCUAUUAGGCUUUUUAUAAAAGCCAAUGGUAGCUCACGAUUCACAUUACUAACUACCUAUAAACAACAAAAGAUACACUCAAACUAAAUAAUGCAUGGUAUACAGAAAUAAUGGGAAAGAUGGGCAAUAUUGCACAUGUAGUUACUGGUCCACAUGUUCAGUACCCAUUUAUUUUCAAAACAAGCUAGAAACCUUGGUUGGUUGUUGCUUGUUAUCCAGACACAUAUCAUUCCCCACCCCUUGAAAUCAUCAUGUUCAUAAGGUCAAAGCACCCCAUUCACUUAACCAGUAGUUUGGGGGGGGGGGGGGGGAGAGGGGAUGGGGGGAUGGUGGAGGAUCUUCAAUCAUGAACAGCUAUGGCCUUUGUCAAUGAUGGUCAGGAACGAAUCUCUCUUCAUAAUAAUAACAUAGCCCUUUUUCACGUCGAGCUCGUGCUUCUUGGCUACUCAACCGCUGGAUAAGAGGAGUGGUGGCAUUGGCUGUUUAGUUUGCCUUAGGAGGGGGGGCCCAAGAUCCCAGCAAAACUAUUUGGGAUUGGUUGUUGCAUCACAGAAAUAGGUGGUGGUUGAGAAAAGUGUUUAGUGCAGCGGUUGAGAGAAUUCCGCUCCUCAAUCAGUCUUGCCACACCAGUGGUGUCAACCAAGGUACGAGAUUGUUAAUCUUGACAUUGAGUCGUAUUUCAUCCUAAAGACCUGCAAUGAAACAACUAAUUAAAAAAGUUUUAGCUAAGCCAUUGACUUGCUGAGAAAGCUUUUCGAAAAUUUCCUGAUACUCAGCCACCGACGAAGUUUGUUUUAGGCAUGUUAAAGCUUCAGAAGGAUCCUCAUAAUUGAUUGGACCAAAACGGAGCAAUAUAGCUUUGGUAAAUUCAGUCGGAGUCUAUAGUCCUUUGAACUUGGUUAGCUAGCGAUGCCAUUGGAGCGCUAUUCCUUCAAGAUGGAAAGAGGCUAAUUGGACUUACUGUUUCGAAGCAACAUUUUGGAAAUCAAAGUAUUGUUUGGCUUUAUAAAUCCAUCUGGUAGGGUUGUCACCACUAAAUUUUGGAAAAGAAAGUUUGAGCUGGGUAUGGGACCGAUCUAGUUUGGAGAUGGAAAGUGAGGUUGGCUGGUGUGAAGGGAUGUGAGUUGUGGUAAAUGGGUUGAUCUCCCUUUCUUGGGAAGUGUUUUGGAGGCGCAAGGAUUGAAGUUCCGUAAGGAUUGUUUGAAGGAUGGCGUGAACUUGGUCAAAAUUGGACUCAUGUCUAGCAAGGAUUUCUUGGACCUCUUCACGAAAUUCAGCAUUGGAUUUAUUGCUUGUGGCCAUGGAUCGAUGCUCUGAUCCCACUUUGAUAAGUAAUUUGCAAGGAUUCGAAGUAACAAUAACGAGUGGAGAGAAAAGAAUUUAGAGAAGAUAGUAGCUUUGGGGGAAAUAUUCCUUUUUCCCUACCCUAUUCAAACAUCUACUAGGUUUUUUAUAAAAGCCAAGUGGAGCACACGAUUCACAUUACUGACUACCUAUAAACAACAAACGAUACACACAAAUUCAAUAUAAUGCAUGGUAUAUAUACGAAAAUAAUGGGAAAGACGGGCAAUAUUGCACAUGUAGCUAGUGGUCCGCAUGUCCAGAACCCUUUUAUUUUCAAAACAAGCUAAAAACUAAGUCCAUGCAUGGUCCAAGUACGUGGGAAGCUUGGUUGGCUGUUGCUAUCUGCACACAUAUCAACUUAAUUGUGAUCAAUCCAGCACCAAGGAUGGCUCAUUAUACAAGGAAUUAAGCUUAGGCCUAAAAAUGAUUGAUAAACUGAAUUUAUAUUUGACACAGCGGCAUUUUGUGAUGAAUAUGUUAAUGUUAAUAUGUAUUCAAGAUCAUUAAAUGGGCAAAAUAUGCUACUUUCAUGAUCAAAGUUGUAUUAUAUAUAUUUGGAAAAUCAUUCCAUGUUGAUAAGUUCAACAUUGGGUUCAAAGUUUGCGUUGGUUGAGGCUGCGCAGGUAUUUCCUUAAUGGGCCGGGUCCUGUGGUGCAGGAAAACUAAAUUUUUUUUUUUAUAUUUUAUAAACAGAAAAAAUAAAUACUUAAAAGAAAAUGACAGAGAGAAAACAGGAUCUUAUUUUAAACCUCUAGAUACAGCGAUCAAAUUAUAAAUACUAUAGAGAAAAAAAAUCUUUUAUCCAUUUCAGAAAUUGAAGAGCAUCAAAUUUUAGAGCAAGUAAUAUUUUUUAGUUUUUAUUUUUUUUUAAGUUUAUGUAUUCUAUCACAAAUUUUAUCAUAUUUUAUAUGGAGUAAUUAUAAAGUUCAUUAAAUUUUAACUACUUGAGUUUUUGUUUUCACUUCAUAUAAAUUUGUGCGCUUAAAAAGAAUUACUUCUAGACAACUUAUUAAAUUAAUCUAGAAAAAUAAAAGACAACUUAUACUUUCGUCUAUAUUUAUCCUUGUAUAUUAUAUAAUGAAACAACAAUUUGGUAACAGAAUUUGUCUCAUAACACUAACACCUAGUUGUUUAGUGGCUUAUCAGUAUUGUAAAAAUAACUUAUUUUAUCAGCUGCCUUAAUCCUAACUAGCCCUAACUCAACUAAGGAAAUUGUUGACAAGAGGUUGUAAUAAUUUAUUAUCUUUUGAAACUUGUUGUAAUUAUUUGAUAUUUUAGGUAGUGGAAUAAUAUUUGCAGCUAACUUCCCAAAGAAGUCGUUAAAAGAGACCAACAGCUUCGCAAAGAAGGGCUUGUGAGUGUUUCCUAUAAAAGCUCACUUUUUGUCUAAUGUGUAAACAGAACAAGUAAAAUGGAUAUUACAAAUGCUCUGCCAGUAGAGUGCAUUUCGCACAUAAUUUCUCUUACAACUCCUCGCGAUGCUUGUAGACUGGCAGUGGUAUCUCCUAUAUUCAAAUCAGCUGCGGAUUCGGAUUUGGUGUGGGAGAAGUUUCUGCCGUCCGAUUACAAGUUGAUCAUUUCCAACUCUGUUUCUUCUUCAUCUUUGAUCACCUCUUUGUCUAAGAAAGAUCUUUAUUUUCAUCUUUGUCACUACCCCAUCUUCAUCAACAAUGGUACCAUGGUAAGCUUUGAGUCAUUACUCUUUGACUAUUAUUCAUCACCUCUCUAUUUUAUAGAAUAUGCUUAUGAUUCCUAAAUUUGCUAAUUGAAUUAGCAGUGAAACUUAAAGCUAGUGUUCAAAUUGAGAAAUGACGAAAGUAUCUUUAUAUUACUAAAAGCUUGAUUGGCCGGUUCAUAUAAUUGAUUUCGUGUGCCCAGCCAGCUAAAUGUAAAUUCUUAGUAUCCAAAAAUUGAUUUGCUAAUUUUAACUACCUUGAAGUCAUCAUAUAGCUAACUUUAAGUUUCUUAUAUAGUUAAAUAGUACUCCUUAAUCUUCUGAGAUCCUAAAAAUGAAGAUCUUAUUUUAAAUUUUUUCUCAUCCAGUUGUAUAUGCAUAACCGUACCAUAUAGUAGAAACUUGAAAAAUUAUAUUCUACCUAAACUUAUGGUCACUUUGUGUCCUUCAACAGAGCUUUGAACUGGAGAAAGAGACCGGGAAAAAAUGUUACAUGGUUGGGGCAAGAGACCUUUGUAUAGGAUGGGGAAGUACACCCAGUUGUUGGAAAUGGACUUCACUACCAGAGUCUCGGUAAUUCAAACUUUUUAUCUUUAGUAUUAGAAUCAAUUAGCUCAUCAACAGUUUUGAGGAUGCCAACUAGUUUAGUCGGCAAAAUUUCUUGAAUUAAAACAGAACACAUUUAGUGUUCAAAUCCUACUCAUAAGGAUGGGGAGAAGCUUUUACUAACAGAACGAUUUCGUAUGGUCUAUGCAUUGGCAGGUUUCUUGAGGUGGCCGAGCUCGUGUAUUUUUGGUUUUUCGAAGUCAACGCAAGGAUAGAGACAAGAAUUUUGUCCCACAGAACCAACUAUGCCGCUUACCUUGUGUUCAAGUUUGGCAAGUCCACAGAUGGAUUCAGAAGUACACAAUUAGCAUCUGCGGUCUAUGUUGAAGGAAUCAAUGAUAAGAAAAGGCAAGGACUGUUCCUAGAUCCUUCAAGAAAUACGCCUAAACUAUUUCAUGACAGAAGAGAUGGAUGGAUGGAGAUUGAGAUGGGUGAGUUCUUCAAUAAAAAUGGAGAUCGUGGGACGUUAUUAUGUAGCCUAUAUGAUUUUGACAGAUUUGGCACUAGGCAUGGCCUCGUUAUACAAGGAAUUGAGUUUAGACCCAAAAAAAUGCUGAUGCAUUGAAUUACUUGUAUAUAUAGAUAAAUUAACAGCUGAUAAGUGCAGUUACUUCCUUGAUAACAUUCUGUGAUAAACGAAGCUGAAGUUUAAAUUUUUGUUCUUUUCUUUUUAGCAAUUUUUUUACAUCAAGAAAUGAACAACAUCAUCCGAAAGAAAUAUGGAUCAAAAAAUUCUCCCGCUGAUUUUCAGAUUUUUUGAGACAAUUAAUUCUUGUAAUUUAAUAUCCUUAUCAAUUUAAUUAAGUUUUAGGGUACGAAAACCUCAUAUUAUUAUUAUUGUUUAAAUAAAGAGAAAAAAGAAAAAAAAAGACUUUUUUUUCACAAAAGAAUGUGGUUAAUUUCACUUUUUUAAUAAAUUAAUUAUUUUCAAAACACCUAUGCAAUUAUUUUAAACUUUAGCUUCUCCUCAAUCACCGUUCAAAAUUAAGGUCAAAUGGAAUAUGUUGAUGUCAAAAAAAAUUAUGUUCUUAAGAAAUGUUAAGGAUAAGUUAAAGUUUUCAAUAAUUUAAAAAAAAUUGAAAAUAGUCAAUUCGUUAGGGGGAUAAAUUGAAAUUUGUCCAAAGGAAAAAAAAUCCUUAUUAAUUUGAAGGAAAAUUUGUCUGGCUUAUACUUUUAAAUUGUUCUGUUAUCAAACAUACUACAAUACUUUCAGUUUAUAUCAUUCGUCCACCAUAAAUUUCCAAAAUGUAUCAGUCAUCCAAUAAAUCGUUAAUUUUCAUUAGAAUGUGAUGGCAUCAAAAGGAUAAUUUUAUCUUUUCAUAUAGGCGAAUCUCGAAACAAAAACAAUAUCUUUUCUAUUUGGUGAAACGACAUAGUUUCACUAUAACCACAAAAAAAAAAAAAAAAAAAUCUUCCAUUUCCCCAUUCUUCAUUCACAACAAGAGAAAGAAAUUAAAGUUUGUAAGAGCAAACCUAAAGAAGUGAUUGUGCUCACAAUGCUUCCUAAAUAGAAAGCCACUUACAAUUAAUUUUGCAAAUCCAACGAAAGGCUUAUGCCAUUUUAGAGGAUAUAUAGCUUUUAAUUAACGUCAUCAUCCAACCCACCAAUCCAAACUCUUCUUUCUUUAAUUCUUGGUCUUUGAUUUGCUUUGAUAUAUUUGUGACCCGAAAACGAAAGCUCGUCAAAGUUCAAACACGCUUGAUUUGUUCUUUUUUAAGAAAUUGCUUUUAGAAGGCUAUAAGUGAUUUUAAAAAAUAAAAAAUUAAUUCUGAUAUUUGAUAAAUUUUUAAAAAAUCACUUUUGAUAAAAUUACUCAUCCUAUAUCUGAUUUUGAAAAGUAGGAGGGAGUAGUUUUUUAAAAUUUGAUUUUGAGAAUCAGUUUUAUACUGAAUAGAAUUUUCAUGUAUAUCCUUAUAUAUAAAAUCUAAAAUUAUCCUCAUUAAUUAGGAAAUAAAAUUAUUAAAUUUAAAGAGAUUAUUAUUAUUAUUUUUGCCAAUUAUAUUGGGAUAACAAAAUAAAAAUAAAAUUUAAAUAUUUAUUUUAGUUAUAUACUUUUAUAUAUAUACAACAAAAACUAUUUUAUAUUCAUGUCUAUAAAUGUACCAGAAACUUUUAUUCAAUAUUAUGUUUAAUUUGGUUAUUUAAAUUCUUAUAAUAGAUUAAUAGUAAGAUUGACUAAAUGCAUAUGACUACUUUUAAAGUCCACUACACUUUUUAAAAUAAAAUUUAUCAAAUGUUUAACUGAUCUUAUUCAGAGCUGAUUAUAUCUCUAGGUUAAUUAACAUUAAUUAUUUUAAAAUAUCAAACAAUAUCAAACUAGACCUAAAAGAUUUUCAAUUUAUGAGGAAGAAAAAUGUCCAAGCCAGCUUCUCCCCUUAAGAAUAAAAAGAGGCCGCCGUAGAAUUUCAUCCAUCUCACUCUCAAGAGCAAGGUCCAUUUUUGUCUUAAUUUCCUAUAUUUAUUUACUACUUUCUUCUUUUUCUUUUGUGCAUGAAUUUCUAUUUGAAGUUGUAACAAAACUUGUUAUGUUUAUGUAUGCAUAUUGUAUGUAUGUAUGUAUGUAUGUAUCUAAUUUUAAUUUAUUUUUAAAAUAAAAAUUUAGUCAAAAUUUUUAAAAAUAACAUCCAUUGAUUUUGUAAAGGGAAAUUAUCAAUUGUAUACUCUAUAGUUGCUUUGUUAUAAAAAAAUAUUACAACACUUUAAGGGUGUAUCAAUCGUCCACCAUAAAUCGACAAAAGUUAUCUACGGACCACCAAACCAUUAGCUGUCGUUUGAAAGUUAACGGAAUUAUAGUAAAUUGACGAUUUUACCCUUAAAACUUAAAUUAAAGGAAAUUAUCACUUGUAUACUCUUAAAUUAUCACUCGUAUCAUAUGAAAAAACCAAAUUACCCCUCUGGUGUCAUCCUAUUUAAACGACAGCUAACGAUUUAGUGGUCGACAAAUACAUUUUGUCAACUUAUGGUGGACGAUUGAUACACCCUCAAAGUGUUGUAAUAUUUUUUAUAAUAAAACAACUAUAGAGUAUACGAAUGAUAAUUUUCCUUUUAUAAAUUUCCUUGGUUUUUAAAGAAAUAAAUUUUGUCUUUAAAUGAUUUUUUAUGAGAAUUUUAAAACUUAUUUGUUGAUUAUUACAUUUAUUUAUAUUAAUUACGCUUAAUUUAUAUUUUUAUUAAUAAUAUAAUUAUAUAUGCAAAGUAGUGUACGAACUAUAAUUUUAAAUGUGCAUAGUAUUUUUUAUUACAAAUGUACCACAUAAUAAUAAAUCAUUUAUCUAACAAACAUCCGGCAUCUACCAAAUUUUAUGGUAAUCAUUGCAUUAUAAGUGUGUAAUCAUUGCAUUACAAGUGUAAGACUCAUAAUGACAAAAAACAAAAAGAUUGAGAGCUAAAUUCGCCUCCUUUGCCUUUAUGAAGAAAAAGUGAAAACCAAUAAUCAUUUGAUUUUUGAAUUUUUUUUUUUUUUGUUUGAGAUGCCAUUAUAUUCUCACUAAACAAAAAACAGUUAGCCAAAAGUGGUACCAAGCACACCUUAAGUUUUUCAAGUACCCUUGUUCUGGCAAUUAGUUUUAAUUUUUUCAUUGGUUGGUUAUGGUUAAGUUCUAUAAUAUAAAUUGAUUGCGUCAAGGUAUUUAUAAAAGAGGCAUGUGAAGUGUUGGUGGGACCCCAUUAUGUUUGUUAGAUAAAUAGUUUAAAAUAAUUAGAAUGGAUAUAAAUUGAAGCUUCAUGUUUCAUUGAAAUAUGACUUUAUAAACUGCAUCUACUUCCCUAUUACAUGCUCAUCCAAAAGUAGCAAAAUUGGCCAAUAUUUUUUUAAUUUAUUUAAAAAAAAAACAGAUGCCAGGUCUCUAUUUUUCCUCCACCAACUGAAAAAUAUUAGAGAUUAAGUUGUACAAUGAACAUCACGAAUUUUAUAGCUUAAGGGGGUACGGCUUUUGGUUUUGGAGUUUUGAUCAUGGCUAAUUAAUUAGCCAAUUUGACUAAUUAUAUUUAAAAAAAACCAAAGUAAAUCAUCAUUAAUCGUGUUAAUUAAUUUGUUUCGAUUGCAGGAUGAAGAUUAGGCGUAAUUCAACUUCGGACUUUACAUUCCAAUGAAAGAAGCUCUUGACUAUUUAUUGUGACAAAAAUAAAAAAUGUAAUGGGUCUUUCCCUUUUGUGAUCGAUGGGGAAUGCUUUGGUCAUUCUAAAACCCCUGACCAAGUACUGAUUAUUUCCCUAAUUUAGACUUAAUUAAAAUUUUCGGAAAAAGAUAGCAUUUUGGGAAAACGAUGGCAAUAUCGAAGUGAUUUAGAGAAAUGUCACAAGUAUCUUAUUAGGGUAAAAGCUCGUUUAGUCCCUAUAUUUUGAAGUUAGUACUCGUUUAGUCCCUAUAUUUUUAAAAAUACCUCAAACUAUCCCUACCAUUAAAUUAUUGACACUUUUGCCAUUAUCUUUUGUUCCUUUUAACUUAUUUUUAUAAUAUUUCCCUAUUAUAAUAAUUUUUUAGACAUUAUUAAAAAGAAAAAAAUAACCAUGUUAUAAUAAUUUUUUUAGACAUUAUUAAAAAGAAAAAAAUAAAUUACCAGUUUAACAACAAAAAAUAAAAUAAAAUAAAAUAAUAUAUAUUAAUUUUUGUGGAACACACUCUUGAGUUAAAAUAUUAAUUUUUCUAAAAAAAUUGAUAAUGUAAUUUUUUACGAUAUUAAUUUUUUAGACAUAUGUGAGCUUCCACAAAAAUUAAUAUAUACUUUUUUUUUUUAGUUUAAUUUGAUAAUUUAAUUUUUUAUUAAUAUCCAAAAAAGAAACAUUAUUGUAAAAAUGUAAUAUUGUAAAAGCAAGUUAAAAAUAAAAAAAAAUAAUGGCAUAAGUGUCAAUAUUUAGUAGCAGGGACGUUUUGAGGUGUUUUUAAAAAUACAGGGACUAAAUGGACACUAACCUCAUAAUAUAGGGACUAAACAAGCUUUUACCCAUCUUAUUAUUUUAAGGGGGAUUUUAGAGAACAUUACUGGCACUGUACUCAUUAAGACAUACACUCAUACAUGACAUGAUAUAUGAUAUGUGUACGUUUGUUUAAAAAAUCAUCAUGUAAUUUGUAAUUAUAUUUAAUUAAACUACACAUUUUAUAUAUACGUUAAUUGGAUGUAAUUGGAUGUAAUACCUUUAGUAUACUAUUAAAGUUUCUCUUAUUUAAAACAUAGUUACAAAUUAAAAUUUAUUUUGAAUUCUAUGUACUGUAGAAUCAUUUUUUAAUAUGAAUGUCGAUCUAUCUUUGUGACGGUUUUGUCAGAUCACAAAAAUAUUGUCGUAAUUUUUUUCGUUUGGUUUUAAUAUUGCCACUGCCACUAAAUGUGAUCUAAAUUAAUGUUUCUACUUAAUUUGUAGCUUGAAUUGGAGGAUAAUGAUGACAUUGAUGCACUGUUCCAUGCCUUUGAAGCAGCAGCCAUCAUAAGGCAUAAUGCAAUUAAUAAGUGUUAAUUUAAAAUAUUUAUAGUACACACAUAAAUAGUUUAAAAAUUUUCAUUUUAUACUCAUAGAUACGAAACCCCUGGCCGCAUGCGGCCAUGGCAACCAAAAUCAUGGCAGCAUGCGGCCAAGGCUGCCAACUCGCUACCAUGAGAUUAGAGAUGGCAAAACCCCAGAUGGGUCCGGGUAUUACAAUAAUCGGACCCUGCUUAGAUGUAACCGGUUCGGGUCCGGGUCGGGUUUUAAUUCGGGUACCCAAAUUUUAUAUUUUUUAAUAUUAUAUGUGUAUAUAUUUUGUAUUUUUUUGUAAUUUUAUAAGUUUUAAAUUUAUUUCAAUAAAAUUUGACAUGAAAAUAUAAACUUUAAGUGUUUAAAACUUUAUAUAUGUAUAAUAAAUGAGUCAAGUAAAUAUAAAUAUUUAAAAUAAUAUAUAUUUCAUAAUAUUUUUUUAAUAAAAUUCGGGUUCCGGGUUUAUCAAGUGAUGCCCAAGAUCGACCCAGCUGCAUACCCGGGCCGGGUAAUACUCGGCCCACAACGCCCGGGUACGGUCCGAGUCCGGACCGGGUGGGUAUUUUUGCCAUCUCUACAUGAGAUCCAAAUCUAUCAAAAUAAUAUAUUUACAAAUUGGCACACACCAAAAAGGAGGAUUUGAAGAUGAAAGGUUUUUCGAAUGGGAUGCAAUCGGUAAAGAAAAUCUUUGCACUUCGUUUUAAGUUGUUGUGGCAUAACAGCUUACAAGCUUAUACUGGUAUAUUAAUCAAUUAACCCAACAAAAUUACCUUGCCUUUCGUCCAAUACAGUUUUGGUAUUACAUUUUUAAGUUGAGCGACAAUGUGAUUGUGCCCUUGUAAGAUCUGACUUCAAAUUAAUGAAACUUCUUAUUUGGUUAAUAGAUAUUGUUUGGGAAGGAAAUAGAAUGCCCAAUGACGAAGCACCACGUGUUGAUAUUAAGAAAGUGGCUUACCCCGAGUACCCUAGAUGCUCUGUGGGGUACCUGGGGUACACAAGUAAGGGCAAAAAGGUCAGAAAAAUAUUUUAAAAAAUCUCAGAAGAUCAAAGAAAUAUUACCCCAAAAAAGAGUGGCUAAUUUUCUAGCUAAAAAUAAGGAAGCAAAGAGAAAAUCUCCUGCUACCAAAGAGGAGACAGUCGCCUAUCAUGCCAGCAAAUAAGUCGAAAGGUUGAUAUAUGACAGUUGACACCAGUAGCUUUUUCUUGCCAUUCCUACAAAUUUACAACAGAAUUACAAAGGUACGCGGGACAACUCCACUAUGUCCAACACGUGAAUAAGCCUCAAACUUGCUCUCCAAGCAUAUUUUUAAAAUGUUCAAGCCACCACAUGUAUAAAAACUCAGGUUUAAUUUUUAUCAAAUCAUCUAACAAACACAUCACAAGAGUUAAGGUUUCUUCAACCUUUAAACCUCCAUUACUGAGAGCUUGCAAGCUCUCUAACCUGAGAAAACCCAACUUUGACUUGAGCGUCAGAGUGUGGUCGCAAGCCACCUUUGGCUCCACCUCUAACCUCUUCUUUCGAUGUUUCGUAGGUUUAAGGUGACUUUUGAAAGUUCUCUACACCUGAAGUCGAAUCUCCCACCAUAUCCACCACUCUCUCAAUCCUCUGUCACUUUAUAAAAAGCCAAAACAAUCUGUACACUCCAAACAAUCGAGGCACCCCGCUUCCUGAUAAAAAUAAAUUUAUUGUUCUUAAUUUGGUUUUGUGGCGUUCAUACACCCAUCAAAAAUCUGCUAAAAACAAUUGGCACCAUCUGUGGGGAGCGCACAAAAAGCCUCCACACGGUUCUAAGUUUGUCGGUACGUGUGCUUGUGGGUGACAAUGCUAUAUGUCGGAUGUUCCUGCAUACCCUUACUAGACCAGCCAAAUUAUGGUUCCGAUCACUCAAGGCAGGUACUGUAUCCUCCUUAGACCAGUUGUUAAAAUAUUUUGUUAAUGAGUUUUAUUAUGCUUCCUCCCAAGAUAUAGCAUCUUCCAAGCUUGCUUUCAUCAAGUAAGGAGAAUCAGAGUCUUUAGCCAAGUAUGUAAACGGUAAUCUGCUUCCACCAAGAGGUGUUGCGCAUCAAUAAGUUUGGCCACCAACACACUCUCACUCAUUUUGAGAAGAAUUUGCGUUUGGGUAAGUUGUGGGGGUCAUUCCAAAAGCACGGCCCCCUCUCAUUCGGGGAAGCUCGUUCUCAAGCUCUACAACAAAUAGAGAUUGAUGAGAAGUGUUACUUGAAGUGGGAGGGAGAUAGAGCAAAAGUUGCAAAAAGCAAGGAGAAACCAAAGAAAGCCAAGGCACCUCAAGCACCCUCUUGAACACCCUAAGUACACAGCCCACCUCGUUCAACCUCAUGUGGGAGAGGGUUGAAUAUUCUUGGUGUACCCCGGGUACCUCAGCAUGUUAUGCUGACACCUCCAGAAUGACGGACAAUACCACAAAAACCCCGAUAGGACUUUUCUCAUCAUUUGAAUCAGUCUUCAACAUAUAUUUUUUACCAGAUCCAGAUAUGGAUAUACUUGCCAACCCAAGCCAAUUUGAAAGUACCCUACUAUGAAACGUAGUUUGAAAUAUUAUGAGUUCCAUAAAGAUUUCGGCCAUAGCACUGCCGAGUGUUUUCACCCGUGGUAAGAAAUUGAGUCCUUAAUCUUGAGCGGGUACCUUAAGGAGUUUGUGGCCGAUAUGCAUGAGGUUAGGAAGUUCUUAGAGCAAGAUAAGGGUAAACAGAUUACUAACCCUAGUCUCGAGGUUGAGGUACCCCAGGGGUCUAAGAAACGACUUUAUGUUCAAAUGAUAGCAGGAGGUCCUACCCUUAUGGGGAAAUCUAAACGGGUCAUUAAGCAUUACAGCAAGUCAUCAAUCUUGGAUCGUCCUGGUAAGGAAGUCAACUUCACUUGUCAAAAUCACUUUAGGGUAUCCUAGGUACUCGAUUAGCUCAUCCAUCUUCUUUUUACAGAGAAAGAUGCAGAAGGUGUCUCAUACCCCUAUAAUAAUGCUUUGGUUAUAAUGUUAAAAGUCAUCACCAGUAAGGUAAUAAGGACUCUAGUGGACAUUGGCAGUUUUGUAGACACCAUCUUUAAAAGCGCCCUAGAUCAGUUGUUAAUCGAAUCAUAAAAAAUCACUCGAUAUGACACACCACUCAUUAGUUUUGCAGGAGAUAUGAUCAUCCCCAAGGGUAUCAUCACUUUGCCUAUUACAAUCGGCAAUGUACCCCACCGAGUUUUCCAUAUGAUCAAAUUCCUUAUUGUCGAUCACCCCGAUGCCUAUAAUAUUAUCUUAGGAAUAUUGAUUUUAGCAACAACUAAAGCGGCAAUCUCUAUGUAUUACCUCGCCAUGAAGAUUCCAACCGCCAGGGAAAUUGUCACCAUCAAAAUAGAUCAGCAAUCAACUCGAGGGUGCUAUUCUGUCACCUUGAAAGUGAUUUAUCAAAUUGCCACUAAUAAGUUCCUUAAGGGUUACCCUGUCAUCACAAGGCCACCUAUCAGCUUAUCUAAGCAAGCAUUUGCUAGAUGCCGAAGAGCUGUACAUAAGAAAGCUCAACGGUCCAAAAAAUCUUAACAGGGACAAGAAGUUGGACCAAUGAAACUAGAUAUAGUAGCUCCUGGGGUACCACAAAGUCCCAAUUCAACGUUAAUUGGAGAGGUGGAGAUACCCCCGAAUCCUCGGAUGCCGAAGGAUGAAAAGCAAGGAGUACCAAUUGAGGAUCUUGUGUUUGUUUAAAUAUGCAAUAAUGACCCAACCAAGAUGGUCAAAGUCAGCUCCAACCUCCCUAACCAACACCAGGAGAACCUUAUUGACUUUUUAAAGGAAAAAUUUGAUGUGUUCGCCUGGUCUCACGCAGAUAUGCUGGGUAUCCCACUUUCUACCUGCCACAAGCUCAAUGUCAAUCCACAUCAUAAGUCUGUCAAGCAAAAACGUCAAACUUUCAACCAGGAAUGCUAUGACGCCAUUGAACAACAAGUGGACUGAUUACUAGCAGCCGGGUUUAUCAGGGAGGCAGUGUACCUCGACUGGGUGUCAAAUGUCGUCUUAGUCAUGAAGUCCAACGGAAAAUGGCGCAUGUGUGUGGAUUUCACAGACUUGAACAAAUCAUACUCUAAGGAUAACCUCUUUCUUCCCCAGGUAGACUAGCUAGUCGAUGCUACGGCAGGACAAGAGAUUGUCCGAGUAUAACCAAAUUCCAAUGUACAAGCCCAAUCAAGAUAAAAUAGCCUUCAUCACCAAGUAUCAUCACAGAAGUCCAGAGCUUAGCCGGCCGAGUAACCACCUUAGGUCAUUUUAUCUCUAAGGCCACUGAUUAUUGCAAGCCAUUCUUUAAAGCUUUGAAAGCGGGGAAGAAACUCCAAUGGACCACCAAGUGCGAAGAGGCUUUUUAGAAGCUUAGAGAGUACCUCGUUAAUUCGCAUUUACUCGCCAAGUCUAAGCCCAGAGAAGUGCUUUUGUUGUUCCUCGCCGUCUCCGAGCAUGCCACUAGCUCUGUUUUACUAAGAGAAGACGAUGGUGGGGUACAACGAACUAUAUAUUACACAAGUAGGGCAAUGAUCAACGGUGAAAAGAGGUACCCCGUGAUAACUCUAUGAAAUAAGAGUUAUCAUAUACUUUUAGACUUAAAUCAAGAUUACUUAGAGAGUAAAUGAUGUGUUUUUAUUGCAUUUUAAUGAUAUUUUGCAUGAACAUCCAUUUUAGUUUAUUAUUAAUAAAUUUCGUUUGAUUUAGAAUAAUUUGUGUGCUUAGAUCAUAUGCAUAUUUGUAGGUGAUCGGAAGCUCAAAUUUUAAGGAAGGAAUGUUGAUGCAAUAGGCUUGCAAAAAUAAGGAAAGAACAUGGCUACAAAAGAAUUAAAACAAAUUUAGAACAAUCUAGUUGCUAUAGUCAUUGCUGUAGUAACCGUUGUUGUACCAACCAUUGCCAUUGUUGAGCAAUCCUAGAACAACGACAGAGAAAGUUUUACAAAAUAUUGCGAUCUACAGUUUCCUAAUCUAGAAGACACGCGAUCUAGGCUUCUGUUUGCCCUAAUUUUCAACUAUAAAAGGAGCACACAUCAUAAGAAAAAGGAAGAGCCGUCACCCAAGGAGAAAAACCACAAAGAAACAAAAGAAAAACAGAAUUUAAGAGAGAGAUUAAGGGCUGCACAAGAAGAGAAUUUACAAAAAUCAAUUGGGAGCUCAGUCCUUCUUAUUCUUCUCUUGUUUUCUUGUUUUCUAUUUAUUCAUGGGGAUGUGUUUGAUGGCCGAAACUUUGUUCUUUAUUUUUCUUUUGCAAACCAUGAACUAAAUUUAUUUAUGAUUGAGUGAUAAACAAUCUUGAUGGUUUAUUGACUGAAUAUAUGUGUUGUUGCAUGUUUGCUGUAACAUUUUGUUUUGAUAAUAUUUAUUUUUAUUCAUUAUUUCGGUUGAUCACCCAUUUAAUAAUACUAGCUAAGAAAGAGUCAUAAAAAGGCAUAUCUUAGUGGAACAUAUCAGAGCAAUAUUUGGUCUUAGAUUGAGUUUCCUGGAUUGAGUUUUACUUGAGUCUAACAUGGCCAUGCUUGAUUUAAGAUUAAUGAUGAACUAGAUAUAGGGAUUCAUCUUGUAGGGUAAUUAUAACCUAAACGUGUAAUACUAUAUCUAAUGUUGGCAUAACAACUUAUCAAUGUUAGGUUGCAUAUAGAUAUAAGAUAUUCAACAUGCGACAGCUGUGGAUACAUAAGGAUUAUGUCUAGUGUUAUAGCAGAUACUGUAACAACCGGACAAAUAUUAGAAAAAUAGUCAAAGCCAUUAAGAGAGUUUAUUCAUUCAUCUACUCUAUAUUCCCAUUGGUUUUAUCCUUGAGUUUGACGUGAUAAUUUACUUUGUUGCAUUUUAUUUAUUGCUUUUUUAUUUUAAUUAGUAUAUUAGUCUCAUUAAUUGUUUUAUUUUAAUUUAGAACAAAAAUCUGCCCUAUUGAGAUUGUUGUAACAAAUCUAAUAACAUCAAUUCCUGUGGAGACGAUCCUGAAUACUCAUUAUUAUAUUACUUGUUAUGUACACUUGUACAUUGACACUAAUAGCAUUUGAAUUUAUAGCAACACCCCGCUAAAGAAAAAUUAGUUUUGGCUUUAAUUAUCUCUACAAGGAAGCUCCGACCGUAUUUUUAGGCCCAUGCCAUUGCUGUGGUUACAAAUCUUCCCCUUCGACAAAUCCUCCAGAAAUUAGACAUGUCCAGAAGACUUCUUCACUGGUCUCUUGAAUUAAGUGAGUUCGAUAUCAUCUUCAAGCCAUGCUCAACUAUUAAAGCCCAAGCCAUUGCCGAUUUUAUCGCAAAAUUCGCCAGUAACUCCGGGGGUGAAGGGAUCUCAGGGUACCCGAGCAAAACUAUACCAGCUAUUGAAGAGGAGCAUGUUUGGGAGAUAUAUGUGGAUGCUUUCUCCAACUCACAUGGAAGUGGUGCGUGAAUAAUAAUCCUUGAUCUAGGUAAAGUGAAACUAUGAUAUGCUUUACAAUUCAGAAUCAAGGCCUCAAAUAACGAGGUCGAAUAUGAAACAAUAAUAGUGGGACUAAAGAUGUCGAAGGUCUUGUGUGCAAAAAAGGUCCACAUCAAAAGUGACUUUCAAUUGGUGGUUGAUCAAAUCACCUCAGAAUAUCAAGCUAAGGAAGAAAAUAUGAAAGGGUACCUCGGGAGAACCAGAAAAUUAAUGUCCCAAUUUACUAAGGUUAAAGUGGAAAGAAUACCACGGAUGGAAAAUUGUGAAGUUGACAACCUCACCAAAAUGGCUUCCUUUAGCACAACUCAGUCGGCUGGUCCUAUCACUACUAAGUAUAUACCUACACCUAGUAUUAAUGUACCUAAGCCAGAAGAAGUGGGGUCGACAAUUGCUAGAGUACCCUGGAUGGAACCAAUCAUAAGGUACCUCAAGAAUGGGGUUCUGCCCUCAAACAAGAGUAAAGCAAGAAGGCUGAAGUAUAAAGCUGCACGAUAUUGUCUCAUCGAGGAUACCUUAUACAGGAGAGGGUUCACCCUCCCUUACUUAAAGUGCUUGGGAAACGAGCAAACCAAGUAUGUCAUGAGGGAGAUACACGAAGGAAUUUGCGAUAACCACUAUGGAGCACAAUCAUUAGCUCAGAAGGCCCUUCGCCAAGGAUUUUAUUGGCCUACUGUGGUGAAAAAUUUUAAUAUACUCGCAAGCGCACGAAUCUAAAAAUACAAUAAUGGUAACAAGAUCGAACCCACAAGGAUUGUUAUAAAUUGAAAAGUCUAAUUUAAUUUUAAAAUUAAUAUUAAUCAUAACCUAGUUGGGCAAUUUGGACUUUAAGAAGAAUUAAACUAAUUAAACUAAGAAAACAAUUAAAGUAAAGGAGAAUUUAUAAGACAAAAAUUAUCAAGGUUUUAGAAUCCGACACUAUUCAAUUAGUAAUUAUCUAAAUAUUAAUUAAUCCUCAAUUUUAGAGUGACAACUCAAAAUCGAUCUAUGUCAUCUCAUGGAUAUAACAAUUAAGUCCAAUUAAAAUUAAUCUUGUGUAGGUUCUUUUUCUGCUUAAUACUAUGAUAUCUAAACGUCCCAUGUAAAUAUAUUGAAUAACAAAAAGUUAAAGUCUUUUUAAGCACUCUGUGUAAACAAUUUAAUGAAAGACACAUAAUCAAAGAUAAUCAUAUAUAAACUUUAUAGAUCCAAGCAUAAAUUUAGUCAAAUAUUAAUCUUAACAAUCAAUAAUGCAUAACAAAAUCGAUGAAAAGAUUUUAAUAAUAUCAAAUUAAUCAUGUAAAAUAAGAACCAUGAAUAUUAAAAAACAUAUAUAGGAAAUUAAUUAAAUAAAAAGAUAAUUAUUUCAUUGAAUAGGGUUUCAUCCUUAACCUCAGUAUAAGAAAAUUAGUUACAUACUUGAAUUGAGAGUAACAAAAUAAAUAAAUUUAGCCAUGGGAAGCCGAACUGCUGUUGCUAUUUUUCUUCUCUCUUUUGCCGAAUACUCUCAUUUUUCUUCCUCUCUGGCGGCUCCUCUUUUUAUAAUGCUAGUUGAUCGAAUUCUUCUCCAAAAAUUCUAAAGAAAUCCUUUUUGAAUUCUAAUUGAAAUCCUUUUCCAAUUAUAAAACACAUCCUCCAAAUUAACGCCACCAUAAGCUAUUACUUUCCACUUUUGAAAGCCAAGUACGGGUCCCUUUAAAUUGCUUUCCAAAUGCCUACCCAAUUUAGCUUUUAAACUUCUUCUUUAUUUGCACGAGCAUGGAUAUUCAAUUUAUUGGCUUUGGUUUCCUCAAAUAGGAUUUCUUGCACAUCUGCUUAAUUGCUUCCACAAAUUGAUUUGAUCUUCAAUGUCGUCCAAUUGUUAUCCUUUAUGUACUUUUCAUCCAUAAUCUUCGAUUAAUUCCUUAUUCAAUAAAACAAUUCAAUUAAUUAUAAAUAAGAAAUAAAAAUAACUAACAAUUAUAUAAUGAAGGGUAAACUAUGUAUAUACGAUGCAGGAAGAUGCUAAGAACAUGUUCGAGAAUUGUAACAAGUGCCAGAGAUUUGCCAAGGUACCCUAUCUUCUCCUAGAAAAGUUAAUUCUCAUGUUUUUUCCGUGGCCUUUUGCUGUUUAAGGUAUAGAUCUGAUUGGCCCACUGCCAACUGCGAGAGAGCAAGCUAAAUAUGCAAUUGUAGCCGUUGAUUAUUUCACAAAGUGGAUAGAGGCGGAGCCAUUAGCAAGCAUUAUAGAAAGGAAAACCACCGAUUUCGUUUGAAAGAACCUCAUGUGCCGGUAUGGUAUUCCUAAUGCCAUUGUCAUCGACAACGAGAAGUAAUUCGGUAACGAAAAAUUUCAGAGUUUUUGCUCAGAGCUUGGAAUAGCCAACUAAUUUGCUUCUCCAACUCACCCACAAUUCUAUAGACAGAUUGAAGCCAGUAAUAAAAUCAUUUAGUGUAUUCUAAAGAAAAUACUGGAGGAAAGAAAGGGAGCUUGGGUAGACGAGAUUUCUGGUGUCCUCUAGGCUUAUCAGACAACUCAGAAUGCUUCAACUCGAGAAACCCCCUUUUCUCUCACAUUCAGGACUAAUGCGGUCAUUCCAACAAAUAUCGGGAUACUCUCUUACAGGAUUGCGUACUUUGAUGAAGCCGAAAACGCCUCUUUGAUUGCACCUAGCCUUGAUCUUGUUGAAGAAAAAAGGGCUAAAGCAGAAUUAAAGGUUGCAAUAUAUCAGCACUGUAUUUCAGGCCUAUAUGACAAGAAGGUACGACCCAAAUCAUUCAAGAAAGGGGAUUUAGUUCUACAAAGGGUAACCCAGAACACCCGGGUACCCUCUGAGGGAUCAUUCGGAGCAAACUGAGAACGCCCAUAUAGCAUAGACAAGCCGGUAGGAUCUGGGGCAUAUAAGCUCCACAUGGACAGAACAAUUGUGAAGCAUACCUGGAACGCCGCGAUGUUGAGGAAGUACUACUAAUAUGAAGACAAUGUCUUAAGCCCUAUCGUUCACUCUAUCUAUUUCCUAUUUUCUUUUUCUAUGUUUGUAAUAUGGAAAGCCGUUAAUGGGUAGAUCAAAUUAUUUCAGUAAUUGAGUGUCAUCAUUACAAUUGAUAAAUGUUGAUAAUUGAUAAUUGUCAUCAUUACAAUUAAUUAACAUUCAUAUGAAAGAUAAAUGUUGCAGUGAGGGGGUUGAAUACUCUUCAGUUUUACUCUCCAGUUUCAAGCUUAUAAUUAUCACAGUUUGAAUAUGUGAAAUUUAUGCUACCCCAUAUAUGAAUGAAAUGUUGUCACUGAUGAAUUACAUGCAGUCUCUUAGUGAUGUUAUGGCAUUUCUGGAAUUCAAUCAAAGUAACACACACACACUAUGGACAGAAAGAAGCUUAAGUACAAAACUGAUUUACUAUGGUCAUUUUGCAUGAUUGGGAGAGUGAUCUGAAGGUGGAAGAAUCCUUGCAAAUUUGAUAAAAGAGCUAAAGUAUUGUUGCAUGAUUGUUUGCAUAAAGUGUUAGUAUAUUGUCAUUACUUGAGGACAAGUAAUGGUUUAAGUUUGGGGGUGUGAUAACUCUAGGAAAUAGAAUUAUUACAUCAAUUCUAUACUUAAAUCAAGAUCACUUAGAGAACAAAUAAGGUGUUUUUAUCACAUUUUGGUUAUAUUUUGCAUAAACAUUCAUUUUAGUUGAGUUUUAAUAAGUUUUGCUUGAAUCAAAGUAAUUUAUGCUAAAAACAAGUGCAUAAUUGUAGGUUUUUAGAAAGUCUUAAUUCAUGAGGGAAUUGUGAUACAUUAGAUGAGCAAGAGGAGGAAAGAAGAUGGACGCAAAAGAAGUAAAGCACAAUCGGGAAUAGUGCAGUGUUGUAGCUGAUGUUAGAGCAACCAAUGCUAUAGCAAUCUAGGAGUAAUGUGGGAGCAAAAUUAGGCGCGGGUCAGCUGCAGAAUCGCGAUCUGCAUGUUUCCUAAUUUAACUCAUGCAAGCCCACAAACUUUUAUUUUACCCUAGUUUGUAGUAUAAAAGGGAGGCGCGAACCAUAUAGAAAGGCGGUAAGGGAAUUAUCAUUAGAAUCAUUAGAGAGGAAAGGAAAAGAAUAUCAGAAUUGAAGAGUGCUGUUUCGGCAACAUUGAGGAAUCUUGCAGAAUUAUUUGGAUUUAUCUUUCACCCUGCUCAACUUAUAUUUAUCUUCUUCCUUUGAUUGUUCUGAUGUAUCCCGUGAACAACAUAUUUAUGUUUGUUUUUCUUAUUCAGAAUAUGAACUAGAUUUACUUGUAGUUGAGUGACAAACAAUCCAAUGGGUUCUUGACUGUUCUUAUGUGUUGUUAUGUCAUUGCUGUAGCAUUUUACUCUAGUAGCUAUUAUUAAUAUAACUGUUAUUUCGGUUGACCACCCAUUUAAUAGUUCCAGUUAAGAUAGGGCAGUAAAAGGGCAUGUCUUAGCGGAUAUUAUCAGAGUAUUACUUGAUCUUAAUUUAAGUUUCUUGGAUUAAGUUAUCUUGAAUCUCAUAAGGGCUAUACUUGAAGUUAAGAUUUGUGACACACUAGACAUAGGUGCUUAUCUUGUAGGGUGGAGAGACUAAAGGAUCAUAAUGUCAUACCAUAAGUAUAUUAGUACUGGUCAUUGUUAAUAAAUUUAAAGGUAUGAGAGUUCCAAUAUACAAUAGCUGAGGAUGUAGAUUAAUUCUGCCCAGUGUUGCAGCACUUGCCGUAAUAACUGGUGUUAAUAUGAUGAAAAGCAGUAAGCCCAUGAGGAGAGUUUGAUCAUUCAACUACCAUAGUCUCAAUUGAAUCUUAGGCACAUUUAAUUUGGUUUAAUUCAUUACGAUAUUGUUUUACUUUAUUCUCUCAUAAUCAUCCAUUACAAUAAAACCCACUCUACAUUUGUUAACUUCGGAUUAAAUUUAGUUGCACUAUUGUGAUUGCUAUAACAUUUCAAGUGACAUCAAUCCCUGUGGAGACGAUCUUGAAUAUUUAUCACUUUAUUACUUGUUGUGUUCAUUUGCACAUUGACAUCAAUAGCAUUUGAUUAUAAAAAUAACCAACAAAAGGAAACAUUUUUAAAUUCCCUAAAUCCCAGAGAGCGAGUAUUUCCAUGAUUCCUCAUUCUCAUUGGGACAAUGAGCAUGUGAUAUGUAAUGGAUUUUUUUUUUUUUUUUUUUGCUUCUAUUGCUUAUAAGUAUGUUUUUUACUUUAUGGGUAAUGUGUGUUCUCAUUUUCGAUUAUCAAAUAUGACUGUGGUUAAAUUUUCGCCAUUAAUGUGACUUUAUUUUAUUGCACCAUGUCUUAUAUGCACCUUUAAUCUAUAAUUGCUUUAUUACAAGAUAAUAUGAGGAGCCUGAGAUAUCUUACCUAACUUAAUCAUGAAGAUCUAUGCGAGAUCAAAGCCAAUAAAAGAGAAUACAACAAAUUUAAAAAGGGAGGGUCGAAGAAGGCCUGAGGGAGAGGUAAACCAACAUACCUUAAUGCUAUGAGAUUUCGUUAAGGUACGCACACCCCCACAUCUUCAUUUUUUUACUUAAGCUAAGUAAAGAAUAGACAACCCAAAACAAACUGCAGUCACAAUAGUUGAAUGCCUAAAAGAAAUAAGGUAGGCAAGAAGCCUCCUCUAUUUGCAUUAUCUUAUUUAAUAUUGGCUUAAAGUUGAUGGCAAAAUAAGCAGUUUUUGACCAAUUCUGUGAAAAAAAUGGGCCAAGAAGGUCCUCGAAAAAAAAAGGCUUUGAGAAAGCAAAAUUGAAUUCUUUACCUACAUCUUAGUUGCGCCACUUAUGAAUUUCAUUUUGUAUCAUGAUGAUGCUUGAAUUAUUAAAUUAUUUGAGAUACGUCAUAAUCUUUAUUAAGAAGAGUAGUAAGCAUAUCUACGGGAAUCACACGCAAACACCACAAAUAUAUCAAGAGGUACCUGGGGUACCUGAGGGACCUCCACAACUCUACAUAGUUGAUCAUGAACAAAGAAUUCAAUGACAUGCCAAAUCAAGUAUAUUACAGAAGUUUAAUGUAAACAGUAGCAAGAUUGUCGAGGCAAGCUUCCAAAAGACAAUUAUCCCAAUACAACAAAAGGGGACAUUACACUACAAAAAGUACAAAAAGAAAGAAAGAAGGCUAUUGAAAUGCCCGGUGAUGAACUUUAAAUGAUAAUAGCAAGUAGUAUCAUGCAUCAUGGGGGAACAUCGUCUCCAUUACUCCUCUCAAUAGAAGGAUCAGUAGGGACUCCGGAGAUCAAAGAGGUACGACCUUCAUGGACUGCACCAUCGGAUCGAAGAUCUAUCUGAGGUACCUGAAAUACUCCAGAAGAUUGUUGAGAGCUGAGAGCUGGAGUAGCCUGGGUUACCUUUCUAUCCUCGAUCAUCUUCAGAAUGGCUAACUUGUCCACCCGUUUCUCUACACGAGGUACUUCUAGCUCUGGGUCUAUACGCUAAACCUCCAUCAUGAUGUGAGUGAAAGCUUUGUCGACCAUCUCCUUCUAGCGAGAUAAUAACUCAUCAUACCUAACUUCAACCUCUUCAAAGUCCUUGGAUAUGCGAAUGUUUUCUCGGGUUAGGUCGUCCAAGCACUCUUUCAAGGCCUUAACCUCUUCACCAAGCUUUUCCUCCCAAGACCAGCUGAGUUUAAGCUCCUUCUUUAAUUUCUCAACCUUCGCUUAUGCAACCGAGGUACCGCUAAAGUCUCAAAGACUAUGGCUAAGGUAGAAAGCCGCCUGCAACAAAAAAAAUGAGAAAAAAAAUAUGGGGGAUAAGAAGAAGAAGGGUGAGAAGCACUCACAUCAUAACAAGCCUUGAACACCUGACUAUAGCGCUCAUUUAGAUCCAAUAUAUCCGCCUCAGCAGCCAUAUUCAUAGAAAUACACUCAGAGGUAUGGAGAAAACUGUCAGUCACAUAAGAUAUCUUCUUGUUGGCCACCGGGUCAAACUCUCCCUCUAUGAGGUCUCCUGAGAUCAUGAACAAGGAGCCAAGUUUUCUCUUAUAGUUAACUGGAGUAUCCCGUGAGCCACCAAAAGAAGAAUCAUGCAAUUUGCCCUUAGUACUUAGAAUGACAAGACGUCGGAUACCCUUUGCUGAAGUACCUAGGGUACCAGAGGAACUGCCACUCAUGCGGUUAAAAAAAGUAUUGAAAUCCUCGGUAAACGGGUCUAUACCUAUCCGUCACCAAGCAACUAAAAAAAAAAGAAUGGUCAGUAAAAUGAACAUCAGAAUCAUCACGAGCAAAAAGACAUUAAAAAGUAUAGGAUAUGGCAGUUGAAAAUAUGUGCAGAUGAUGGGGAUACCCUGCAGGACUAGUGAAGGCAGGGUACUCCAACUACACCAUGCAGCCGUACAUGUAUCGCCCCCCGAAGAGGAUGGAAGACACUCAUCAAUCAAGCCAGCUUUCACCAACCGGAUCGUGCUCAAAACGUCACUCUCACUCUAUAAAGACUGGAACCUCUCUAUAACAUAACUCACUUUUCUUCCUACCUCGCGAAUUGGGCAUGUUCCUUUAAACCAAGUGAUAUCUACAAAAGUCCCAAGAAGCACCGAAUAAGAAAUGUUUAUAUAUAGGGAAAUGUGAAGAAGAAAACAUGUACUAUCUUCGUUAAAGGAGUUCUGGACUUGCACACCCUCACUCUCAACUGGGAUACCUCUCCCCCACUCACCCUCAGGUACGAACCAACCAUAUAUAUAACCCUUUUUCAAUAAGGGGUUUGAGUUCACCAAAUUACUAUGGACCCCCCAAGUAGCAAAAUAAGCAAUAGAUAGGCCAGUUAGUUUCUUCAACUGAUAAAGCCCUCUCAAAUCCUUGUAGGAAAUAUCCUUCCCAAACACCUUCAGCCACAAUACCUUUAAGCCCGUAAGUAACCUCCAACCAGGUAGGGAUAAUUGUCUGGGGGCAAUUCUCAUGUCACUGAACAUCUUCCUAGAAAAAGGUUGAAAAUGAAAAUGAAGACCGAGGUCGGAAAGAUCAAUAUGCAAGGGCAAAAAGGUUAGAAAAAUAUUUAAAAAAGUCUCAUGAGAUAAAUGAAAUAUUAUCCCAAAAAAAUGUGGCUGAUUUUCUAGCUAAAAAUAAAGAAUCAACGAGAAAAUCUCGCGCUACCAAAGAGGAGACAGCCGCCUGUCACGCCAGCAAAUAAGUCAAAAGGUUGAUACUAUGAUAGUUGGGAUCACAAUAUUUUUUCUUGUCAUGCCUACAAAUUUACAACAUAUUUACAGAGGUACGCGGGACUACUCCACCAUACCCAACAUGUGAAUACACCUCAAACUUACUCUCCAAGUAUAUUUUUUAAAUGUUCAAGCCGCCACACAUAUAAAAAAUAAGAAUAUUCCUGAUAUGACAGCAAGGACACCAAUAAAAUAACGCCAGGUGGAACGACAGCUGGGGUUCACCUUAUAAAAACUCAAGUUUAAUUUUUAUCAAAUCAUCUAACAAACACAUCACAAGAGCUAAGGUUUCUUCAACCUCUAAGUCUCUAUUACUAAGUGCUUGCAAGCUCUCUAACCUAAGAAAACCCAACUCUGACUUGAGCAUCGAAGUGUGGUUGUCGACCACCCCCGACUCCACCUCUGACCUCUUUUUUCGGUGUGCUGCAGGUUUAAGGUGACUUUUGGAAGCUCUCUGCACCUGAAGUUGAAUCUCCCACCAUAUCCAUCGCCCUCACAAUCCCCCGUCACUCUAUAAAAAGCCGAAAUAGCUUGUACACUCUAAACAAGUAAGGCACCCCACUUCCCAAUAAAAAUAAAUUUAUUGUUCUUGGCUUGGUUUUGUAGCGUUCAUACAUCCGUUCAAAAUCUGCUAAAAACUGAUCAUUUUCAAGAAAUUUAUUAACAAGGAUGGGAAGCUAAAGGAAUCUAUGUCAAAAUAUACACGAGGUACGUUGAGUUUGUUUGGGGCAUCUUAUUUGGCCAUAUAAGAUAAAGACAUAUUAUUUCAAGACAUGGGAUUCACAAGAACUAAACUCACACAGUUGCCAUGAAUCAUGGAUUCACUCAAUUUGAAGAUUGGCACACAAACCCUUGGCUGCCAUGGCCAUGGCACCCAUGGCUGCGCGUGGCCACGCAUAGCCAUGGGAACCUAAUGCGGCAAAGGCGACCAAUGUCAUGGCCAUACACGACCAUGGCAGCGAAACUCAUGGUCACAUGUAGCCAUGAGAACCAAAAUGAGAACCAAAUUCCUAGCCGUGCUUCCAAACCCUUGGCCGCGCCAGCCAUGGGAACCAAAUCACAGCUAUCGAAACCAAAAUUAUACUUUUAUUUUAUUAUUUUAUUACUUUAAAUAAUAUUCUUUUAGGGUUAAAAUUGUUAGUCAAUAAAAUUGUUAAAAAGGAUAUUUUUGUACUUUAAGUAGUUAACUGUGGUCAAUUGAUAAAGUUAAUAAUUAUUGGGGGUAAUUUGAUAUUUUUAAAAGUAAGAUAAUGACAAUUUAAAGAUUGUUACCUCAUGAGGGAGGUACACAGAAAUUAACCCAAUUAAUAAUAAUCUCAAGGUCUCAUCGGGAGUUACUUAAUUACUUAGCCCUUCAAUUAGAAUAAGAAGAAUUGUGUGGAUUAAUUGUGUUCUUGUGGUUGUGUUUGGUUUUAUUUUUAUGGGUAAUUAAACUUGAUUUAGGCAAAUGUGUUACUGAUGUUCAAGAUCGAUGAAAUUACAUAAUUAUGUUUUUGGUGCAUGUUAUUGCAGAUAACGUUACGGUUUAAGAUCGAUUGAAUUGGAUCAUUUUUGCAGCUCAUCAUUAAAUACUUUACCUUCAACACGAUUACCUACGAAGCUCUAAAGUAAGUAUAAUAUAAGGCAGGUAAAUAAACUAUCAUUACUGUAAGCACCACAGCAUAAAGCUACGUAAUAAUUAUAUGAAACCAGGAAGAGAUUAUUGAUCUAAUCUAAAGAUGUGGCAAUUAGUGGCAUGUGAUUACAAAUAAAAUUAUGUGCCAAAAGUUGAAUAAAACUAAAAACAGUUACAAAAUUUAAGAGAGAAAUACAACGUUCAAAGAUAAAACAGUGAAGAUUAGAUCUAAAAUCAAAUCUCCAACCAUGUCGAUCUAUAAAUACAGGCCAAAACGAUUGAGAAAAAACUCUUCACAAUUUUCUCAAUAGUUAGAAGAGAAAACAAAUCCAAGUUUACUGGAAUUUGUCAGAGAAGUCUAAAUGCGCCUGGCCCAAUACAAUGGAUCUUUUGAGCAGCCCUUUAAGAUUCUUAUUACACUCCUUUUGAAUUUUAUUUCUAAAAUAUCCUCAGUUUAAUUUAUAAAUAGAGCUCCGCAUGUUAAAAAUUAACCACGUCCCAAAAAAUUCAUCCUAAAAAAAUACUUUUUAAGAUGUUAUUUAUUAAAUACAUAUGAUUUUCAAAUUAUUUUUUUAAUCAUGUAAUUUCUUAUCACUAUAAUCUCUUAAUUUCUUUGUGGAGUACAUUGUUAAUUAAAUCUCUUUUGGAAAUUAUUAUUGACUUUUUACACUCUGAGGCCACUUUCGUAUUGUUGAUGUUUACAUGUACCGGACUAGUAGUUCCUAAAAUCAAAGAGUUGUCAAAAGAUUUUAAAAAGAAAAGGGAAAAAAUGUAGAUACUUAUAAUGCAAUAAUUAUGCAUAUGUUUUGUAUAAAGAAUUAAGUAAAUUUUUCCUUUUAGUAAUUUUUACAUAAUAAAAUAUGGAAUAUCAUCCUAAGGAGAUGAGGAUGAAAAUAUUUGAGUAAUAUUAUAAGAUAAUAUUUAGUAUUUGUUUUUAGUAGAUUUGGGUGUGUGAGUGAAAACUACAAAACCAAACUAAGAACAAUGAAUUUACUUUUGUUGGGACAUAGGGUGCCUCGCUUGUUCGGGGUGUAGGGGCUGUUUUGAUUUCUAAGGAGUGAUGAAAGAGUGGGAGGAUAAUGGAUAGGGUGAGAGGUUUUAAUCCGGACUCGAAAAACCUUGCCAAAUCACCUUAGAUUUGCAAAACAACGAGAAAUAGAUUAGAGGUACAAUCAAGGGUGGUCGGCGACCACACUCCGACAUUCAAGUUAGAGUUGGGUUAUCUUGGGUUUGAGAGCUUGCGAGCUCUCAUAAUGGUGACUGGAGAUGGAAGAAACAUCAGCUUUUGUGGUGUGUGUGUUGUAUGUUAUGAUAAAAAUAAAAUCUGAGUAUUUUAUAAAGAGUACCCCGACUGCCGUGCCGCCUAGUGUUAUUUUAUUGAUGUUCCUUGUUGUCAUGUCAGAGAUAUUCUUAUCCUUCAUACUUAUGACUACUUGGGUGUUUCAAAAUAUGAGUGGAGAGCAUGUUUAAAAUGCAUAUGUGUGUUAAACAUAAAGGGGUGGUCCUACGUACCUCUGUUAAAGCUGCUGGAGAUUUGCAGGCAUGGCAAGAGAAGGCAGAUGGUCCCAAUUGUCCUUGUAACAAACUUUUAGCAUGUUUGCAAUCGUGAAAAGUCUAUGUCCCAUCUUUUUCAGCACAAUAUUCCCUCAUUGAUUUCUUAAAUUUUUUCCGAAGAACCAGUCAAUCUUUUUUUUUUUUUGGUUAAUGUCUCUUUCAUCUCCUGACAUUUUUUUAGAUAUUUUUCAGACUUUUUUUAUCCUUACUCACCAUACCUUGGGUAUCCUAUAGAGGGCCUGGGGUACCCGGUGUAAGCCAUCGUUGUUUUAAUGACUUCAGCUAUAAAACUCCAUAUCAACACGUGGCGUUUUUAUUUGGUCUUUUACUUCUUUCCCAAACAGUAUUAUUAAGGUAAGAUUUCUUAUUCUCAUCUAAACUUUUUAAAUAAUAAUAAUAAUAAUACGAUCCAAAAUGUUAUUCUCCUAGAUAUUUUUAUUGGUUUUUUUAAUGACAACAGCUCCCAAUUUAAUUGAGUCUAAAAACAAUUGAAUUUGGAGAAAAUUUGAUUGAGAUUAGAGACUUGUUAGUAUGUAUUGAUCAUCCUAAGAAAAGAGUUUCGAAACAGUAUAUAUUUUGUCAAAUUUUGAUGUAAAUGAGCUUUGCACUUAUGAAUGAAUUUUAUUUUCGUGCUCACCUAAGUUUAAGUAAUAAUUAAAGUAAGAAUCUAAAAGAAAAAUUCUCUUACCUACUUCAUAUUUUUGUAAUAACCUUCCAAUUGACUUUAUGGGGGAGGGGGGGUGGAAAUGACGGAGGUCAAAGAAUUAAGGUGAUCUUGAUUGUUCUGACAAGCGCUUCGAAACAUUACACAAGUCUAAUCCCACUUUAUCACAUUUACAGCAGAAAAUUAAAUAAUCUCCUUUAGAGAUAGUGGUGCUUUUAACCUCUUUCAUCCUUUCUAUGUUAUUAAUUACUCGUUAUUAUUUUUUGUGAAUGGAGAUGCAUGACCGGCCUGAUUAUAAUAGGAUAAAGGAUAAAUACAUCUCAAUGUUUAGGUAAAAAGAUAAAAAAGAAUUUUAAUGUUUUAAUAAAGAUAUUUAUACUCUAAUUUAUUAUAAUUUUAUCAUUAUACCCUUCUAGAAUAUAAAAAAAUUAUUCAAUUAUUCAAUUUAUCUAUAUAUUAUUAAUAAAAUUAUAAAUAUACACUCAUUGCUUCAUUCUUCUAUUUAAAUUUUUAUUAAUAACCAAUUUUUUAAUUUUUUUAAUGUUUUAAAAAAGAUAUUUAUACUCUAAUUUAUUAUAAUUUUAUCAUUAUACCCUUCUAGGAUAUAAAAAAAAAUAUUAGAUUAUUCAAUUUGUCUAUAUAUUGUUAAUAAAAUUAUAAAUAUACCCUCAUUGCUUCAUUCCUCUAUUUAAAUUUUUAUUAAUAACCAAUUUUCAAAAAAGACAUCUAUACACACUUAAAAAAAUUGUAAAUAAAUUAUAAUUUUAAAAAUAAAAUUGGUUAUUAAUACCAUAAUAAAUAACAUAAAAAAAUUGGUUAUAAAUGUACAAGUUUAAAUGAUUGACAUGUGGAGAAUUGUUAAAUAUACAAGUUUAAAAUUUAAAUAAAAUUGGUUAUUAAUAACUAAUUUUAUUUUUAAAAUUAUAAUUUAUUUACAACUUUUUUAGGUGUAUAGAUGUCUUUUUUGAAAAUUAGUUAUUGAUAAAAAUUUAAAUAGAGGAAUUGGGCAAUGAGGGUAUAUUUAUAUUUUUUUUAUAAUAUCCAAUUUGUCUAUUUAUAAUGUUAUUAAUAAUAUAUAGACAAAUUGGAUAAUCUAAUAAUUUUUUUUAUAUGCUAGAAGGGUAUAAUGGUAAAAUUAUAAUAAAUUGGGGUGUAAAUAUCUUUUUUAAAACAUUAGGAGGGUUUUUGUCCCUUUACAUAAACGUUGGGAGUGUAUUUGUCCUUUUCCCUUAAUAAUAAAGCCACGAACAAUUUGUAUAAUUUAGUGUCUACAAAUUUGUAUGGCAUGAAAAGAUUUAUUAAAAAAUAUAAUAAUUAUUUUUUUAAUUAUAUAAAUACAUGAUAAUUUUAUAUAACCAAUCUUCUUAUGCGAAAUCAAUUUAUAUAAAUAAAGUGGUUGUGCCUCUAACAUUACUCUAUUGUUAAUAUUCUAUGUUUUCGUGAAACUCAUGUUGACAUUUUUUUCCACCGGCUAUUGGUGCCAUUUUCUAACUCAUUAGACCUGUUCCAACCCUCGUGCAGCAAGCGUCCAAACAAAGUAGAAAGGAGGAACUUUCAUCCACUGCUUCUCGGUAAUUUAAUAUUUAAUAACCUUCUGCCCUUCUCCAGUGAACUCAUACAAAUUAAGCUUAACAAGGAAGUAUUGGGUGAUGUGAGUUUUAAAGAGAAGGAGAUUAAAAGACGAUAAGUCAAAUGGAUAUCACAAUUGCUCUGCCAGCAGAGUGUAUUUCCAAUAUCAUUUCUCUUACAACUCCUCGUGAUGCUUGUCGAUUAUCAGUGGUGUCUCGAGUAUUCAGAUCAGCUGCGGAUUCAGAUUCCGCAUGGGAGAAUUUUCUGCCUUCUGAUUACAAGCAGAUCAUUUCCAACUCUGUCUCUGAUUCAUCUUUGACCACUUCCUUGUCUAAGAAGGAUCUUUAUUUCCAUCUGUGUCACAACCCCAUCAUCAUCAACAAUGGUAAUAUGGUAAGUCCAACUUGACUCAUCUUUUAUCUCUAGACAUGUCAUAUGCUAUAUAUUAAUGUUUUACCUCAAUUUAUUCUGCUAUUUGUGUAGAAAAUUUUUAUUUUGGAGUAUUAUGAAUAUUAAUACUAACCCCCAGAACUUCAUCAGAUGUACAUUUAACCAAAAAUGGUGGUUGAAUUCUUGUUCAUUGUAAUAUCCGAAAAAUUGACAUGCUAACUAUAACUUGAACUCAUCAAAUUUUUUGACUUAAAUUUUCCACUUGUUUCAUACAAACACAAUUUUAAAUUAUCUUUGAUGUUUUGAGUUCUAAGCUUUUACAUAUGCUCUUAGGAUAAAGUCUGGACAUAUAUGUCUACAAUUAACACCCAGUUGAAAUCUUAGUAAGCAUUGAAAUGGAGGAACUUAUAUACCAAAACUGAUUUUAUAGAAAAGCUAACAUCAUGAAUACUUUGACAGAGCUUUGCGCUGGAGCCAGAGAGUGGGAAAAAAUGUUACAUGGUUGGGGCAAGAGGGCUUUCCAUAGCAGGGGCAGAUGAACCUUACACUUGGAUAUUGACUUCUCUACCGGAAUCUAGGUCUGUUCUAUAUAUGUUGGCAUUGCACGUUUGUAUUUUUAACCUUUAGUGGUAUGAUCGUGUAAUUUGCUCAUGUAUGAAUGCAUUGACAGGUUUCCAGAGGUGGCUAAAGUCAACUCUGUGUGGUGGUUUAACGUCAAAGCAAUGAUAGAGACCAAAAUUUUGUCACUCAGAACCAACUAUGGGGCUUACCUUGUUUUUAAGUUUGCAGAGUCAACGAGUGGAUUUGAGAGAAGACCAGUAAUUUCUAGGGUCUACAUCGAAGGAAGCGAUAAUGGGCUAAGGCGAAGUCUGUCGCUAGAUCCUUCAAGAAAUAUGGCUCGAUUAUCUCAAGACAGGGGAGAUGGGUGGAUGGAAAUUGAGAUGGGCGAGUUCUUCAAUGAAAAUGGAGGUGAUGGCAUGUUGGUGUGUAGCCUACUUGAAUUUGAUAGCUACAUUGCCAUGCGUGGCCUCAUUAUACAAGGAAUUGAGCUGAGGCCUAAAAGCGACUGAUAGCUGUAUUGAAUUAUUGAACUAUGGCUUUGACACUGCAACAUUUAGUCAUUUAGUGAUGAUGUAAGCUCUUUAGGUGGAUCAAUCAACCAAGAACUCAACAAAUACUUUUUUUUUUUCAUAAUGGAAUAGCAAUAACUGAGAGGUGGCAUAAGUUUAUCGUUGAAUGCAUUAGGUUAAUGGUGAUUUCCAGAUUAAUUGAGCUUUCCCGUAUUUGGAUUAAUGACUUGUAAGAUAACCUUGAAUCAAUCACCUGUCGUUUCUAGCUAACUUCAAUUUUCUUGUUCUUCAAGAUAAUAAUGACUUUCAACAAAGUUAAGCAUUGCUAUUUCUUUACAACUACAUUUAAUUUAUAAGAUUUGACAGAUGGAGCUCCAUUUUGUUGCAUAUCCAAUUCGAUGCAUAAAUAUUAGACUGAGGCAAAUGUUUGCGAAAAUGAAUCGGACGUUCGAUCUAUUGCCUUAGUGAGCAUGUAGUCUUGGGCCAAGCACUCACUCCAUCAAGCAAGCAGUGAAAUGGUACAUGACUAAGCUGAAUAAAGUGACUGCGAAGAGGAUUCAGCAAGUCCCCAAGAAUAAUAUAGAGCUCCCACAAGGGUAAUUUCUGAGUACUUUAACAAGACAAACUUGGAUCUAUCCUUUGUAAAGGACAAUGAUCAAGGGCCAUUGGAGUGGAUCAUUUAUAUUUAUAGGAUCUUAGCUACACUUGUGGAUCAUUUUAUAAGCAAAUUACUCCUAAGAGCAGAGUUAUUAUUAAUGGAUGAUUUUCUUUUUUUGAAACGGAAAACUUCAAUUAAACACUUAAAGAAACAGACUUACUUGAGUUGGAAUUUCCUCCAAUCAAAUUAUUGCUAACAGUAUAUUUAAUUAAUUUAUGAGCAGUCUUAUUACUACUUCUCAAUAAAUAAUCAAUUUUAAAGCUUUCUUUCACAAACCAUACAAUCUUUUACCUAGGUAAAUAAUCAUGAUAUUUCCUUUAUGUUUCUUUCUAGACCUUUAACCAAAUUGAAAAUAUUAAUAUUCUUCGAGUCCGAUGCAACAAUCAGCGGCACCAAACUAGUGUCUAUUGCCAUCUUGAUUAUGGAAUUGAUCAUAGCCUCAACUUCAGCAUAUUCAACAUCCCCGUAUAAAGCUGUAUUCCGAAUUCCUGCAGGCAUUAUCUCCCCUUUCCAGUUUCUAAUAAUGGCCCCAAGGCCUACAAUUUUCUUUUCAGCAUUUGUGGCUGCAUCUACAUUCAACUAUAACCAACCUAAUGAAUGAUUUUGCUUCAAGUCUGCAUUUAUUUAUUUACGGAAAUCCUUUCUUGGUUGGAGUAGUAGUGCGGCAUAACUAAAACGGUGAGUAUUGAUUGUCCUGGCAAGAGCUUAAUAACCUUACGCACACUUUAAUCCCACUUUCAUCACAUUCACAACAGAUCAAAGAAUUCCACACUCUAAUCCAACUUGAUCACAUGCACAACAGAAAUUGCGUAACACUGGUCAAAUUAACUGUGUUAUGCCUUAGACAUAAGUGAGCUUGUAUCCGUCCUUUUUAUGUUAUUAAUUACCUGCUAAUAAUAUUGAAAUUAUUAAUCAUCAUUACUCUUGCUUGUUAUCUUUUGUUUUUUUUUUUACUACUGAUAUUACAAUAAGAGGAUUUACUGAUAUCUACAAUCAUUCAGCUGGUUAAACAUUACUUCUGAGUUCUUUAAUCUUUACAAGUGCCUUUUAUAAGAUUUGACAGAUGGAGCUAAUCUGGCCGCCCAUCCAACUCUAUUCAUAAACAAUAUUAUUAAAAAAGUGUGGCCAUGUUCACACUUUUUUCUACUGGCUAUUGGUGCUUUCUCACUAGACCUUUUUCAAAGUUAAAACCUUGUAGAGCAGCGUCCAAACAAUGUAGAAAGUAGGAAGUUUCAUCAGCUGUUUCAAAUAAUUUAAUAUCUAAUAACCUUCUCCAUCGAACUUUUUUUGAUAACACCUUCUCCAUUGAACUUACAUAGCUUAACAAAGAAGAAUUCUUGCUUAGGCACCAUUGAGCCUACAUAGCUUAACAAAGAAGAAGUCUUACCUAUGCCACAUACUUUUUUUUCUUUCUUUUCCUAAAAGGUAAUGGGAUCGUGUAAAUUAUUUUUUAAAUUCCAAAAUUCUAAUUUGGGUGGCUAGCUGAAUAAAGCUACUCAGUCAGGCUCCUGGAAGUCUUAGCUUAUGCUCCGUAUAUUUAAAGACAUUAUUACUAUUAGUAUUAGGAGAUCUGAGUUUCAAAGAAAGGAAAUUGAACACAAGUAACUAAAAUGGAUACCACAAUUAUACUCUUGCCGGCAGAUUGCAUUUCCAUUAUCAUUUCUCGAACAACUCCUCGUGAUGCUUGUAGAUUAUCAGUGGUAUCUUCUGCAUUCAUAUCAGCUGUGGAUUCCGAUUUCAUGCGGGAGAAUUUUCUUCCGUCCGAUUACAAGCAGAUGUACAUUAAACCAAAUAUUAUGUUUGAUAACUACCUUGAAGUGAUCACAUAUUUGACUCGAAUUUUCUUUUUGUUUCACUUAAACACAAUUUUAGCUUGUCUUUGAUGUUUUGAGUUCUAAGUUGUUAUGUUCUUACUGUAAAGUUUGGACAUGCAUGUCUGCAACGUCCCGUUGAAAUAUUUAUAGCCACUGAAAUGAAGGAACCUAUACACUAAAGCUGAUUUAUUUGAUAGAAAAGCUAACUUCGUCAAUACUUUGACAAAGCUUUGCGCUGGAUCGAGAGAGCGGGAAACAAUGUUACAUGAUUCUGAAAGGGCUUUCCACAACAUGGGGGGAUGAACCUACUAACCACAUAUUGACUUCUCGACUGGAGUCUAAGGUUUGUUCUAUGUUCACAUUGCACACUUUCAUUUUUAUAUUUAGUGGUGCAGUCGAUUUCAUCAGUAAUUUAAUUUGCUCAAGUCAUAGCAAGUAUAGAGACCAAAAUUUUGUCACCAACCAUGCCGCUUACCUUGUUUUUAAGUGCGAUUAUGGAUUUGAAAAAGGACUACUAGAUUUUGGCGUCUACAGUAUAGGAAGCGGUAAUGGGGUAAGGCGAAGACCAUUUCUAGAUCCUUCAAGAAAUAUGGCUCUACCAUCUGAAAACAGGGGAUAUGGGUGGAUGGAGAUUGAGAUGGUAUAGCUCUUCAAUGAAAAUGGAGAUAAUGGCAUGUUGGUGUGUAGUCUAUUUGAAUUUGAUAGCUUCAUUAUCAAUCAUGGUCUCCACAUAGAAGAUAUCGAGCUUAGGCCUAGAAAUGGCUGAUAAUUAACUAUUUUGAAUUAUCUUUUUGACACAAUAACUUCAGUAAUUCGGUGAUGUACUACUUUGAAGACCAAAGUUGCAUUACUAAUGCUUGCAUUUAGUUUUUUAUAUGUAUUAUGAUGAUACCCAAUAUCCUGGAGCCAUAUGAAAAUUAGAAGAAAGAACCUUUGUUCAAGUACUUUGACAGUAAGCUAUCGUGGAGAGCUUUCUGCCGUCUGAUUACCAUCAUGUCAUUUUGAAAUGAAGCCUCAUCAUCAUUUCUGUCGAGUUCCUUUGUCGAAGAAGGAUCUCUAUUUUCAUCCUUAGCGCAACGGACCCCCUCAUCUGUAACAAUGGUACUAAUAGUCAUGGCUUAAUUGACCUUCGAAACUACUAGAAAUAUCUGAUUUAAGUUAUUUUUAUAAAGGAAGGGUGAUUAGCAUUUAUAUGUUCCUUUGAUUCAAUUUUAAUAAGUUUCUGAAAAAUGUUAAGCGUUUCUAUGAGUUCUUUACAAUUAUGCAUAAACAAUAUGCAUGCCAGAUUUUUGUUUGCAACCCGAUGUUGACAUUUUUGUGUAUCAGUGUAUGGCUAUUGGUUUAGCUUUUCAAAAGCAUUGCACCUGUUCCAACACUUUCAAACAAGUAUCCAAACGUUGCAGCAUGUUACAAUGUAUGAAAUUUUACCAAAUAGUUCUAAUAAUUUAAUAUUUAACAACUUUGUCCACUUUUGACAUAGCUUAAUUAAUUACCAAAGAAGAGUCCAUCUUAUGGCGUAUCUAUUUAAGAAUGAUGACAUACAUCUCAAAUUUUUUAUCCUAAAAAUUUUAUCUCAAAUGAUCUCGCAUUUAUUAAUUAGUUGGUGAAAUAAUACAAUUAAUUCACUUGAAUCUUAUAAAGAACUACUAACCACUAGAGAUGGUAAUGGAUCGAACGACACAUGACACAACACAGACAUGGCACGGCACAAGCACGUUGGUAUGGCACGCAACACAACACGACAUGCAUGUGGGUUGUGCUAGACUGACAAUUUUAAACACGUAAACCUUAAAAGCAUAUUAUGAUUAGAAAUGGAUUAAAGCACGGCAUAUGAAAAGAUUUACAAUAAGAACAUUUUACUUUUUAAUAAAAGUAAACUUAAAAUUUUAUAAUUUUACAAAUAACUUGAAAUUAAAAUUUUCAAUAUAUUUUAUUAGUGUAAGUCUUUAAAGUCAUUUAAUUCUUAGUUUCAAAAGGAAAUACUCUACUUGUUUUAUGUUUAUAAUUUAUUAAAUGAAUAGAUGAUAUCAUGAUUUUAAUAAAUAAAAUCAUAAAUAUCAUGAUUUUAUAAAUUUAUGUAUUAAUGAUAUUAAUACUACUAAAAAAAAGCGAAUCUAUGAUAGAUAUUGUUACAUCACAGGUCUAUCAUGCGAACAUGACAUAUAUUGACACAUAAAAAUAUGUCACAAAUUUAUGACAUAUUUGUAAUUUACGAGUCAACCUACAGUACAGCGCAUGCACACAACCGGUACAACCGGUUUUUAAUCGGUUAACAUAAUAAAUAUUACAUUUUAAUUUGUUUUUAAUGUGAAAAAAAUUUGAAAAAAUAUUGUAAUUAAAUGAAGCAAAAGAAUAUAAUAAUUUUAAAUUUAUAAAUAGUACAAGAAACUAUAAAAGUAUUAUAAAUAUGUCACAAAAUAACUAUCUUCCCACUUAUUUUGUCACAUUCCAAUAUUUAUAUUGCAUGUUUCAAGUUUACUUUUCAAAUUUCAAUUUUUUGUUUUGAUUUAUCUAAAUUUUGGUAAGUUAUUUCAACUCAUUUUUCCACUAGUUUUUGGUUCUAUAUUUUCAUUUUUUUCAUUAAAUUCCAACUUUUACGUGGAUAUUUUAAGUUUAUUUUCAACAUUCCUAAAUUCCAUUAGACUUUAUCUAAUUUCUAGUAAGUUAUUCCAACUCAUUUUCCCACCACUUUUAAGUCCUAGAUUCCAACUAUUUUUAUAGGGUUUCAACAUUUUCGGUAGAUAUUUCUAGUUCACUUUUAGAGCCCUACUUCGCAUUGGAAUUUAUCAAAUUCUUAGUCAAUUAUUCCAAUUUUCGGGUUGAGUUCAUCAACUCUUGUUGUCACUACUUUUUGAUUCUAUAUUCCAAUUCCUUUUAUUGAAUUCUAAUAUUUUAGGUAAGAGUUUUAAGUUUACUUUUUGGAUCCUUAUUUCCUGUUAAAAUUUAUCAAUUUCUUUGUUAGAUUAUUUCGACUUUUAGGUUAAGGUCAUCAAUUGUCAUUACCACCAGUUUUUCCUUUUAUGUUUCUACUCUUUUUAUUGAAUUUCAAUAUUUUGGAUGGAUAUUUCAAGUUUAUUUUUAGAUCCCUACUUCUCUUUAAAAUUUAUCGAUUUCUUGCUAAGUUAUUUGGAGUUUUGGGUUAAGCUCUUCAAUUCAUAUUCCCACCACUUUUGGGUUAUUUAUUCUUGCUCUUUUUAUUAAAUAUCAAUAUUUUGGAUGGAUGUUUCAAGUUCACUUCUUAUAUCCCUACUUCCUAUUGAAAUUGAUCAAAUUCUUGGUAAAUUGUUCGUACUUUUCGGUUAAAUUCAUCAACUCUUUUUCCUACUAGUUUUUUGUUUUAUAUUUCUACUCUUUUUAUUGAAUUUCAAUAUUUUGGGUGUACGUUUCAAUUUCACUUUUUGGAUCCCUACUUAUAGUUGGAAUUUAUCAAAUUAUUGGUGAGUCUUCAACUCUUGUUCCCACCACUUUUUGGUUUUAUGUUCCUACUCUUUUUAAUGAAUUUCCAUAUUUUGAAUAGAAGUUUCAAGUUUAUUUUUUAGAUUCCUACUUUUCAUUAGAAUUUACCAAAUUUUUAAUAAGUCAUUCCAACUUUUAUGUUAAGUUCUUCAACUCUUAUUUCCAGUACCUUUUAGUUACAUAUUUCAGUUUUUUUUUUUUAAUCAAUUCCAACAUUUUGGGUGUGAGUUUCAAAUUCAAUUCUUAGUCCCUAUUUUUCCACUGGAAUUUAUCAAACUAUCGUUGCGUAAUUCCAACUUUUAGGUUAACUCUCCCACUUUUUUCCCACUAUUUUUUGGUUCUAUAUUCCAAGACUUUUUAUUAAAUUCCAACAUGUAGGUGUGUGUUUCAAGUUUAUUUUUCACGUCUCUACUUCCCAUUAAAAUUUAUCAAAUUAUCUGUAAGUCGUUCUAAUUUAUGGGUUCAGUUCUUCAACUGUUACUUCCACCAUUUUUUUGGUUGUAUAUUCCAAAUGUUUUUACUGUAUGCCUACAUUUUAGGUGGUUGUUACAAGUCGCAUUUUAUUAGAGUAAAACAUUAAAGUAUUAUGGUAAAUUACCUUUGACCCCUCUUUUUUUAAUAAAUAUCAACUUACAAUAUAAUUUUGAAAAAUCAUUGUUGCAACCCUCAAUUUUUUUUCAACACUAUGAAUCCGUAUAAAUCCAGUUCCCCCCCCCCCCCCCGGCCCCCAACGGUCUUUGUUACUUCAUGAUAUUUCUUGAAUUUAAUCGUAUGUAUACUUUAAACUUUUGAUCUUUUACAUAUUAAUGCUCAUUUUAUUAUUUUACAUAAUUGUGCUUAGAUUUUUUUAAAAAAACAAUUGUGCAACAUAUAAUUUUCAUCAUUAUAUUUAGUUUUAAAAAUUAUUUCUUUAAUUUCUCAUCAAUCUUUCGCUUAAGAUUAACAAAGUAACAUUGACUUAAAUCCAGUUCUAUUAAGCCGCCAUUAAUUUAUCUUUACCGAGUACAUUAAACAAAGUAAAAGCAACUCAAAUCAAAUAAUAUUUUUAUAACACAUUAGAAAAUCAUUGCAAUCAAGAAAAAAGAAAAUAUAUUAAAUAUUAAAAUUAAAUUUCUCUAAUAGAAAAAUUCAGUGCUAUAAUUUUUAAGAGAAAUGAUCUCUACACUACCUUUCUUUUGGAGAACAAAUUAAAAAAAAAUGCAUUUACAACCAAUGCCAAUUCUUAUUCACUACUCAACUAUGCACCAUUAGAGAAAAAAAGAUAAAAUAAUCUCAAGGGAUUAUAGAAAACCAUUUCUAUUAUUUCUAUUUCCCCAUUUGAUCUGGAGAUAGCCAACUGAAGCUUGGGCUGCUCACCAGCCUUACUUGGAUUCAACCACUUGGCAGGAUGCCAAUAGCAGUUUCUGCAUCAAAUGCUCCACAAUUUUCCCUUGCCAAUCCUUCUAUAUUGGAAGAAUAAAACAUUAAAAAAAAGACUAUUAAAAAACAAUUAAGUGACAAUUCAAAAUGUUAUACAAUUUAAGUUAAUUACAAAACUUUAACUAGACAAGAAAAAAAAUUAAGAACAUUAAUCGUGAAAAAAAAUUAAUAAUGAUUAAAAAAUAUAGAUCUUAAUGUAUGAAGCUACAAACGAAACCUUAGGCCCAAAGGAUCUGUUUUUUUAUAAUAAUAAAAAAAUUAAAUAAAUUUUAUAUUUCCUUUUAAGGUUUCUGAACAAUAAAUAAAGUUAUUUUCAAAAAAAAAGUAUCAAGAAUAAUAAUAUAAAAUAUGAAAUUUUAAAUAAUAUCAAAAAAUUAUGAAAAUGUGUAAAUAUGUUUUCAUUUAGGCAGUAGUUUUCCUGCCUAAAUGAAGCAAAAUUCUUUUAGUGUUAUAUCAAAAUAAAAUAACAAUGUAAUAUUAUAGUUACAUUAUUAAUUAUUUAACUUUUAUAAUAGAAUGUCGACAAUAAUUUACAAUGACAAUUAACAACAUUUCUCAAUACGUUAUUAAAUAGUUUAUUACCAUAAAAUGUUGUUAUAUUUAGACCAUACGCUCAUUUUGAUUAAAGAGAAAAGUGAUAUUGAUAAAAUUAUCAUAUUUGUGUUCAAUUUACCCAUAAUAAUAGUAAGGCUAACGAAGAUACUUAUUAACAACGUUAAUAAUGGAUGUUAAGAGUUAUAGUAUCAUUAAUCAUAAUACUAGUAAUAAAACACUAUCAUUAAAUAUUAACAUUACAUGUAAUCGUGUAUAAGCUCCUAUAACAAUUCAUAGAAUUUUUUGUGACUUCAAAUUAGUGAGUAAAUGAGACCAUAAAAAGUAAUUUAAUGAAUUUCUUAGAAAUUUGUGUGAAAUAUUUUUAAUAAGAUUUUUCAUCUUAUAGUUACCCAUAUCCAGAACUAAAUUGUACUAUUUAUAUUAGUCACUAGUAAAAAUAAUAUUGAAAACAAAAAUAUUUUGAGUAAUGACAAUACUUGGUACUAUCAAUAAUAUAGAGUUUACCAGAGAUGCACAAAUUUGCAAAAGAAAAAAAAAAUUAAAGAGGUCUCCCUAAUUUUUAUAUUGUAAAACAUUUGUAGAUUUAUAAUGUCAUAAUAAACAAUGAUAUAAUUGGUUUUUGAUCAAUUUCAUUAUAAAAAUGAUUGCAUUCAUUUAUAAUUAAUAUAGUUUACACUAAUAUACAUAUUAUUCACAUUAUUUAAAACAUUACAUGUUUUAAAAUAUAUUAUUAUGUUAGGGGGUCUUUGAUAGUCGCCUACAUUAAAUGAAGUCUUUAAUAUUUGGUUAAAAGAUGAGGGAGCAAAGUGAUAAUUACCAGGAUAUUUGCCAGUUCCACAAUCUGUUUCGGUGACCCAUUUUAUGCCUAAAAUUACUAAGCUGUUGGAUUGCUUAUAAAGUAAUCCAACGGCCAAUAAAUUUAGAAUAAAAAUUAAACUCCCGCUGUAUCUCAUGCAGUACUUUAUUACAGGUGGACCCGUAACUUAUAGCUUUCUGACCUAAAUAGAUGAUAGACACAUGUCAUGCUUGAAUUUUUUAUGUUCAAGAAUUUAAAAGACAUGUCAUUUCACCAUGCAAUCCGACAUCGUUUGCCAAUAAUGACAAAAAUUUGUCAUGGAUUGAAACAUCGUGUUUUGUAAUAAACAUACAAUUUUAAAAUGUGUAAGAUAAUAUUAAUUACAAAAAUACCAUUUUUAAUAAUUUGUUUUCUGUAAUCCGAUAUCAUUUAUAGAGCAUGAUAGGCAUCUGUCAUGACCUUAAAUGACAUCAUUUUAUUUUAUUGAUUUAUUUAAAUAUGGUCUAGCAUAGUUUUCAUAGUAUGAUAGAUUUCUAUCAUGAAUUUAAAUGAUGCCAGUUUAUUUUAUUAAUAUUUUAUUUUUAAAUGGUAUAUUAUGAAGAAGAAAAAGGGGAGCCUCUAAGUUACAAUAAUUGUACAGUGUAAGAGAUAACAACGCCUCUCGCAGCCGNNNNNNNNNNNNNNNNNNNNNNNNNNNNNNNNNNNNNNNNNNNNNNNNNNNNNNNNNNNNNNNNNNNNNNNNNNNNNNNNNNNNNNNNNNNNNNNNNNNNNNNNNNNNNNNNNNNNNNNNNNNNNNNNNNNNNNNNNNNNNNNNNNNNNNNNNNNNNNNNNNNNNNNNNNNNNNNNNNNNNNNNNNNNNNNNNNNNNNNNNNNNNNNNNNNNNNNNNNNNNNNNNNNNNNNNNNNNNNNNNNNNNNNNNNNNNNNNNNNNNNNNNNNNNNNNNNNNNNNNNNNNNNNNNNNNNNNNNNNNNNNNNNNNNNNNNNNNNNNNNNNNNNNNNNNNNNNNNNNNNNNNNNNNNNNNNNNNNNNNNNNNNNNNNNNNNNNNNNNNNNNNNNNNNNNNNNNNNNNNNNNNNNNNNNNNNNNNNNNNNNNNNNNNNNNNNNNNNNNNNNNNNNNNNNNNNNNNNNNNNNNNNNNNNNNNNNNNNNNNNNNNNNNNNNNNNNNNNNNNNNNNNNNNNNNNNNNNNNNNNNNNNNNNNNNNNNNNNNNNNNNNNNNNNNNNNNNNNNNNNNNNNNNNNNNNNNNNNNNNNNNNNNNNNNNNNNNNNNNNNNNNNNNNNNNNNNNNNNNNNNNNNNNNNNNNNNNNNNNNNNNNNNNNNNNNNNNNNNNNNNNNNNNNNNNNNNNNNNNNNNNNNNNNNNNNNNNNNNNNCAUGUGACCCACACAAAAUUGUAGGACUCACAAUUUGUGUGGUUCACACGAAGAAUGUAUGUUACAAUUAUUGUAACUUAGCAUUUGCCUUUAUAUUAUAUAUUGUAACUUUUAAGACCCUCCCUCUUAAUUAACCCAUAUCUAAUUGUUCAAAUUUAUAACUUAUUUGAAAUAUACAUAUAAGAUUGUAUUUAGUAUGCAGAAUAUAAUAGGAUUUGAUAUGAUCGAGUGGGAUGAGAUAAGAUAAGAUUGAACUAUAUUUAAUACUGCCUUAUAUGUGAUGUAAUUUAAGAUUAGAUGUAACAAUAAUUUGUUUAUUGUUAUUGUUAAAAUUAAUUAAAAAUAAAUAUAUUUUUAUUUUUAAUAAUUUAUAUUAUAUAAUUAAUUAUUAAAUAUAACUUGAACAAAACUGAUUUUUAUUACAUAUAUUAUUUAUUACAAUUUUCAAGUCCCCCUCUCUUAAUUUGAACAUAAUUAACUAGUAUAUAACUUGUUUGAAAAUUUCAAAUUAAAUGGUCAAUUCUCCUUUCACUCGGAUAGUAAUUUGCGUGACACGUCACAAGCUCUCUUCACUGACUGAUUUUCCUCAAUCUAACUGACACGACCCAAAAGUGUUAUUACUCUCAAAUAUAAGAGUGUCCAAUUAUAGUAUAAUCUAAUGAGUCCGAAGUCGAAGUACAAGAAAUUUAAAAUCUAGUAGUCAAUUUAUUAAGUAAAGAAAAUUAAAUGAGAAAAGAAAUUAAUAGGAAUCAAUAUAAUAAUAUGCUAAAGUUACAGGAUCCACUUUCAAUUUUCAAACUAUGGUUUUAAUACUCUCUCAUUUUUAUAUUUUACCUCACUUUUAUCAAUUAAUUAUUAUGUCAUUUAAUUCUUAACAAAUUAUAUGUGUGGAUAAAUAUGGAAUCAAGUACCUAAUAUGCCACAAUUAUUUUAAUAUGUCGACAUUAUGUCAAAACAUCAUACAGAUUCAGGGAGAUCUGCAAAUUAACAUGACAUAAAAACAACCAGAAAAGAAUAAAAUAAACUUAAAACUUAUUUGAGAAAGUAAUUAAUUUAAUAAUUUGAAACUUUAAGUUUCACCUUUCAUCUUUCACUUCGGCUUAGUAAAAUUAGCCACUCAUAUUGAAAGAAAACAAAACAUUCUUUUUAUUUGACAAACUUCUGAAAUACAUUACAAGAAAAUUGCUACGCAAGAAAACAAGAAAAGAGAAGAAAAGAAAGAAAAAAUAUUCCUCAGUUUCUCCCUCGUCUCUCCUUCUACUCCCCCCACUAUUGUUUGCAUUUUCUUAUCUUUUAUAGGCGAGGAAUGAAUCCUCUUCUUUUAUUUUGUUAAUAUUUAUUUUAUUUUAUUUUAUUAUAAUAUAUAUACAUAGAGAAGUGAUGAUCAAGUGGCAAAAUGGCCACCUGACCAUUACAAGCAUUAUCAACGCACUUUCUUUUUUCUUUUUUUUUAUUAAUUAUAUCUUCUCAAUAAAGCAUUUCAAAUAGAGCAUUUCAAAUAGCUGCAGCAAUUCUUUUUGUUUCCGCUUUCAGUUCCAACUUCUCUUUAUUCUUGAAAUAUAUCUGCAAUAUAAAAUUAAAAUAAAAUAAACAUAUUACAAAUUAAUUUAACAUAAAAAUAUUUUUGGGGAGCGUUAAAAUAAUUUAGGAAUAAUGAACACAUUAAUCGACACAAUAAGUGAAAAACUGAUAAUUUUAUCCUUAUUAAAUGUACACUUUUUAAUGUCAGUCACAUCUCCUAACCAACUUAUUGCUAGGCACUAGCACUUUAAGCAAUAAAAAUUUAGCGAAAUUUCAAACCCAAAUUAAAAUCUUUUUUUUUUUAAAUUGAGCUUACUUCUUUCAUUGAAUUAAUGACAACAAUCAAAUAAAAAUAUAAGCAUUAUGUUCAGCCUAAAGAUCAUGUAAAAUGAUCAAUUAUCAAAGCUAUAACAAAGUCAUUUUUAAAAAUGAUAUGUCAAAUCUCAAAACCUCAUGGUUAAAAGUCCUUGUUGUAUGUUUGUAAAUUGAUCUAGACGUGAUUAAUAAGGGAGGGAUAGUAUAUUUUACCCCAGCUUAUGUAAUAAAAGCUUAGUUUAGCGUAAAGAUAAACUAAGGUUUUUACAUCUAAAUUCUCUCUAUGUAAUCCUUUGACAACUAUUAUAACUAAUCCUAAAUGGUCGUGUUUGAGUUCUUUAUCACUAAUCUUAUUAUAGGAAUAUUUAUCUAUUAGAUAUAAUUUUAUCAGUUCACUCUCAUUCGUACAUGACAUAUAUCUUUCACUAUAAUUUAAUAUAGCAACUAUUUGUUAAAUAAAUUUUGCUUUUUAUAUAUUAUAUUUGGAUUGAUUAGAGCUAAUUUAUUUUAUACAAAACCUUUCUAUUAGUUCAUCUAAAUCUAUAAGGCUUUCUAUUUUAACAUCAUCUUCUUCUUUUCUUUUACUGAAUAUUCUUUUUAAAUAAUUACCUUCUAAUUUACUACCAUUGAAUAUUUGCAUUCCUUUGUUAGUAAUAUCUAUAUCUCUCAGUUUUUUUAGAUUGAAGGCUUCCUAUUUCAAUGUUAAUUUUAAUUUUUUCAAAUCUUUCUAUGAAGCCGGUAUUACUUCUGAACUCUUAUUAUCUAAUUACUUUAAUUUUAAUCUUUCUUCAAUAUAUUCUUGAGAUUUGAUCUAAUUUUACUAUAUUUUGAUCUUUUAUAAAAUCUAAUUUUUCUUCUAGAUUCUUGAGAACUACUCUAUUUUCUCCUAAAUUAUCUUAAAAUUCUUAUUAAUAUUAUCUAAUUUUGAUUUCAAAUUUCUAAUUAACUAUCAAUCUGCUAAACUAUUCAACUGAACAUUUUCUGUACGUAACUCGUGUUUAAAACUUCCUUCUAUAUUACAAUCUAUACUUUAUGUAUGUAUAGUUAUAGUUAUAGUUAUCUUCUUACCAUAAUAAACGCUAAGUUCCAAAUCUAAAUAUUCUAUCCUCUUUAUAAGUUAUUGGAUCUUUUAAUUAGAAUUAACUAAUUAAAACAUGCUCCGAUACCAAAUCGUAGCCUUAUCAUUUAGUUUAAUGCUAAUACGGGGUGUAAAUGACUAACUUGUUCGGUACUUAAUGUUGUUCUCUCUGUGGUAAGAACAUAGUUUUUCUUUUGUAAUAUCUUUUUUAUUAAAACACCUUGCGGUGCUUGCAGAUUAGCAGUGGUAUGUCCCGGCUUCAAAUCAGUUGCAGAUUCAGAUUUCAUGUAAGAGAAGUUUCUCCCCCUGACUACAGGCAGAUCAUUUCCAACUCUAUCACUGAUUCAUCUUUGAUCGCUUCCUUGUCUAAGAAGGAUCUUUAUUUUUAUCUUUAUCACCAUCCCAUCAUCAACAACAAUGGUAACAUGGUAAGUCAAGGUUGACUUUUUUGUCAGCUAAAUAACUCAUAUGUUGUAUACACUAAUUAAGCUACAUAAGCUGCACGCUGCUUGUACAUCUAGACUUAACUACUAUGCCCAUAUGUAUUAUCAUUUUAUUGGCUGAUUGUUUAUAUACUCGAUGCACAAAAAUUUUACUUUGUCAGGUUGAGAUGGUUUUUCUCAUUUUGUGUAGAGCAAUUAAUUCUGCUAUAUAUUCCGUUUUACCUCAGCUAUUGAAUGUUAUCUCGAAAAGUUGUUAAGCACCAGAGAUCAAGUAUUAGCAAAUUUAUGGAGUAUUAUGAAUAUUGAUAUUAAUUAACAACAGGAACAACAUCAAAUGUAGAUCAAACCAAACAUGGUGGUUGACUUAUUAUUGUUCAUUGAACCAUCCGAAAAAUAACAGGCUAUCUAUCUUGAAGUAGUCACAUAUUUGUCUUGAAUUUUGUUAUUGGGAUAAAUGCUCAUUUGGUUUCUGUAUGUUGAUUUAACUCAUUUAAGUAUCCAUUUAAUUCUUCUAUUUUAAAAAUUAUGUCAAGACACUACUACAGUUAAAUAUAUUAUAUUCUUAUCCUUAUGUUUCUUCUCCUUUUACAAUAAUACCCUUCCAAUAAUAUUCUUGACAUUAACUAAUUUAUUCAUAAAAAGUAGUUAAUUCUUUUUCCAAAUUGAAAUCCUUACAAGAGGAAUAGCGAGUUGUUCAAUUUGAUUGGUAGAUGAGUAUGGACAAUCGAAUUUGUCGUAACUAGAAAAUAUAUAUAUAUAUAUAUAUAUAUAUAUAUAUAUAUUCCUUUGAGUUUGAGGAGAAGGAUAACUUUUGUUUUUUAGUGAAAAAUUGUUCAAACCAAUAAGGCUAUAUAUCUUGUUUGCAAAUAUGGCAGUCCUUUUUUUUCUGAUAUUUUUAUCUGAUUUAAUCAAUAAGUUGGAACGAAUCUACGGAUCAAGGAUAAUUGGCUUUUACUUAAUAAUAAUAAAGUAAAUUAGACGAAUUCAUUGGGGCGAAUUAUUGCAUAGAACUAAAUACAAUAUUUGAUUGAGAUACGGCCAUGCAAUUUAUUAUAUUAAUAUUCUCUUUUGGUCAAUCGUUGAAUUGAAGAAUUGACUAAAAUCAACUAAAUGGGAAUCAUUUCAUAAAGUAUCUUUCUUUUCUUUUUAUUUUAAUCACCCACCUGUAAUACUAUAAGAAUUUUUAUUCAAAUCAUUACUCUUGGUAUUUGCUAUUCAAAUUGAAUGAACAAAAAUGAACAAAACAAUAUAAAGAUAAUAUUUUUUGGUGUGGGGGGGGAUAUAAUAAGGCCAAAGAGGAAUUUGAGGAAAAAGACCCUUUAGAUCUCUUUCCUACAAUUCCCAAACAUCGUAAUUUUUUUCUACGACUCUUGAUCGUAUAUGUUGUAUUUGUAGAUUUAUGUUUGGAUACGUAUUUUUCCUAAGUAGAUUAUCUUGAGUUACGCAUACAGUGCCUUUGUUCUAAGCUACAAAAAAAGACUAUUUUGAAAACAAGUCAUUGAUGUUCCUCCAUAGAUUCACCUAUGUAAACUGUUGAGUGUUAGAAAAUGCAUAUUUAUAAAGGAGAAAACCGUUAUUUUACAUUUCAAGUUUUACUAACAACCCUUACUUUUAUGUAUUUAACCUUCUUGUGAUUUAAUUACAUGUGUUUUAUUUUAAUUAAGUAUUUUAUGUAUUUUAGGGGCAUUAUAGUCAUUUCACAAUAAAGGAGAGAUCAGACGGCAAAACGGACAUCACUUUUGAACUCAGGACAGUCGAAAACCUUAAAAGGAGCAUAAAAGGAAAAAUAGUACUAUUCACAUGUACGGUACUAUUCACGUGUAAAAAUAGUACUAUUCACAUGUACGGUACUAUUCACAUAGACGGAUGAUGACGUGGCAUUGACCGAUGAUGUGGCAUUGACUGAUGAGGUGUCACGAUCCUGUUGGACUAAAAUUCUUAUGUACUGUUGAUGGUGACGUGGCAGCAUAUCAGUGGACGAAAAAUCUCGCGUACGGUGCAUGCUUCACACAGGAUUAUUUUCAACCAAACCGCGUUACUGUUCAUCCGGGUCAAACCGCGUUACUGUUCAAAGUCGGGUCAAACCGUGUUACUGUUCAUCCGCGUGGUCAAACCGUGGACUGUUGACUGAUGACGUGGCGCAAUCCUGAGCGUCCAAACUAUUUUUAAUCCGAUGGCCAUGAUUUACUCCAUGUAUCUAUAAAAAGGGGGCCUCUCCCCCCUAAUUUGAUAUCUCUGAAUCCAUUUUUGGGAUCCAUUUUCUGUAAUUCCCUCUCCAUCUUGUAUUUUCUUCGUAUUUUAAUAAAUUUCCAUUUUGCCCCUAGUUCAAUUAUGAGUGGCUAAUUUUCUUUCAAGCUUGGGUUGAAGGUGAAGUCUCACCAUGUGUCAUGGGCUUAAUUUGGUAAAUUUAUUUUCUCUUCCCCUCUAGUUUUUGUGGAUGUUUUGACUUCUCGUCGACAAAUAAUACUAAUCUUGUCUAGUACCGCCUUGGUUUCAUCGGUCCUCUAGUACAAGGUUAUUAUUAUUUGGCACGAUAAGCCCUUAGCACCAUAUUGAUUAGAGCGUGGUUCAUGAGGUGUGGAUUCCCCCCUCAUGAUUUAAUUGGUAUUAAUACGGAUUAUUUAGCCCAUGAUGCAUGUUGAUAUGGAUCCAGAUACCCAAGUACGUCAUUUCAAUAUAAUUCUCGUCAAUUUAUUCUCGUCAUUUCAAUUCCAAUUUUAGAAUUUAUUCUCGCCAUUUUAAUUUAAGUUUUAGCAUAUUCCAAAUCAUUUCCACCAUAAAUCCAACAACCCAUUUACAAAAUUAAUUCUAUACACAAUUAAAAUCCACCUCCUCGUGGGAUCGACACUCGUCACCAUUAGUCUAUACUACAAUAGAUUCGUGCGCUUGCGAGUACAUUAAAAUUUGCACAACAAGUUUUUGGCGCCGUUGCCGGGGAGGUAAGUAAUUUUAAUUAAUAGAAUUAAUUUUUGUGAAUAAUUUCUUUUAUUUAUUUUCUUGUAUUUUUUUUAUUAUAAAAAAAAAGAAAAAAAAAGAGUGAAUCUACAUUUAAAGGUUAGUAUUUCUUUUAUUUUUUCUCUUCUUUAAAAUUCUGUAAUUUAAUUUUCAAUUUAUUUUUCUUUGCAAUUUUUUUUUUGUUUAUUUUAUUAAUUUAAUUUUUAGUUAAUUUAUUUCACGUAUUUAUUUUUGUGUAUUUUUAUAGAAAGUUUGUAAUCGCGCAAUAAGGUUAGUAUCGUAAUUUCUCCCUCUUCUUUAUUUUUAUUUAUUUUGUUCCCAUCUUUAUUUUUUAUUUUAUUUGUUUUGCAUGCAUGGUCGUAGGUCAUUAUUACCCAAUCUUGAACCUAUAGACCUUGAACUUGAGAAAACACUUCGCACACACAAACAUAUUAAAAAUAAAAUGGAUUUGCAACCACAGGAGAGGCCAUUUAAGGACUACUUCAGUCCUUUAGCUAAUUUGAGCACAUCAUGCAUAAGAUACCCUAAUGUAGCUGCUAGGAGCUUUGAAUUAAAACCUAGUGUGCUAAAUUGUCUCCCCACAUUUUAUGGCCUAGAAAAUGAGGACCCAUAUAAUCAUUUGAAUGAUUUUCAUGCAAUUUGUCAAACAUUUAAAUAUGAGAAUUUUUCAGAUGAUGAUGUUAAACUCAGAUUAUUCCCAUUUUCUUUAAAAGAUAGAGCUCGUUCAUGGCUUAAUACAUUACCUGCUAAUAGCAUUGCAUCAUGGGAACAAAUGGUAACUAAAUUUUUAAAUAAAUAUUUCCCAGUGCAUAAAACCAAUGCUAUUCGCAGGGAAAUCUCAGAGUUUACCCAGAGAGAGGACGAGCAGUUUUUUGAAACAUGGGAGCGAUUCAAUGGGCUACUCUUGAAGUGUCCACAUCAUGGGUACGAGAAAUGGCACCAAUGCCAAUACUUUUUGGAGGGAUUAUUACCGAAUGUGCAAGAAUGGCUAAUGGCAACAAGUGGAGGAGAGCUAAUGUCAAAAAGUGCAUCAGAGAUUUGGGAAUUCUUCCAGCGACAAGCGGAUAAUUCCCAACAACGGAGUCGAUCACUCAGGAAUACAAGAAGAAUUAAGGGAGUAAAUGAGGUUCACAUUGGCGAGUCAAGUUCAGAAAUUAAAGAAGUCAAAGCGAUAAUUGAAGGUCUCUCUCGACAAAUAGCAUCGUUAUCGACUGCUAAAUCAACAGAGCCACAUGACCAUGACUCAUACUCAGAUCAAGCCAAUGCCAUAGGUGUAAUGAGAAAGCCAUCAAAUUACAACCCAUACUCCAACACAUAUAAUCCUGGAUGGAGAGACCACCCCAAUUUUUCAUGGUCUCAAGGAUUCCAACAAAAUGGACCAGCAGCUCCAGCUCCACCAAUGCAACAAAUUCCUCAAGUUCCUCAAGCCUCUCAGCCACCAUUUAGACCAUACAAUCAGAACCAGAACCACUCUCAACCUAGACCAUGGGAGGAUGCAUUCCAGAAUUUCAGGAAUGUUACUCACUCCACGAUUGAGCAACAGAACCGCACCAUUGAUGGACUACGAAAUGAAUUGAGAGCGGGCUUCAACUCACAAGCCCAAUCAGUUUCAAGCCUCGAGAAGAUGGUGGGACAACUUGCUUCUUCAGUUCAGACCUUGGCAAUGACCGUUGAGAAAGGUAAGUUUCCAAGUCAACCAGUGCCUAAUCCUAAAGGAGUACAUGAAGCAAGUACCAGUUCACCACAACAGCAUGGAGAGGUCAAAGCAGUAAUGACCUUACGAAAAGGAAAAGAAGUCGACAACAACGUGGAGAUGCCAGUGACAAAAGAAAAUCAAAUUGUACAUGUGAAUGUUGAGGACUCAUCACCGGAGGAGAAAGAAGAAACUACCCCACGAGAAUACGUUCCCAAAGCUCCAUUUCCUCAGAGGUUAGCGAAAGGCAAAAAGGGAAAAUCCACAGGUGAGAUUAUUGAAAUCUUCAAACAGGUAAGUGUUAACAUCCCUUUGCUUGAUGCUAUUAAACAAGUUCCAUCUUAUGCCAAGUUUCUUAAAGACCUUUGUACUAAAAAGAGAAAUAUGCAUGUUCAAAAGAAGGCAUUUUUAACAGAAAACGUUAGUUCUAUACUCCAACAUAAAAUUCCUUUAAAAUGCAAAGACCCAGGCUCCCCCACUAUCUCAUGUAGCAUAGGGAACCACACAAUUGAGAAUGCUUUGUUGGAUUUAGGAGCUAGUGUAAAUUUGUUGCCUUAUUCAGUAUUUGUGAAACUUGGACUUGGAGAAUUACACCCAACUCCAGUGGUGUUACAGCUUGCAGAUCGGUCCACAAAAAUACCUCGUGGUAUUGUGGAGGACGUGCUUAUCCAGGUAGACAAGUUUUAUUUUCCUGUUGAUUUCAUUGUAAUUGACACUCAACCAAUACAGGAUUCGAGGAAGCACAUCCCCAUUAUUCUAGGCGGACCUUUCUUGGCAACUGCGGAUGCUCACAUUCAAUGCAGGACUGGGAAAUAUGCAGUUGUCUUUCGGCAACAUGACUAUGGAGCUGAACAUCUUCAACAUUGCCAAACAACCUCACAGUGCAGAUGAUGGAAUUGUUGAUGUGGGAUUUAAUUGAAGCAUUAGUUGAUGAUACUUUUGGUUUCAAACCUUAGUGAUGAUCCUUUACAAACAUGGUUAAACUCACUUUGGGUUUGAAUUUUGAUAUUGACAGAUCGGUCGAUGGAGGUCAACGCCCUGCUUGACUCAGCACCAUCUAUGGACACUAAUAAAUGGAAGUCAAGAGUUGAGCAACUAGCACCAUCAGAGAAGCAACUCAUUCCAUCAUCAGAAUCACCACCGAAACUCGAGCUCAAACCAUUGCCCAACACUUUGGAAUAUGCGUUUUUGGGAGAAGAAAGCACUCUGCCGGUAAUCAUCUCAUCAUCCCUCAAUGACGAACAAAAAGGUAAGUUGUUAGAUAUUUUAAAAGAGCACAAAGGGGCAUUAGGAUGGACCAUAACAGACAUAAAAGGUAUAAACCCAGUAGACUGCAUGCAUUACAUUCACCUUGAUGAAAAUGCUAAAACUACUAGGGAGAUGCAACGUCGGUUAAAUCCUAACAUAAAAGAAGUUGUUAGAACAGAAGUCCUUAAACUAUUAGACGCAGGUAUCAUUUACCCAAUUUCUGAUAGUUCAUGGGUCAGUCAUGUACAAGUUGUCCCCAAAAAGUCAGGAGUCACAGUAGUUACCAAUGCUGAUAAUGAAUUGAUACCCACUAGAGUAACUACAGGAUGGCGUGUUUGCAUUGAUUAUAGGAAGUUGAAUUCUGUCACACGUAAAGACCAUUUUCCUUUACCAUUUAUUGAUCAAAUGCUUGAUAGAUUAGCAGGCCAUGAAUUUUAUUGCUUUCUAGAUGGCUACUCAGGAUAUAAUCAGAUUCCCAUAGCACCAAAAGAUCAGGAGAAAACUACUUUCACUUGCCCUUUUGGCACAUUUGCAUAUAGGAGAAUGCCAUUUGGAUUAUGUAAUGCACCUGCUGCAUUUCAACGAUGCAUGUUAAGCAUUUUUUCUGAUAUGGUUGAACGAUUCCUUGAAGUCUUUAUGGAUGACUUUUCUGUCCUUGGUGAUUCGUUUGAUCAAUGUUUACAUCAUCUAACACUAGUUCUGCAGAGAUGUAUCGAGAAGAACUUGGUCUUAAAUUGAGAGAAAUGCCAUUUUAUGGUAAAACAAGGUAUUGUUCUCGGUCACAUCAUUUCGAGCAAAGGUAUUGAGGUUGACAAAGCCAAGGUGGAUCUCAUUUCUAAUCUUCCUCCACCUAAAACAGUCAGAGAAGUAAGAUCUUUCCUUGGGCAUGCUGGUUUCUAUAGACGUUUCAUUAAAGAUUUUAGCAAAGUUUCUAGACCCUUAUGCAAUUUACUUGCUAAGGAUGUACCUUUUAUCUUUAAUGAUUCAUGUCUUAUGGCGUUUGAAAAAUUAAAACAGUUGUUGACAUCAUCACCCAUCAUUCAGGCCCCAAACUGGAACUUACCAUUUGAGCUAAUGUGUGAUGCAUCUGAUUAUGCAGUAGGAGCAGUAUUAGGACAAAGAGUUGAUCGAAUUCCCCAUUUUAUUUAUUAUGCUAGUAUGACAUUAAAUGAUGCACAGUUGAACUAUUCAACUACUGAAAAAGAAAUGCUAGCAGUAGUGUUUGCAUUAGAAAAAUUUCGAUCAUAUCUCAUUGGUUGUAAAAUAAUUAUAUUCACGGAUCAUGCUGCUCUUAAAUAUCUUCUCACAAAGAAAGAUGCAAAAGUCAGACUAAUUCGUUGGGUGUUACUUUUGCAGGAGUUUGACUUGGAAUUCAAAGAUAAGAAAGGGACAGAAAAUGUUGUGGCAGACCACCUCUCUCGUCUCCAUUUUGACACAAUUACAGAGCCAUUAAUAUUGAAUGAGUCAUUUCCAGAUGAACAAUUAAUGAAUGUGGAAGUAUUACCUUGGUAUGCUGAUAUAGUUAAUUAUCUUGUUACAGGUAAACUUCCAGAGCAUUGGACCAAGCAAGACAAGGCUAAAUUCUUUGCAGAAAUAAAGAAUUUCUUUUGGGAUGACCCGUAUUUGUUCAAGUAUUGUGCGGAUCAAAUUGUUAGACGAUGUGUCCCAGAAAGUGAAAUUCAUAAUAUCCUUUCAUUCUGCCAUGAACAAGCUUGUGGAUGCCAUUUCAGUGCUAAGAAAACAGCGACUAAAGUUUUACAAUGUGGUUUCUAUUGGCCAUCUAUAUUUCGAGACGCUUACACUUUCUGUUCUUCAUGUGAUAGGUGUCAACGAAUGGGGAGCAUUACACGGAGGAACAUGAUGCCACUAAAUCCAAUUUUAGUGGUUGAGAUUUUUGACGUAUGGGGUAUCGACUUCAUGGGACCCUUUCCCCCGUCUUUUGGCCAUCAAUACAUAUUGGUUGCUGUUGACUAUGUAUCGAAAUGGGUAGAAGCAAUUCCAUGUAGGACCAAUGAUCACAAGGUGGUGAUAGCAUUUUUGAAAAGCAACAUUGUUUCACGCUUUGGAUUCCCUCAAGCAAUAAUCAGUGAUGGUGGUGCCCACUUUUGUAACAAAGCAUUCAAAGCUCUUUUGACAAAGUAUUCAAUCACACACAAAGUGGCGACCCCGUAUCAUUCGCAAACCAGUGGUCAAGUUGAGAUUUCCAAUCGAGAAAUAAAGCACAUAUUAGAAAAGACGGUGAGGCCGGACAGAAAAGAUUGGUCAUUAAGACUUGAUGAUGCCUUAUGGGCAUAUAGAACGGCUUUCAAGACCUCGAUUGGGAUGUCACCCUACAGACUAGUGUAUGGAAAAGUUUGCCACCUACCUGUGGAACUCGAGCAUCGUGCAUAUUGGGCCAUCAAGAAAUUCAAUUUUGACAUGCAGCAAGCCAGCUCAGAAAGAAGAUUACAGCUGGCAGAACUUGAAGAAAUUCGCAAUGAUGCAUACGAAAAUGCCAAGAUUUACAAGCAACGAAUGAAAGUCUUCCAUGAUAAGCAAAUUAUGAGAAAAUCGUUCACUCCAGGUCAGAAAGUGCUUUUAUUCAAUUCUCGCUUGCACCUAUUCCCAGGUAAGUUACGCUCUCGUUGGUCUGGCCCAUUUAUUGUUCAUACUGUUUUUCCACAUGGGGCAAUUGAAAUUAAAGACCCAAAGAACGGUGUCACGUUUAAAGUUAAUGGUCAAAUAUUAAAGCCAUAUCUAGAGUACCAACCACAGGAAGAAGACACCGAAAUAAAUUUGAGUGACCCACCAAAUUUGAAUUGAUUUUUUUUCUUUUCGUUGAUUUGAUUUUUCUUUCUUUCUUUUUAUUAUUAUUCUUUUGCUAAUUGAAAUUGUUUUUGCAUAAGUGUGUUUAUUUUACCAUUAAGUUUUCUCUUAUCAUUUUUAAUCAUGAGUCUCAUACUUAGACCGUUCCUCCUGAACAUUCUUAAACCACUUCAACGUGUCAAAACUCAUCUCAAAAGGCAGAUUCAAUUUUGUAAAACACAACGCAUUUUGGCUCUACAACCACCAGAGUUAGUAGCCUAUGUUGAGGGUUUAGAACGCCAACUCAGAGACAUUGAGAGAAGUGUUUACGACAUCCAGUUGGAGCUUGAGGUAAAUUCAAUAAGAGGAUGAUUUUAAUUGUGUGUUUUAAUUUGUUUUUCUAUUUGUGUGCUUUAGUUUGUUACCCCGGUGAAGUGGCGGAUAACAGUACUCCGUGACAAUCAAGUCGGUUACUUCAGUUUCCCAUAAUAACUGAUAUUCUGAGGCGAAAGUAUUGACAGAAACGAGAUUCUAGCGAAGCUUCAUAAGCGAUUCCCUUCAUUUCCUCAGAAUGCCCUCCUUACGAUCUAUAAAGCUCGGUCCGAACGCAUGCGAUUGCUCAUGAGGAAUAACAUACCUGCUGAUAUCCGUUGGUUAAUUGAGGCGAAAGUACGAUCGACAGGUGAGUUACCUCCAAAAUUUAUUGCAUUCAUGCCUGGUUGUGGUAAAGGAAAUUAUGCAAGAAAACGACGAGCUCGAAGAAUUUCUGUUGCUUGUCAUAAGUGUGCCAGAAUGAGUUGCAAUAAAAACCCAUGUUCUUUAGGAAUGAUGUUUGAUAACAGGGAAGAUAAGAUUCAAUUCAUUAGGGAUGGCUUGAAUAAGGAGUCAUUGGAUGAUAUCCUUUUGUCUCUAGAAACGCAUCCCAGUGGAUAUGUGCAAGGAGCGAUUCUCCAGUUAUGGCCAUUAUUCCAGAAAGAGCAUGCACGAUAUAGUCUCGGGAAUCUGACUAUAAACGACCCUGUUUGCCAGUUUAUAAGAAAACUUGAUAGGAAGCCUAUCCUCGACCCAUAGAGGGCGUUCAAGCCGUUUCUGGACGUAAAACCAGAGGAAGAUGUGAGCCACAGUCGCAACUACCUGUAAAUAUCCUUUUACUUUAUUGUUAUUUUAUUUCACUAUUGUCUUAUUGUUUGCAUUAUUGUCUUUAAUAAUUUUAUUACUGUUUGCUUUUUCCUUAUUACUGUUUGCUUUUCCCUUUUUACUGUUUCCUUUUUGACUCGCGAGCCACGUGCUUUACGCGUUAUUUGACAUGGACAUGUGACCUCAUACACAACUAUGACCCACUAUCACCAAGACUCUUAAAUGUGAUUUUCUUUGUCAAGCACUCACAAAUUAUUUUUGCGAAGUAUCACAAUGGCAGCUACUCCCAAUAGACAAUUCAAGAAUAUUUGUGUGCUUUCUGGAUUUACAUAUGGCAAACAUAAAGAGUUCGUUGAGGCAGCCAUAGAUCUUGGUCGAAGCAUAGCAGCGAGAAAAAGUACACUUGGUGUAUGGAGGAGGUAAUCGAGGGUUAUCAAAAAUGGUCUCAGAAGCAGCUUUUAUCAGAGGAAGUCAAGUGUUAGGCAUCAUCCCAAGAGUCUUAAAACCAUUGGGCAGUUCGUCUGACUCAUCAACUGGAGAAGAGUUAGUCGUCUCAGGUAUGCAGGAAAGAAUAACUUAAAUGCUUAAUCAUGCUGAUGCUUUUAUUUUCCUUCCAGGAGAUCUUGCAACACUAAAGGCACUUAUCACGCUAGCAUCUUGGGCCCAUCUCCACAUCCACCAGAAACCCAUCGGUUUGUUAAAUGUCAAUAACUUUUAUGAUGGCUUUAUCGCAUUUCUUAACCAUGCAAUAAAAAACUAUUUCAUUCCCGCUAAUGUGAAAAAACUUUUUAUUUGUGCUCACACUGCUAAUGAGCUACUUGAUCUGUUACAAGCUUAUAAACCAGAGCCAGACCCCUGGACCUUUGUGUUGGAGCGUCCAAAUAAUGAUGGUAACAGUAGCAGCAGUAAGAAGUACAAAUUAGAUUUAACUCUCCGCCUGUAAAUAUUUUCUUCUGUGUUGCACCACCCAGGUGAUGUCUUCUAAACUCUACUUCUUUCCUUUCAAACAUUGAGGACAAUGUUUCGUUCUGGUUGGGGGGAGGGAAUAGUCGACAAUUGUGGAAUUUUGGUUAAGUUUUUACUAAUUUUUUGUUGUAGAAACUAACUGUUGCUAACUUUUUGUGUUGAAGAUGGCUGAAUAUGGAGUGUAGUGACUUUAGAAAUGCAUCUUCAUCGUUUAUAAAAAAAAAAAAAAUUCAGACAUUUUCUUUUUCUUUAUUAUGUGUUUAUGUUUAUUUUUUUUCUUUUUAAUUUCUCCUCUAUAAAUAUACAUUUUCCAACUUUUGAGUCGAAGAUGGCUGAAUAUGGAGUGUAGUUCCUCUAGAAACGCAUCUUCUUUAAAAAAAAAAAAUCAUUUUCGUUUUCUAUCAUUUUACGUGUAACUUUUCUAAUUAGUUUUUAUGCAUCAUUUUCACAUUUCUGCAUGCAUAUUUUUCUUUCAUGUUUAGAAUAGGUUGGGGGGUAGAAUGAUGUUUAAAAAAAAAUGUGUAAUUUGUUUUAACAUUGGAUGACAUGAUUAAUUUCAAAUUUUAGUAUUUGUAUUAUCUUUGGUCUUAAGUGAUGUUACGCUAUGUUUGCUACUUUACAUGUUGAUGUCGGAGACAAAUGUGAGUUGCUUGAAGGAAUGAACAUGUCAUAAUAAGUACCAAGUGAGUUUUUGAGCCUAUUAUUUUUCUUGGAGAAUAACCCUUUUGCCCACUCUUUAUACAGCUUAGCAGUUUAUUAUUUUAUACACGAUCUCUAAAUUACUUUUGAGUUAACCCUUAAAAAAAAAUUGUAAAAAAAAAAAAAGAGUGUGUUGCUACAUUUGGAGGCCCAUCUAACUAGUAGAUAUGGAAGAUUAUUUAGAGCCCUAAAAGACGAUGGAAAAGCCAUCUUUGAUCCGUUUGAGCCUUUCUAGCCAUCCCUUUUAUCAAAUAUCCAUAGUUAACCCUUUUGAGCCUUUAAAAAAAAAAAAAAACCUUUUUCUUUGUCAACUUAUCAUCUUGACCCACUCCGAUUUGGAGUAUUAUCCAAUGUCUUAUAAGUUCCAUCACCUAUAUAUGUUUGAGAAAAUGUAAAUAAUUAUGUUGUUCAGUAAAGUUAUGCAAAAAAAAAAAAACAAAAACAAACAAAACAAAAGUUGUUGUUUCAAAAGAAAAAAAAAUAAAAAUAAUAGGUGAAAUCCACCUUGCAACUUCCAAAAAAAAAAAAAAAAUUCUGUGCAUUUUUCUCAAACAUACACUUUGUUUUCCUUAUUUUCCUUCUUUGUUAGCCAUGUCCCUAGCCUACGUUACAUCCUAAUAAAAGUCCUUCCUGAUUUUAGGGAACUAUAAUCUAAAGUAGAAGCUAGUUAUAUGGGCUAAAAAGAUGUAGUGAUGCAUAUAAAAAAAAUAAUAAAUAAAUAAAUUGAGUUGACUAACAAUUUUUAUUUGACUUGAGAUCGUAUUAUUUUUAAGCUGAGGGCAUAUUUAUUUCAUCUUGGUGAGAGCAUGUGAUAUCACUUCUUCAUUAUUUUCUCUCAAUUACCAUUCAAUGGAGUGACUAUUUUUAUUGGGUUUAAUUUCUUUGUGAGAGUGUCACUACUUCCAGUGAGAUUUUGGGGUUUGACAUGUCAUUCUUGAAAGUAGCUAUAACAAAGUCUACUGGGCUGAUUCAUGUGGAUGGUUGAUGUGGGUGUGAUGUUACUUUAGACUGGAGAUAAUGCUUAUACUUUUAUUUAAUUGCUAUCAUUAAUCUGAUUGAAUAAACACGAGUGUUUCUAAAUUUAAAAAAAAAAAUCAUUUUGAAUUUGAAUUUUAUUUUCGCUUCAUUUGCUAGGGACUAGCAAUAAGCUGGUUGGGGGGUGUGUUGAGUGUUAGAAAAUGCAUAUUUAUAAAGGAGAAAACCGUUAUUUUACAUUUCAAGUUUUACUAACAACCCUUACUUUUAUGUAUUUAACCUUCUUGUGAUUUAAUUACAUGUGUUUUAUUUUAAUUAAGUAUUUUAUGUAUUUUAGGGGCAUUAUAGUCAUUUCACAGUAAAGGAGAGAUCAGACGGCAAAACGGACAUCACUUUUGAACUCAGGACAGUCGAAAACCUUAAAAGGAGCAUAAAAGGAAAAAUAGUACUAUUCACAUGUACGGUACUAUUCACAUAGACGGAUGAUGACGUGGCAUUGACCGAUGAUGUGGCAUUGACUGAUGAGGUGUCACGAUCCUGUUGGACUAAAAUUCUUAUGUACUGUUGAUGGUGACGUGGCAGCAUAUCAGUGGACGAAAAAUCUCGCGUACGGUGCAUGCUUCACACAGGAUUAUUUUCAACCAAACCGCGUUACUGUUCAUCCGGGUCAAACCGCGUUACUGUUCAAAGUCGGGUCAAACCGUGUUACUGUUCAUCCGCGUGGUCAAACCGUGGACUGUUGACUGAUGACGUGGCGCAAUCCUGAGCGUCCAAACUAUUUUUAAUCCGAUGGCCAUGAUUUACUCCAUGUAUCUAUAAAAAGGGGGCCUCUCCCCCCUAAUUUGAUAUCUCUGAAUCCAUUUUUGGGAUCCAUUUUCUGUAAUUCCCUCUCCAUCUUGUAUUUUCUUCGUAUUUUAAUAAAUUUCCAUUUUGCCCCUAGUUCAAUUAUGAGUGGCUAAUUUUCUUUCAAGCUUGGGUUGAAGGUGAAGUCUCAACAUGUGUCAUGGGCUUAAUUUGGUAAAUUUAUUUUCUUUUCCCCUCUAGUUUUUGUGGAUGUUUUGACUUCUCGUCGACAAAUAAUACUAAUCUUGUCUAGUACCGCCUUGGUUUCACCGGCCCUCUAGUACAAGGUUAUUAUUAUUUGGCACGAUAAGCCCUUAGCACCAUAUUGAUUAGAGCGUGGUUCAUGAGGUGUGGAUUCCCCCUCAUGAUUUAAUUGGUAUUAAUACGGAUUAUUUAGCCCAUGAUGCAUGUUGAUAUGGAUCCAGAUACCCAAGUACGUCAUUUCAAUAUAAUUCUCGUCAAUUUAUUCUCGUCAUUUCAAUUCUAAUUUUAGAAUUUAUUCUCGCCAUUUUAAUUUAAGUUUUAGCAUAUUCCAAAUCAUUUCCACCAUAAAUCCAACAACCCAUUUACAAAAUUAAUUCUAUACACAAUUAAAAUCCACCUCCUCGUGAGAUCGACACUCGUCACAAUUAGUCUAUACUACAAUAGAUUCGUGCGCUUGCGAGUACAUUAAAAUUUGCACAACAUAAACCACAGCUAAAGUUGCAAAAAUAAGAGCUUAAAUACCGCUUGUGCUAUAAUUUUAAUCUCAAGUAUGUGUGGUGGUUUGAUCUCAAAGCAAGGAUAAAGGCCAGAAUGUUAUCACUCCAAACCAACUACGUUGCUUAGUGCUUACCUUGUUUUCAAAUAUGUUGAGCUCAAAUAUGGAUUUCAAAGAAGACCAAUAGAGUUCGGCAUCUACUUUGAAGGAACCGAUAAUCGGAAAAGGCAAAGAGCAAUACUAGACCCUUAAAAAAAAAUUAGGUUCAGCUAUCUCAAGACAAUAUAAGAAUUUAGUACUAAGUUUAAUUUUUAUUGAGCACUAAAUUUAUGGCUGUUAGGCCUGAGAGAAAAAAAAAUACAAAAUAAAUCUUAACCAUUGAUUAUUUGCUUAAAAUAAAUAAAUUCAGCACCGAAUCUUAAUUCCUCCAGAUAGGGGAGAUGGGUGGAUGAAGAUUGAGAUGGGUGAGUUCUUCAAUGAAAAUAGAGAUGAUGGCAUCUUGGCGUGUACCCGUGUAUUCUAUUUGAUUUUGAUAACUUCACCACUUCAGGCCUCAUUAUACAAGGAAUUAAGCUUACUGUCACGGGACGAGAGGUUUCAAGCCCGUGCGGCACUCCCGCAUCCCAUACUACAAGAGUAAGCCUAGUGGAAGUAGCAUAAUUUCUACUGGUUUCGCCCUGCCUUGGGCUCGUCAGGAGAACGACUCCAGUUCCCAACCAGUGUGUGUAGGGUUUCGCCUAGACCCCUCUUCAAGGUUAAGUCCUCGACUAGCGACAAGCUCCCCAAACUCAACCGGGUCGGCCUACCUGAACUCCAAAGAGUCUAGGGCCAUUGUAUUCCCCACACGCAUGCCUCUAAAGCACGUCUCCAACAAUCUGCACAACCAUCGUCGACACUAGCGUACAAGCGCAUAUCUUGGGUGCCACGAUUGCGGUUCGUGACAUUCUCCCACCACCAUGACCAUGCACGUCCUCGUGCAUCAAGAGUACGCUCGCAAAUGUGCACUUCCGCGCGAAAACGUAAAGAUCGGCUUGACAAUCUCACCCAUGAACUCCCUGCCUACUCGUCCUCGAUCCAGGUAGAGGACCCGCGUGCAGACACUGUCCAACUUAGUGCGAACGCUUGGGGGUGUGAGAACCCACAUGUUCGUCCCGCUUGUCGACCCUUGUGCCCAAAAGGGUGGGGACCUACGUGGUGCGGCAUUGGAGCGCUUGGCGAGCUCGUAACGAGGGCAUCAAGAGAUGACAAGCGCAACUCUAAUACCAUUUGUCACGGGACGAGAGGUUUCAAGCCCGUGCGGCACUCCCGCAUCCCAUACUAUGAGAGUAAGCCUAGUGGAAGUAGCACAAUUUCGACUGGUUUCGCCCUGCCUUGGGCUUGUCAGGAGAACGGCUCCAGUUCCCAACCAGUGUGUGUAGGGUUUCGCCUAAACCCCUCUUCAAGGUUAAGUCCUCGACUAGCGACAAGCUCCCCAAACUCAACCAGGUCGGCCUGCCUGAACUCCAAAGAGUCUAGGGCCAUUGUAUUCCCCACACGCACGCCCCUGAAGCACGUCUCCAACAAUCUGCACAACCAUCAUCGACACUAGCGUACAAGCGUAUAUCUUGGGUGCCACGAUUGCGGUUCGUGACAUUACGCCCAAAAAUGGCUGAUUGCUAGAUUGAAUUAUUGAAUUAGGAUGGGGAUAUUUCCACCCCCACUAUUUUUGUAAAUCCUCUCCCCUUCUAGGAAAUAAUUACAAUGAGUUUACAAUAUUUUUUAAAAAUAUAAAUUAAUAAAAAAACUUGUACAGUUAAUCAACUAAAUCAUUCCGUUAAUUUUUUUCUUAGGUUAUUCGACCAUCUUUAAUCAUAAAUUUUAAUAUAAGUUUUAUUUUACUAUUUUAUUAUUAUGGUAUAAAAAGAUAAAAUUAGCCUCAUAAAACAUGAGUUACUAUAUCUUAUAAUUUAGGUAUUUAAUUUUGUGACUUAUAAUAUAAUAUUUUUAAAUGAAAUCUAAUUAUUAUUUCCUCACCCUUACGUGUAAAUGACUUAAAUUUGACAGCCUGUAAUUUACAUGACAAUUGUGCUAUCAAGACACUAUGUUAGUUUAAUUAAAAAUAAUAAUUAUAUUAAUAAAGUAGCAUUUAGAAACAAUAAGUUUGGUAUAAAUUAGAAAAAUAUUGAAGGUGAAUUGAAUUCUUGAUAACUUUACCUUAUAAGGGUAAAAUAGUCAAUUUAAACUUAUGUCAAAACAAUCUUCGUAAUCAAAUGUACUAAAUAAAUCUAAGUCACAAAAAAGUGAAUUAUUAAUUAAUUCUCCAAAACUCUUUUUGAUUUAAAAAUUUUAAAAAUAAUGUGCAACUUUUAUAAUUAUUUUUUGAAAAUAGGGUGGAUUCACAAAAAAAAAAAAAAAAAUCGGGUGAAGAUAUCAUCACUCAUUGAAUUAUUUGGCAGAAAAAUUGUGCCGCUUUAAAUACCAAAGUUGUGACUCUAAUGCAUUUAGAUUUUCCAUAGUAUGGUACGUAUGGAUAUUUACAAAUACAAGAUCAAUCCAAAUUCUUAAUUUCUAAUUAUAAAAAAAUGAUGAGACCGAUUAUUUUGGAAGCCAUGUGAAAAUUAAUUUGGCCCACAGCUCAAUAAAAAUUAAUAUUUGUUACAAGCGUGAUGAUAUUUAACCCUCAAAUUAUCUUAACAUGCUUUAUUUUUUAAUUUAUCUUAUUACUUUUCAAAAUUAUCCUUAUUCAUAAUUAUUUUAUUUUAUUCUCCCUCCCCCGGCCCCACCCCAUCUCUCUAACAUAACCAUCACAACCGCUACCUACCUUUAUUCAUAAGUUCAUCACCACUACCGCUUAUCUUCUUUACCAUCAAUCCACCACUAGAUCACUUCCUUCAACAUAUGAUGAAUUUCGAUAUUGUGUUUUGUUAAAUUGGAUGAACAAGUGGUGGAUUUUGUUGUUAUUAAUGACAUUGGUUUUGAUUUUUGCGAUAAACCUAAAAUUUUAUUUAAUGUCAAUUUGGGAUAUGAUUAAAAGAUAAUAUUUGAUUCAAAUGGUGAAUCAAUUAAAAAAAGAUAAAAGAAAUGAGAAGUUAAUCUAUUGAGAGCUUGAAGAGAAAAAAAUAUUUAUUUUUUAAUAAUAACAAUUUUGAGAAUAAAAAUACUAAGGGGGUCAAAUAUCACCUCUUUUGUUAUAAAAAUGAUUGAAAAAUCCAGCCCACCCCUCCCAAGUUAGGCCUGGGCUUUCAAGGGCCAAGACUUUCUUUGAAAGCCUGGGCGUCGGCUGGGGAAAUCCGAUCUGAGCCGGUCCAUUUGUGAUCCCCACUCCUCAUCUCGUUUGUAAAGUAAUAAACACAUGUUGCAUGCCAUUUUGAAUUUUCUUGUUCUUCAUUCGACAUUGUGGCGAUUUUGAACAAAGCUAAAGCAUUGAUAUGAAAUUUCUGCAACCACCUUUCAUGAGUAGGGAUGAGAAUGAGAAGGGGAGGUGACCGAUAUCUGCAUACCAUCUUUGAUAUUUUGCAUAUAUCUCUAACGUCUCCUUGUUCCAAUUAGAAUUGAUUAAGAGGAAGGAACGGAGAUUCCCAAAUAAUAACAGAAGAUCUUUGAGGGUCUUUGAUUCUUGAAUAAAUAUUUUUUUAUUCUUUGAACUUGAUUUAAUCAUAUUAAAAUAAAAUUUGAUAAUAUGUCUUACAUUAACAUUAGUCCAUUACAAAAAUCACACUACAAAAUACAAAUCAUCAGAAUAAUUAUCUCUGUUAAUCUUCAUAAUCCUAUAACAAAAAGAAAAAGAAAUUAUUUUUAUAUCAAUCAUGAAAUAAAUAAAAUGAUUAUAAUAUUUAAAUAAAUGAGAUAAGCACACAGCAUGUGCUACUGGGUUAUAAUGAGAUGAGGAUGAGCUAGUUGCUAAUUGCGACACGAAUAAUUUGGAAAGGAUGAGUGAGACCGUUACAAAGUCACUUAUAAUUUGAUUUCUAGAUUGUGUGCUUGUAGGAUUAUAGGUGCUAAUUGCGACACGAAUAAUUUAGAAAGGAUGAGCGAGAUCGUGAUAAAGUCACUUAGGAUUUGAUUUCUAGAUUGUGUGCUUGUAGGGUUAUAGGCUUUAUAUUAACUAAUAUUUAUAUUAUUUUUAUAGAUAUUUUAAUAUUUAUUAUUUACAUCAAUAUUUAAUAUUUUACUGUUUAAAUUUUAUUAUUUGUUUACUAAUAAUGGCAUAAAAAUAAAAUUAAAAAUAAAAAUAAAAAACUUGGGAGAGAAUUGGAAUUCCACCCCAUCCCCCCGUUACUUUCCAAAAUAAAAUAUUAGUAAAAAAAUUAUUUUCUUCUCUUUUUUAAAUAAAAUUAAAUAUAAAAUCAUCCUUAUACAUUUUUCAAAUGAGUUCUGCUAUUUGAACGAAAUGAAGAUAAAGGGACGACAGAAAAAAUUGCCACGUGAAUCAACUGGGAUUAAUGGAAACCAAAAAUUGGCACGUGAAUCAAGCAGCUUUUGUCCCUUUGUCUAUUACUUUUUGAAUUUAAAAAAUAAAAUAAUCAAAAAAAAGUAACAAAAAGUAACAAAAAGAAAGGAAAGGGAGAUUACUUUUUGAGUUCUGUAGUCUCUCUCUAUUUCUCUCAUUUACGUGAGUUCUCUGUGUUCAAGAAGGCAAAAUUCAAACGAGUUCGAUCUCUGCAACUCACAAAUUCCGUCUCUGCAUCUCAAUUAUCACAAGGAAUAAAUUAGAUCUAGAUCUACAAACAGAGGUGAGAGAUGUUUAAAUGGUUAGAAUAUUUAAUUUAAAUUGCAAAAAUUCGUAGAUUUUUACUUUUUAUAUAUUUAAAUUGUUAUGAAUUGUUAUGAUUUUUUUUAAUUUAAAUGGCUGGAAAUAAUGGAAUAGAUUAUAAUAAUUUCUGAAUGUGUUUUAUAUAUGUUAGGAUUUUUUAAAUUUAAAUGGUUGGAAAUAAUGAAAUAAAUUAUAACAAUUUUUUAAUGUGUUUUAUAUAUGUUAGGAUUUUUCUUAAUUUAAAUGACUGGAAUAAUACAAUAAAUUAUAACAAUUUCUAACUGUGUUUUAUAUAUGUUAGGAUUUUUUUAAUUUAAAUUGCUGAAAAUAAUGAAAUAAAUUAUAACAAUUUCCGGAUGUGUUUUAUAUAUUUAAGUUGUUAGGAUUUUAUAAUUUAAAUUGUUGGAGAUAAUGGAAUAAAUUAUAAAAAUUUGUGGAUGUGUUUUAUAUAUUUAAAUUGUUAGGAAUUUUCGUUACUGGACAAAAUGUUAUAUAAGUUUCUUAAUACAAAAUGUUAUAGAUUUUGCAUGAAGCAUCAAUUCAAGCAAAUGAGGAAAAACUUAGGAAAUUUGAAACCGUGGGAACAAUUCAUACACAACAAUCAUUUUAUUUAAAUUAUUUAAAUUUAUACAUAACAUGGGGUACAAUUUCAUUUAUGCAAAAUACAUAUAGCAACGAUUAUCCCUAAAAUACAACAUACAAUGGAUAAUAUAUGCAGAAUAAUACAAUCAUUUCUGCCUUUAUCAUUUUGCACAGCUUUGUCACAUGUAGGCACUUCAGUUUGCACCUCCUUUUCGAGUGUUUCCACAAUAAAUUUUGUAGUUUCUAACAUAUUGGAUGUCUCUCGCAAUUUAUCAUGCCUUUUUAUGUAAUCAUUGUAGGCUAUUUCGGCAUCCAACAAAGAUGUAUAAGAUUUAUAAGAAUUCCCUUUGAAUCCAUUUACUUGCAUCUGACAUUCAGGCCAAGAAUUGUAUAUGUCCGGCUUUCGUCCUUUGAAAACAACAUAACAGUUUUGAGUAGGCAUUUGAAUUCUACAUUGGAAAAUUUUAGAUCAAUAUUCUAGACUUUUAUGCUAAGAAUUUCAACUGCUAACAAUAAGAGAGAAUUUCAAAACCAGGAGGGAAAAAAAGAGUAACAUUUUAACCUUCUGAAAAAGAAUGGGAGCCUCACAGCAAAGCACAAAGGCCAGCAUCAACCAAGAAACUAAUUUCUGCAACUGUAAGUGAGACAGAUCACAGCAACUUGCACCAAAAGAAAACGAGAAAAUGAAUAUCCAGCAAACAUAUCCAGCAAACAAAUUCAGACCAAAAGAAAACGAGAAAAUAAACAUCCAGCAAACAUUUUCUGAACAAUUAAUAUUUCCCAACAUAGUACCAAGUCAAAAGAAGGGCAAAAAGAAAAUAAAAAUCAAAUUUUGAUCUAAAGCAAUGCGGAGCGGGAUCCGAACUGAGUUAAAAAAAAAAUGAAAUAACUUAAAAGCAAAUCUGGUUACCCUUUUGAAAACCCAAGUGCAUAGAUCCAAAGUCGGAACUCAACAAUCAAUAAUAACCAAACAAAUGAAUUUUCACAGAGUCGACACUCAAAAACAGAGCAGUGAGCAGUAAUAAAUGCCUUGUUAGUAUCUAUGAAGACGAGUGAGAAAAUGAAAACCAGAGGCUGAGGCUCUGACGUUCAGUGUCUCUGAAGAAGAAGAAGAAGCACUGAAGCAACGAAUUAAAUGAACACGAGGCCGUACCAUGUGAGCUACGGUACACAUUCACACACGCAAACAAAAUCAAAUCCAACACCACCAACAACAACUCACCCAUGUUUCCAAUUUUUUUAAUACAAAAUUUUCAAUUAUUUAUCUUUUUCUUAUCAUCUUUGUCCGAUCGUGCAAGAAAAAAAGUUAUAAUUAUAAAAUUAAAAAAAAUACUUACGGAAGAAAUGCUAACACUGUCAAUCUCAAAAUUUCAUCAUCCAUAACAUAAAAAAAUAAAAAUAAAAUAAAAAGAAAUGCUUACGGAUGCAGCAAGCAACAACUACAAGUCUCCAAAGCAGCGACGUCGUAGUAGAUCUGGGCUGGGCGAUCGUGUUCGUUCUAGAUCUGGGGUUGGGCGAGAAAAAAAAAAUGGCUGGUAACGAACGAAGCCCGCUCAAUGGAGGGGAGUCUGGUAAUGAAGCAAACUCAAUGGAGGGGGAGUAAAAUGAGUGGUUGGGGAGUGUGUGUAAAAGGGGGAGUAAAACGAAGCAAACUGAUGUCUGGUAAUGAAGCAAACUCAAUGGAGGAAGAGUAAAAUGAGUGGUUAGGGAGUGUGUGUAAAAAGUGGAGUAAAACGAAGCAAACUCAUUUUUUUUUAUUUCGUGUGGGUCCAUACAAUAUUAAAAGAAGCAAAAAUCAACGCUUGAAACGAGUGAAACGGCAAUUCAAACUUGUGUUUCUGUCGUCCCUUUAUCUUCAUUGAGUUCGUUCAUCAUUUUCCUUUUCAAAUAAAGAAAACUUGUAAGACCCAGGCUGCCGAAAUUUCCGUUAUCCGAGAUUAUUAUUAUUAUUAUUAUUAUUAUUUAGAUAAGACUUUUAAAAUUUGACUUGGUUGACGUGUAGCACCAUUUUGCCGCACGUUUACUCCAACAACCGGGGCCAAGGCCUGGACCUAAGCGGCUUAGGCUGACCCCAAGUCACAGGCUAAGGCCCCACCACCAAACAAAGACCCUUUUUCCUUUUCAUGAAUCACCUUUCAAUCCCACAUUUCAUGAAUCAUUCACUAAACUUUUUGUUUUUUAUAUUAUGAAAAAUUUUAGAAUAUAUUUGAAGUAUUACCUUAAUUAUAUAAUAAAUAAAUAAUAUUAUGAUAUAUAUAGAGUUAUUUUAAAAAAUUAAUUAUGUAAAUAAGUUAUAUUAAAUUUUAAUUACACAUAUUAUACAGAUAUUAAUUAAUUAUAUGACAUCUAAUAUAUUUAUUUCUCAUGUAUUAUUAAGUAAGUAGGUUUAACCAAAAAAAAAAAGUAUAUUAUACAUUCCUUAGAUAUGAUUUGGACAUUUAACGCUCAGAUUCAAUGCAAUAAAUAAAUUUCUAUUUUUUCAUCUGCAACCCACGUUCAAAUUUUUGUCUACGGCUACUGGUGCAAUGUUGAGGCAUUUAGAAAUCAAUUUAAGAUUAAAUGACUUUGGUCCAUUUUUGACUUAAACAAUUUGAAGAAGCAAUCUUGCAUAUGAAAAGGCAAGGCACUGCUAUUAUUAGCAUUAGAAUUAUUAGGUGCUGCGAGUUAAUUGUAGACAUUAGGAAAGACAAGUAAAAUGGAUAUCACCGAUACUUUACCGGCAGAGUACAAAUUUGGGAUUAUAAAUUUUAAUAAAAGUUUUGUAAAUGAACUUUGCAUAUGCGAUAACUCAAAUUUGAAUAAUUCUAUAAGAAAAGGGUUAGUAUUUAUUAGGUGAGAUUUUGUACUCUCAUCUAAGCCUUUUAAAUCAUAAUAGUAAGAUCCAAAAUGUUGUUCUCCCAAAUAUUUUCACUGGUUUUUAACCACGACGGCUUCCAAUGUAAUAACCUUGUCAAUUGAUUUUGGAGAAAAUUUGAUUGAGAUGAUAGACCUAUUACUAUGGAUUGAUCAUCCUGACAAGAGUUUCGGAACAGUAAAUAUUAUAUGCUAAAUUUUUAUGUAAGUUCGUGGUCACCGAAGUUCUAAAUAAUAAUAAAAAUAAGGAUCUAAAAAAGAUAUUCUCUUACAUAUUAUCAUAUUUUUGUAAUAACCUUCGAGUUGACUUUACAACAAAACAUGAUCGAGAUGAAAGAAUUAUCGGUGAGUCUUGACUAUCCUGACAAGACCUUCGAAACAUUACACACACUCUAAUCACACUUUAGCACAAGCACAACACAAAUUAAAAUAUUUCCCUCUUUAAGAUUGAUGUAAGGGAAAACAUACCCCUGAUCAAAUUAACUAGACUACCCCUUUGAGACAACGGUGCUUUUAACCUCUUUCAUCCUUAUUUUAUGUUAUCAAUUGCUUGCUAAUAAUCUUACAAUUAAUCAUGUUAAUUUUAGAUUACCCUGUCAUCAAUUAAUUAUUCUCAAAUCACCUUUCUUACUUUUGAAAACCUCAGGUUACUCUCCACUUUUAUUAAGAUGACAAAAAAAAAUUAUAAUCCCAAAUUUACCAUUAAUCAUCAUUACUCUUUCUUGCCAAUAGAUAAUCGUUACUUCAUUCUGGCCGGUCAUCCAUCUCUAUGCGGGAACAAUAUUAUUAAAAUUAUAUGCUUCUGCCGACCAGUUCGCAUUUUUUUCCACGGGCUGUUGGUGCAAUUUCCUAACUCAUUAGACCUGUCCAAAGUUCAAACCCUUGUGGAACAAGUAUCCAAACGAGUAGAAAGCAGGAACUUUCAUCCACUACUGCUGUAUAAUUUAAUAAUUUUAAAAGGGUCCGCCUAACUUACGUUGAAUGUAAGUUACGGUCAGCCUGUGAAAUUUCAUCUAGCCCCCUAUGCUCUAUAUUAUUUAUAUUUUAUUCAUGAAUAUUAUAAACUUCUUGAAAUGUAAAAUUUCGUUUAACCCCUUAUACUCAAUUUUAUUUUAUUGAAACCAUAGAGUAUGAAUUCGCCCCCAUAAUUUUAAAUUCUCAAAAUAACCUCCAUUUAAUUAAAAAAUAUAAUUAUUGUUAAAUUAAUUAUAAUUAUAAUUUUAUUAUAAUCAUAAAUACUUUUUUAAUAGAUUAUUGUUAUUAUUAAUAACGAUAAUAAAAAAUAUUAUAAUUAAUUAAUCUAUUAACAAUAAUUAAUAAUAUUUUUUAUUAAAUUGUUAGUAAUAAUAAUAAUAAUUAAUGAUAAUUAACAUAUUUAUGAUUAUAAUAAAAUGGAAUAAACAUUGAGUCUAUAUUUAUGUAGAAGACUCUUUUAUAUUUCUAUACUUUUUAAUUUCAAGUACUUUCAGGAUUUUUUGUUACUUUGAUAAAUAAUAGUUUCGUAGGCAUCUCAUUAUUAAACGGUCAUUUUUAAGUGCUUUUUGCUAAGUUGUUACACCUUGGAGGAUGUAAACACAUUUUUCUUGCUUCUAUUUUUUAAAUGCAAAAUUAUUUUUAUUGGGUCAAGCUUAAAAUUUUAACAGAAAUUGUCAUUCAUUGGUCUCUUGAAAUCCGAUAAUGAGUAUUUAAAGUCGAAGGUAGCAUUAGCAAUACAUUUACUAUUAGUUAGAUAAUCAUUAAUUAUUAUUAUUAUUAUUAACAAUUUAUAAUACUUUUUAUUCUUGUUAUUAAUAAUAACAAUAAUCUAUUAAAAAAAUAUUUAUGAUUAUAAUAAAAUUAUAAUUAUAAUUAUAAUUCAUUUAAAAAUAAUUAUAUUUUUUAAUUAAAUGAAGGUUAUUUUGAGAAUUUAAAAUUAUGGGGGCGAAUUCAUACUCUAUGGUUUCAAUAAAAUAAAAUUGAGUAUAAGGGAUUAAACAAAAUUUUACAUUUCAAAAAGUUUAUAAUAUUCAUGAAUACAAUAUAAAUAAUAUAGAGCAUAGGGGGCUAGAUGAAAUUUCACAACCUUCUCCAUUGAACUUGUACAAAUAAAGCUUAACAAAGAAGUAUCGGGUGAUGUGAGUUUUAAAGAGCAGGAAAUUAAAAGACAGCAAGUCAAAUGGAUAUCACAAUUGCUCUGCCUGCGGAGUGUAUUUCCAAUAUCAUUUCUCUUACAACUCCUCGCGAUGCUUGCAGAUUAUCAGUGGUGUCUCCUGUAUUCAAAUCAGCCGCUGAUUCAGAUUCCGUGUGGGAGAAUUUUCUGCCGUCUGAUUACAAGCAGAUCAUUUCCAACUCUGUCUCUGAUUCAUCUUUGAUCACUUCCCUGUCGAAGAAAGAUCUUUAUUUUCAUCUCUGUCGCAACCCCAUCAUCAUCAACAAUGGUACUAUGGUAAGUCAAAGUUGACUUAGCUUCUAUCUAAACAAAUCAUAUACUAUAUAUUAAUGUUUUACCUCAGUUUAUUCUGCUAUUUGUGUAGAAAAUUUUUAUUUUGGAGUAUUAUGAAUAUUAAUAUUAACACCAAGAGCUUCAUCAGAUGUACGUUUAACCAAACAAGAUGGUUGACUUCUUGUUCAUUGUAAUAUCCAAAAAACGACAUGCUAACUAUACCUUGAACUCAUCAAAAUUUUUUACUUGAAUUUUCAUCUUGUUCCGUACAAACACAAUUUUAUAUUAUCUUUGAUGUUUUGAGUUCUAAGCUUUUAUUAAUUAACACCCAGAUGCAAUCUUAGUAAGCAUUGAAAUGGAGAAACUUAUACACCAAAACUGAUUUUAUAGAAAAGCUAACAUCAUGAAUACUUUGACAGAGCUUUGCGCUGGAGCCGGAGAGUGGGAAAAAAUGUUACAUGGUUGGGGCAAAAGGGCUUUCCAUAGCAUGGGGAGAUGAACCUAACCAUUGGAUAUUGACUUCUCUACCGGAGUCUAGGUUUGUUCAUAUAUAUUGGCAUUGCACGUUUGCAUUUUUUAGUGUACAAUCGAUUUUGUCACCAGUGUAAUUUGCUCACGUGUCAAUGCACUGACAGGUUUCCUGAGGUGGCUGAACUCAAGUAUGUGUGGUGGUUUGAUGUCAAAGCAAUGAUAGAGACCAAAAUUUUGUCACUCAGAACCAACUAUGCAUCUUACCUUGUUUUUAAGUUCGUAGAGUCAAAGUAUGGAUUUGAGAGAAGACCAGUAGAGUCUGGGGUCUACAUUGAAGGAUGCGAUAACGGGCAUAGGCGAAGACUGUUGCUAGAUCCUUCAAGAAAUAUGGCUCGAUUAUCUCAAGACAGGGGAGAUGGGUGGAUGGAAAUUGAGAUGGGCGAGUUCUUCAAUGAAAAUGGAGAUGAUGGCAUGUUGGUGUGUAGUCUAUUUGAAUUUGAUGGCUUCAUUACCAAGCACGGCCUCAUUAUACAAGGGAUUGAGCUGAGGCCUAAAAGUGGCUGAUAGCUGUAUUGAAUUAUGGUUUUGACAAUGCAACAUUUAGUCAUUUGGUGACGCAUGUAAGCUAUUUAGGUGGGUCAAUCAACCAAGAACGCGACAAAUACUUCUUUUUUUCAUUCAUGAAGGAAUAGCAAUAACAGAGAGGUGGCAUAAUUUUAUUGUUGAAUGCAUUAGGUUAAUGAUGAUAUCCAUAUUAAUUGAGCUUUCAUGUAUUUUUAUUAAUGACUUGUAAAAUAACCUUGAAUCACCUGGCGUUCCUAGCUAACUUGAAUUUUCUUGUUCUUCAAGAUAAUAAUGACUUUGAACAAAGUUAAGCAUUGCUAUUUCUUUACAACAUUUAAUUUACAAGACUUGACAGAUGGAGCUCCAUUUUGUUGCACAUCCAAUUCGAUGCAUGAAUAUUAGACUGAGACAAAUGUUUGCGAAAAUGAAUCGGAUGUUCGAUUUAUUGCCUCAGUGAAUACGUAGUCUUGGGCCAAGCACUCACUCCAUCAAGCAAGCCGUGACAUGGCACGUGGCGGAACUGAAUAAUGUGACCUGUGAGGAGGAUUCAGCAAGUCCCCAAGAAUACUAUUGGUGUAGAGCUCUCAGGGGUAAGCUCAGAGGACUUUAACAAGACAAACUUGGAUCUGUCCUUUGUAAAAGACAAUGAUCAAGAGCCAUCGGAGUGGAUCCUUUAUAUCCAUAGGAUCUUAGCUACAGUUGUGGAUGAUUUUGUAAGCAAAUUACUUUUAAGACCAGAGUUAUUAUUAAAGAAUGAUUUUAUUCUAAGUCUUCAUUUAUUUAUGGGAAACAGAUACCUACACUCUUAAGAUUUGAAAAAAUAACCAUGUAAACCUCAAGUUUUUAAUAAAUGAUACACUCUCAAGAUUUGAAAAGUAAUCAUAUAUACUCCAAGUCUUUAAUAAGGGAUACUGAGACUCCCUUUUGAAUAACAUAGUUGUUGGUUCCACAUAAUUCGUAAAACCUCAAUUGUAUUGUAAAAUUUCUCUGUAAAAAGAUUAGUUAAAUGGUUUGAUGUUAAGAGCCUGAAAUCUCGUGAUCAUGAAAUGGCACAACUCUUCGAGUUAUAUGUCGACAAACAUGACACAGUCUUAAUAAACUUUGUAUACUCAUGAAAUUGGGAUAAAAAGUUGGUCUCCCUAGCAUUAUUCACAUUAUUAUUAGCAACAUAAACAGAACUUUCCACUAUAGAAGACGAAAUCACUCAAAUAAAUCACAAUAAGUGCUCAGUUGAUUACUGUUCUCUAGCAAAUGUUACAAUUUUUCACUUUGAAAGAAGUUGUAAUUAAUUGCUAUCUUUUAAAGCCACGAGUAAUUGUCUGACACUAAGCAAACAUUAGGUUCCUGGAUCAUCGAUCAAAUUUACCAUUAACUUAACAAAAAAGUCUGGUGUAUUUACCUUUGCUAUAUAUAUUUUAAACUCACUCCUUGUCUUGCUACGAGUUGCAAGAAGUAAAAUGGUUAUAACAUUUGUGCUGUCACCAGGGUGCGUUUCCUACAUAAUUUCUCUUACAACUCCUCGUGAUGCCUGCAGAUUAUCCGUGGGUACGUCUCAUCAACAAAUCAGUUGCGGAUUCAGAUUCCGACUGGGAGAAUUUUCUGCGGUCUGAUUACAAGCAUAUCAUAUCCAAUUCAGUCUCUGAUUCAUCUUUCAACACUUCUUUGUCUAAGAAGGAUCUUUAUUUUCAUCUUUGUCGCAACCGCAUCAUCGUCAAUAGUGGAUCUAUCGUAAUUCAAACUUGACAAGGUUUUCUUUUUCUUUUUCCUUUUUUACAUGUGCAAAUCAAAUUUACAUGCCAAGCAUAUGUUAUAUAUUAAUUAAGCUAUUAAUUUUAUUGUGCGAUUGAUCUGCUGGUUAAACUAGAAUAUGGAACUCUAGUCAUUGAUCCAAAUGAGAAAUUGGUGAAAUUAAGAAUCUUCUUUGUUUCAGCCAAAAUUUGGAUUGGCUGGUCCAUAAUUGAUUUUGAUUCUUAAUUUGUGACGGAAUUUAUUUUUCCCUGACUUAGCGCAAAGUACGCACCAGAAAUUGCUCUGCUUUUGCUCCAGCUAUUCAAUUUUUUUAUGAAAUGAGUAAGUUAAAACACAAUGGAUGAUGACUUCUUGUCCAUAGAAGUAUGCGAUAAACGAAUCGCUAUGAUAAGGAAUCACUAUCUGUGGCAACUAAGUUGUUAUCGAGGUUUGGUAACUAUAGCUUUUAAGUUACAGUAUUUGUUCUUACAGCUGCAAAUCUAAGCUGAUUUGAUCCUACACUUAUAUGAUGAAAAGCCUAUAAUAUAUUCAUUUCUUUUUGUAAAUAUUAUUAUGCAAAGUUGUAUUUAUUAUAUACUAUUAGUUUUUAUCUCAUAGUUUUUUUAUUUCACAGUAACUAUGGUUCAAGAACUACACCACCUCAAAUACCAAAUAGGGCCUAAAACUUUCUUCUUCUUUGAUAUAAUCUCAAUUUUAAAGCUAAAAUUAAUUGUCAUUCUUUGACAGAGCUUUGUGCUGGAGAAAGAAAGCAGGAAGAAAUGUUUUACGGUUAGAGCAAGAGAUUAUUAGCAACUCCAUGAAGUCCUUAUAAAACCCACCUCUUAGGAUACCUCAUUAAAAACUUUUAAAAUUUUACUUUUUUUUUCAAAAGCACCCACUUUAAUUCCACUUAUAACCUACACCUUUGUUUCUCGUACAGACUCCUUUCUCUCUCUCUCUCUCUCUAUCUCUUAUAAGGUCUCGACUCCCCAAUCUCUCUCUUUCUUUGUAGAAUAUUUUUAAAUUUGAUAUUGACUUUUUGUGUCACCAAUUCUAUCUUUCAUAAGAAAAAAUUAUAUGUGUAUUUGUAAAAGGGUAAAAGUCCAUUUCGUCCCUAAAUUUUAAGAUUAUGGUCUAUUUAGUCCUUAUAUUUUUAAAAAUACCUCGAAACAUCCCUGCUGUUACAGUAUUGAUAUCCCUACCGUUACUUUUCAUUUCUUUUAACUUACUUUUACAAUAUUACCCUUUUAUAAUAAUUUUUUGGACAUUAAUAAAAAGAAAAUAAUUAAAUUACUAAUUUAACCCUAAAAAUAAUAUUUUAAUUUUUUUGCAAGCACCAUUUGAGCACUUGGUAGUUUGCAUACAAUUUUUGAUAAUUAAAAAUUAAUGCAAAUUUUUAUUUUUUAGGAUUAAAUUGGUAAUUUAAUUAUUUUAUUUUUAUUAGUGUCCAAACAAAAAAAUUAUUAUUGAAGGGUAAUAUUAUAAAAAUAAGCCAAAAGAAAUAAAAAGUAACAGUAAGGGUAUCAAUACUUUAACGGCAUGGAUAUUUCGAGGCAUUUUUAAAAAUAUAAGGACUAAAUGGAUACUAAUCUUAAAAUACAGGGACUAAAUGGGCUUUUACCCUUUGUAAAAUUAUGCUUGAAAAAAUUACUUUGAUAGUUAUUGUUGCUUUAACGCGCUUUCUGCUACCAUUUUGUUAACUUCGUCGAUGAUAAAUUUCCACUUCUUCACCAUCAACAGUUCAAAUAUUAGGCUCCUUCUUAGCAUCAUCUACCAUCUGCAUAUAUAUGUGUGUGUAUAUAUAUAUAUAUAUAUAUAUAUAUAUAUAUAUAUAUAUAUAUAUAUAUAUAUAUAUAUAUAUAAGCAAAUUAAAUUAUCUGAGGAAACUAAUUAAAUAUAUAAUUUAAAAAAGGAUAUCCUUGAUUAUAUCAUAUAUCAUAUAUACCGAAGAUUGAUAUCAACUAGUGAUUUGUUUGUCUUCUUUUUUUUUUUUUUCUCUUUACAAGGAAAGAUGUGUGGGGUUUGAUUGGAUCAGUUUAUUUUCAAAUUAUGAAGGGCAAAACUGUACAUGUAUAAAUAUGAGGUUUUAUAAAAGUUUUGGAGGGAUGCUAAAUUGCUAAUAGUCCUACCCCUAAUUUAAUAACCUUCUAAAGGUCUAUUUGGUAUUAAGAUAUUAUAACUUUCAAGUUAUAAUUGUUAUGAAAAAAAAAUCUAUAAUUAUAAAAUAAAAGUUAAUAA